rnacentral:lncRNA from 1 species
AAUUCCAACCUCUUUAAUUCUCUGAAACAAGUAAAAUGACCUCUUAGGAUCACUAGAACCCAAACUUGUUAUUAUAAGUGAUAAAGUCGUGGUGAUUUUUUGUCAGCGCUUUUGAGAAAUUCAAACUAGUAAAAGUACCAAAAACAGAAGGUUCAUAUCACAUGCAGCUCAGGGAAAUUUUGGUAACUUCCCUCUUUAUGCUUCACUCACUCCACUUAACCCUAUGAACUUAAAAGCACCAGACAGAAAUCACUUCAUACAUAAAUAGACAUGCACAACAACCUCCUUACCUGCAUUAGUAAAGAAUGGUGAAUGAUCAGUUUGAGAGAGAAAUGCCCUUUCAAUUGAAGGAAAUUCAGCCUCAAGCUGCUGAACUCGAGCCAUUAGGCCAUGGCCUCUAGAUGCAGUCGCCAUUACUUCUUCAUGCAAAUCAUGAAAAACCUCAGCAGCAAACCUUUGACAACCAAAAGAAAAGGCAAUAAAGAGAGAGUCCUAAGAAUUAAAAGAAGAGGAACAAAUUAUUGUGAAAACAAGUGUUUAGCCAUAGAGGAGAAAUAAAACGAAUCAAUCUAAUAACAAUGGCCAGGCGUAGUAUUAAUGAGACUCUUUAAUAGAAGGCUCAAUAUUAGACAACACAUAGUUUUCUAGAAUUGCAUAAACUCUUACUAAGACCAACACUCAAAUUUUGAUUUCAUUUUCAUUUAUCUAAAAGUCAUUAUAUUAUGCAAACUUGAAAAGAAUAUUAAUUGCAACACGAUUCAAACAACAUGCAAUGAAUAUCAACUGCCAUUUCAAGAAGUGGGAAACAUCAAAUUUUAAUAGUAUAAAUUGAAACACAAAUCGCAUUUUAAGGGACAACAAAAUUUUGAUUCCAAAAACUAGAUCCAUAACUUGCUCCUUCACUUAUCAAAUGGAAAUGAAAAUUUCAUCUCAGAUUUUCAGCAAGCAAUCUCAACCUGCCACAAACACCCCUUUUUUAACUUAAAACCAUCAAUAACUGUACAGCAUAAUUGAUUAACUCAUACUUCAAUCAUCUAAAAGCUCCUCUAAAUGCCGAUAAAUAAGUUCAAGAGAUCAAGAAGCUAACACAUCAUAAGUGUAUAAUUCAUUCCAAUAAGAAUACAAACUGAAUUUCCACUAAAAUUCGCAAUUUGUCACGCAAUUUAUUUACAGAAGUGACAGAAAAAGAUAGGCCAAUUAGAUAUUCAUAAAGCCACAGUAUCAGAAUCCAGAACAUAUUCCCAAACCAGUGCUCCCUUCAUCAUCUAGCAUCAUUUCAGCAACAAACAAAAUUCAAAAAUUAAAUACAAAAACAAAUUAAACCUAAAGUAAAAGAAAAACAAAAAAUCACUCCAAACUAACACUGCAGACAAAAUUAAAAAUCCACGCAAAUCCCUGCUGAAUUAGCAUUUCACUAAACAGCCAAAAUUCAUACUCAAACCAAGCCAAAUCUCUAAAAUAUCAAUGAAUGAAGAGAGACUAACUCCGCAAGGUCGCCAAGCUGGCGCAAUACGCCGACGAGGCCAGCCAUGGCAACUCCUUCCAAUAGAGCUUCCGGAUCAUCUUUAUCGGCAGCUCUGUACAGCUCCGGAUCGGCCAAACCGUACUCAUUUCUCAACUGAUACCUGGACAGCGGCAUUUCCACAAUCAAACAACAACAACAGCGUCGGCCUCCAAACAACACCAGCAGAAACUUUAACCCUCCUCUGUAACUGUCCCUGUUUCUUCGAUUUUCGAGAGAAGUAAAUUUGCCUGCGAGAGAAGGGAUAUUGAGGAAGUGAAUGUAGAACAGAGGAAGACCAGACAAGACAAGACGUGGAGAGUGAGAGUUUUUUUUUUUUCUUUUUUUUUUUCUUAAUAUAAUAAUAUCUAAUAGUUAAUAACUAAUUAAUUAAAGAAAUGAGAAUUUUUGAAGAGAAUGAAACGGCGACGGGGAUUAUAUAAUGCUUGUCGUUUGAUCGGCUGGCGCGGGCGUACAUUGUGCCGCUUGUGAUGCGCUUGUUGCAUCGGAUCAUGCUAUUCCUCUCACGCGUAUUUAAUUAUAUCUGUGGGUUUCAAUCAUCUAGUCGAGACCAUAGCCCCUUUAGGUGGUCUUAGGCUAUUAGAUCAUCACAUUCACACAUCUUUCGUUCGAUCAUGCUCGUGAUCAUCAUUCGAAAAUUAUAAAAUUAAUUGACUUCGAAAUUAAGCAAUCGGACUUUCCAUUCAAUAAUCAUUUUGUGUAAAGACAUUAAAAAAAAUAAAAAGACGCAUUUAACCACCAGAGAAAAAAAUUAUAAUCUUUCAUGAUAAAAAUAUUUAUUUAAAUCCAAUUCACCGAAUUUAUAUAAUUUUCUAUAGAAAUUUUUGUAUUUAUAAUUUUUUAUCUAUUUGUGCAUUUAUAUGGCCUUGAAUUUUCUAUACCUUUUUGUGCUUAUGCAUCAUCUGAUGGGGAUUUUCAAAUUGAUAAUAAUUGAAAAGGAUUGAAAGAAUUUAUAUGUUAUGAGUUAGUUUUGGCUAUGAUUUUCUUAACGAAAAGGGAAAUUUUUAUUUAAUAGCCUAACACUAUUAAGAAUGUUAAAUUGAAUUUUUUUUAAAAAAAAAUGCAUUGCUCUGUAUAAAAUUGAAAAUUUUAUAAUAAAUUAAUUUAAUUUAUUUAUUUCAUUGAUUUUUUUUAUUUAGAGUGAAAGAACGUAAUUAUUUUUAAUACAAAAUUAUUUUAAAAAAAUAUAUUAUAUAAUUAUAUGAAAAUUCAUUUAGAUUUUUCUUAUUGAAUUGUUACAAUAGAAGUUGUUAUAUAAAAAGAUGGUAUAUAUAUUAUAAUCAGUAAGAUAAUAUCUCGACAAUGAAAAAUAAUGUUACUAAACCUCUGUUUAGAAUACUUAAAAAAAUUAAUUAAUAGAAAAUAAAAUUAAUUAAAAGAAAAUAAAAUUAAUUUAAGAAAAAUAACAUUUUAUUUUUAAAAUAUAAAAUUAUUUUUUACAAGUUGAAAAUUUUAUUAAAAUCUCUAUAUAUAAAUUUGUUGAUAUAUUUUAUAUUUUAAAUUAAAUUUAAAUAAUAAAAAAUAUUUUUCACAAAAUAUAUUUGUUUAUGUAAAAUAUAUUUUAAAUAUAAAUUAUUUUUUCAAAUAAAAUGAAGAUUUGAUCUAUACAGAUACUCAAAAAUUAAGUGAUUAUCAGUUCAGUGUGAAUAAAUUAAUACACAAUUUUUAAAAAAUCACAUAUUUAUACUGUGAUUUUUUUUUUUUUACAUUCAUAGAUUUUUUUUAUUAAAAGAAUUACUCCUUAAAUAAUAAGAGACAUUUGAUUGAAUAAUCCUUUUUUGGGGUAGGGCUCAAUCAAUUUUAAUUAAUAUUUUUCAUAUUUUUUAGUGUUUAAACUCUCAACAAAUUUAAUUAAUAAAAAUUUUAUUUUUUAUAAAAAUAAAAUUAUUUAAUUUUAAAAUAUAUAAUUAUUUAAUUCUUAAAAAUUUGAAAUAUGUAUAAAUCAUGAAUACUUCGACAGACUUAAAGACUUGUACUUUUAUAAAAAUCCCCCAUUAAAAAUUAAUAACAAAAAAGUUAGAAGUAUCAACCUACUUGCCAAAUUAUGUGUAAACUGCGGGACCCCUGAACGAAGUUAACUAAUCACAGCGUUUUCUGUUUGACGCUUGUAAUGGUCCCCAUCCAAAUAAUCAUUCUACAAUUUAUAAUCGUACACACUCUAAUGAUUCCUACGUUGUGAUCAGAACAUACUAUAAAAAUGUAACUGAAAACCAACAGGUGGACCCACCAUCGCUAAGACAUGGAUGUCACUAUAACGGGUAAUUCUGGAAAAUUAGUCGGUCUCCAUUCGAUUCGAUACCGUUUCAAUUAAUGAUUAUAAUUUAAAAUAAUUCAGUUUCGGUUUGGAUUUAAUUUUAAUUUAAAAUUAAAAAUUAGCAUGACACUAAUUCUUUAUAGAGUAUAACAACAUAAAUUUAUAAUACAUCACUUAUUUACUUAUUUACUUAAAAACAAAAAUUAUAAAUCGGCUAGUUUAUAGCUCAACUAGCCAGUUUCAAACCGAUUUUUAAUCUGGCUCAAUGAGGUGAAACCCAUAGCUAGUCUAAUAAAAAUCAGUUCGUAAAUCAAAACCGUUUAAUCAUUUUCAGUCUCAUAUUUACUAGUGCAGUCUGAUGCAUAGUAGCCGUGAUUCAAGAUUGACGGAUAGCAAAAUCGAGGGUGGGUGGACUAGGCACAUGCAGAAUUAAAUCAAAUCAAAAUUUUAGUUAAUUAAAAUUUUAUUACCUCUCAAAUAUUACUACUUAUUAAUUUAAAUAUGAUUAAACCUAAUUUGUUACUUGCUUAUAUUGAAUUAAUUAAAAUUUUAAUAUAUUUUUCAUUAUUAAUUAAAUUACAAUUAAUAUAUCAACUAACAAUAUCACAAUUAUUUUGAUUAAUUUAGUUAUAAAUUUUUAUGGUUGGAUGAUAUUCGACUUAUAAUUAAAUUAAAAUAAACAAGUUAAAAAAUAAAAUAAUAUUUAUAUUUCACCCUUCUUAACUCUCCAAAUUAAGAGCAAAGUGAAAGGAAAAUUUUUAAAAUUUCAAAUAUAUUUUUAUUGUUGUAGAGAUUAAAUUGAUGAGGUGCAUAGAAUAAAAUUGUGUUGUGAUCGAUAGAAACUUACAUGAAAUAAAAUAUAAAAUAGUGGUGGAUGUUUAUAAUAGUCAUUUUUACGCUAAAAUUAAAAUAUUAGAAAAGAGUAGAUACAAUAAAUUAUUUAAAAUUUUUAUAUGAGAGGAUAAUAUAUUUUUAUUUCUGUAAUUAUUUCUAUUUUAUACCAUAAAAAUAGUAUAAAUAAAUAUAAUAUUUUUUGAGGAUUUAGCAGUGAUGCCGUUCAGUAGAUUGAUAAAAAAUAUUAUUUGAUAACAAAUUGAUAAUUUCGUAUUAUAAGUUUCAUGGCAAUAUACUGAUAUGUGUAAUCUAUUGAGAGAAGUGCUAAUUUUGAAGAUAUAUCUAUAGUGUUUGAAUUUUUUUCUCACGUAAAUUUAUUUUGUAGGGAAUAUUUCAGAUUUACUUUAGAUUAUUAUAUAAUAUUAAUUUUUAUAUUUUAUAGAUUAUAUUUUUAAAAAAAUUAGUUGUUAAAUUAUAAUUUUAUUAUUUAAAAGCAACGGUUUUUAAUAUUUUUCUCUUAUUAAAACACAAUAAUAAAAUUUUAUUUUUAAAAUUUUUUUCCAUUAUUUUUCCCUUUACUCAAAACACAAUAUGUAAAAUGGAAAUAGUAAAGGGAUUAAUUAAUGAGGGCAAUGAGAUUAAUGCCUGGGGAGCGGAGUGGGGACCUCUCUUCAGAAGAAUGAUAAAAGGGGCCCACAUGAUAAUCAAAAGGAACCACGUUACCAGAAAUUGUGGUACUUAAAUUGUAAUCAAUCAAUCGCUUUUUUUGAUGGAGAAGAAGGUAUGGAAAUGUAAAUGGGAUCAAGGAAGCUUCAAGGGGAUUUUGUCAUAAACAGAAUCCUCUUUCUUUAACUUCCCAAAAUUAACAGAGAUUGUUUGGCAGCAGAAACUUUACCUACUUUGUUUCUGCCUUUUCUAUGUUCUAUCAUUGUUAUGUUUGCUUUUAAAGUUUUUCUUUUUCAGUUCUUUUUGUCUUUUUCCUCUUUUAUUUUGUUGGGUCACCUACGAAGAACUUUACCCCUCACAUGCCAAGUACCCAACAAUCAGCGAUAGCAGAGCCACGGCCAAAUUCACGUGUACCCGUCUUCCUAGUGUCCAUAUUCUUCUUCUUCUUUUUUUUUUUUUUUAAUUGUAUUAUCUGAAAAACACUAAGUAAAAGGAUAAUACAUUUAUCCGAUAUAAAUAUAAAUUAAUAAAAUUUAGAAAAAAAUUAUCAAAAAUUGUAUAUUAAUAAUAAGAAUUAAAAUUAAAUUAAAGAUUAAAUAAAUAAAUCAGAAUUAUUAAAAUUACAUAUUCAGAAUGCAUUAGUAAUGAUAGAUAAGUAUUAGAAAAUACUUGCAUUUUGUAAACACUCCAAUAAGGAAGAGUUACUAGAUGAAGGAUUGGAAGUGUGGAAAUAAUAAUGUAAACUUUGCUUGAAAGCUGAGGUAGAUAUAGUGGGGGAAGUUGUGCUGGGGUUGGGUAUGGGCUAAGGUAUUAGUUUCCAAGUUCCAACCAACAGUGACGACAUCGUGCUCGUUAAUGCACACUAACAAUAUCAUGAUGCUUCUGAUUGAGUGGAGAUCAUACGCAAUCCAGUGCUUGUAUUCUAUUCUUUUAUUUUCCUAAGUGCAUUCUAUUCUUUUAUUUUCCUAAGUGCGGCCAUGAAACCAUCAUUCUUAUACUAAAGUAAUUGUGAAAAUUAUUAAAUUAAAUAUUUUAAUUUUAAUAAUUUUUAAAAUACUUACUGUCCUACCCUAUCAGGUUAACUACAUUUCUAUUUCUUUUUACCUUUAAAUUUAUUUUAAAUAAUUUUUAAAAUAUUUCUAUAGUUUUAAAAUUUUAUUAAAAUGCUUUUAUAUUUUUAUCGUGUUAAUUAAAAAUAAUUUUUAUUCAUUUUUAUUAUUAAUUUAUUAAUAAAAAAUAUAAUUUUUUAAUAUAAGUCUAAUUAAAUCUUUAUAUUUUUAUUCAAAGGCUAUAUGAGCUUGAUUUUUUUUUUUUUGCCAAUUAAUCUCUUGUAUUUUUACUUAAAAGGUAAAAUAAGUCUAAAUAUAAAAUAAUAUUAUUUUUAAUAAUAAAAUAUUAUUUUUAUAUUAAAAUAUUAUUUUUAUUAAUAAAAUUAUAUUUGUAUAAUUUUUAAAAUUAUUUACUAUUUUUAUAUAUUUUUAUAUAUUUUUUAAAUAUUUUUAUGUUAAUUAAAAUACUAAUUUUAAAUUAAAAAAGUAAUAUUUUAUUAUUAAAAAAUAUUAUAUCAAAUCAAUACUUAUUUGAUCUUUAAAUAAAAGUAUUUAAGCUGAAUUUACUUAUUUUUUAAAAAAAAUUUACUCUAAUUAAUCUACUCAUCAAAUAAAAUUCACGAUCGACUCCUUUUCAUUUAUUUUUAUAUUCUUUCGUAUUUUUUUUUAUAUUUUUUUAAAAAGAUAUAUAAAAAUUUACAAUCAACAAUAGGGUGUGAAUAAUCGGGAGUUAACUAGCAAAAAUGGUUAGUAAUAGGUGAGUAGUGAAUUUUAUUUAAUAGGAGAUCAAUUUAAAUAUAAAAAAAUUAAUUUUAAUUGAUAGAUUAAUAAUAAAAAUAAUAAAAAUAAUAAAUAUUUUUUAAUUAAUAAAAUAAAAAUAUAAUAAUAUUUUAAUAUAAUUUUAAAAUUAAGGAGUAUUCUAAAUACUCAAAAUAAAUUAUAAGGACAUAAUAUCAAAAUUAUUUUCAAUUUGACAUGCAUGCAAAAUAAUCUGAAGCUCACAGCAGAUCCUCAUCUCAGGAAGAAAGCCCAGAACAGGCAGAAUAAGGAUCUACUCUAUCUGUUGGCUAGAUGGCUCAAUGCCAAAAAAAUAACUGAGCACCUGAAAAAGCCCAUCAGCAACAAAAUGAACCUACUCUAUCUCACCAGUGGGCCCUUUUCCUUUUUUUUUUUUAAAUUAAUUUUCCAUCUGUUGACAUUAUGAAUGAGCCAACUUGCCAAGCAAAGUUGCCUCAACAAUUAUAUGGAAUUAAAUUAAUUUAAAAAUUAAAUUUUUUAUUUAUUUUAAUUUAAUUUUUAAUUUUAAAAUUUUAAUUAUUUUAAUUUAAUUUUUAUUAAAAAUUUGAAUGAUUCGUAAUAUAAAGAUAUUAGAUUAUAUUAAAAUAAAAUUUUUUAAUUAAAUUUUAAAAUAUUAAAAAUAAAAUUUAAAAAAUAAAAAAUUUAUGAAAAAACUAAAUUAAUUAAAUCGAACCGAAUUAAAUAAUCAGUUCGAUUCGAUUUAUUUUUAUUUAAAAUUAAUUUAAUUUUUAUUCAUAUUAAAAUUUUAAUUUUUUAUUUAAAUCAAAUCAAACCGAUCAAAUGUUGACUAAAAUCACUAAAAUCAGUUGUGAAGAAAAUUGAAAAGACUUAAAUAUUCAAAUGUUUAUUAAGAAAAAUUAAAUAAAUAUAAAUAUAAAUAUAAUUUAUUUUUAAUCAGUUCUCUCUAUUUUAAUGUUAUUUUUUAAAAUAAAAUUUAUACACUUUUUGUUAUUAUAUGUUAAAUCUUAUAAAUAAAUGAAUGUUUACUAAUGUAUUAUUAUGAGAAUCCCGUAGAAGUUUUCUGAUCUGUGCUGCAAAGAGAUGUUAAAUACAGAUUUAUGCUAUAUUUGGCAAUAAAAAAUAUACAUGUGUAUAUAAGAAUAAAUACUUGAGAUAUUUAUUUUUUUAUUUUCUUUUAAAAAAAAUGCUUGUUAGGUAAUCCAUAACAAUCAAUCACAUAACCAAAUUGCAUUUCUUUUUCCUUAUUAAAAAAAAAAAAAGAAAAGAAAGAGUGUAAUAUUUUCGGAAAGUAGUGAUGAUUCUAAACAGAUGUUAAAUUAUAUAAUAUAUGAGGACCAUCACUUGGCACAAUAAAAUGGUAUUGUGGAUCAUUUAUAUUAGGAAAUUUUAUAAUUUAAUUUUUUAAUAUUAUUAUUAUUAAUAAAUUAAUUUUUAUAUUUUUAAAAUAUAUUAAAAUAUUUUAAUACAUACAAUCUCCUAAAUUCGUCCAUUCAAAAAUUAUUUGUUAUCAUAUUCUCAUAAAUAAAAAAUUUAAUUUCAUCCACCAAUUCUAAAACGGAGAUAAAACGAAGGAAAUUGAUUUAUAAAUAAUGAUCAUACUCGAUGAUUGAGGAUGAGUAUUCGUUCAAUUCAAAAUCAAACUAAACUGAAUAAUUGUAUAAGUAUAAAAAUAUUUUAAUAAAUUUUUAAAAAUACACAUAUCGACCGUUAAAUAAUAUCAAUAUUUAGAGAUUAUAAGUGAGUAUUUGAUUGAUUUGGUUCAAAAUUAAAUCAAACUGAAUAAACUAAAAAUCAAAAGUUUAGUAUUUACUAUAACUAAAUUGAAUUGAUUUUGGAUAAAAUUUGAUUCAAAUCAAACUGAUCUGAUUUAGUUUAUUCGAUUCAAUUUGAUCAAUAGCUUUUUAAUAUUUUUUUUAUUUUUUACAAUUUAUUUUAAAUAUUUCUUAUAAUUUAAUUUAUUUGUAUUAUAAAAAAUAAUAUAUUAUAAAUUCGGUUAGUUAUAUCUAUUUUUAUUAAUAAUUAAAAUAUUUAAAAAUAAAAAUUAAAUUAAAUUAACUUAAAUAAAAAAAUAAAUCAAAUUUUAAAAUUAAUUCGAUUCGAUUAAUUUUUUUAAUUUUAAUCUAAUAAUGCUAGUAUUUUGAAAACUAAAUAAUAAAUUUAUUUUUAUAUUUUGAUAUAUAAAUAUAAAUAAAAAUAAUUUAGUGGAUUGAGAGUUAUUCUUAAUUAUUUUAUAUAAUUAAAAAUUUUAAUUUUAUUAAUUAAGAGUAUUACGUUAUUCAUAACAUAUAAUAUUUUAUAAAAGUACUGAAUAAUUCUUUAAAAGAUUUGGAAACAAUAUUGGCAUUAAAAUUUUAAAAGGAUUAUCAAUGAAAUGUUGCAAAACGUGCCUAAAAUCCAUGAAAUGUUUAAUGAAAGAAUCCUCCACAAUUAAAGCAAGACAACGCCAUUAACAGUUAAUCAAACCGUCCAUGGCCCAAAAGAACACCACCUUCAAUUCCUUCUUUACGUUUUGCAUUUUCUUUUAUGGCUUUCUGGGAAUUUUAAUAUUGUGGGGCCAUUUCGUCUCCAUUUGCUAUAAAGCUUUCCCUCGUAAUGGUUCCACAAAUUAUAACAUUCCCCUCGUAAGAAAUAACACUCCCUAUCAGUAUUAGUUAUAUUAGGCAUUUUAUUUCAUAAUUUUUAUUAAUUAUUAUUAUGGGAUGAAAAAAAUAAUUAUUUUUUUAUUUUAUUAAUUGAUCUUAAUUGUUAUAUUUUUUUAAUUAAUAUAAUGAAUAAUAUUAGACAAUUAUUUAUAAUAUUACUAUCGCUCGUAUUUCUCUUUUCCUCCUUUCUUCUUUUUCUUUGAUGAUAUAUAUUAAAGUUGUCUUGAGAGCAAUGCGAAUCCUUUUCCUAGCUUAGAGAAUUUAGAAAUAUGACCUAGGGAAAGCUCUGAGUUUUAUUUUUAAUUAAACUCGAAUUAAAUUUAGUAAAGUUUAGUUAUAUGGAAAAAUUAUUAUUUAAUUUUAUAUUAUAAAAAAUUUAAUAUUUUAAUUUUAAAAAAUAUAUUAAAACCUCGUUGAUAUUUAAAAAAAAAAUUGGAUAAGAAUUCAUAUUUUGUAAAAAGAUAAAUUUAAUUAUUACAUCUCUUGAAAAUCUAGUUGAUAUUGACUAAUUAAUAAAAGUUCUCGUGAUUAUAAGUAUGACAUAAUCUCUAAAAUUGUAUUUAUUAACAGUAGGCAUGGCGGCAGAAUUUCUAAAAUUGUAUUUACUAACGGUAAUUUUAUGUAAAAUUUAAAUUAAUUUAGGAAAAUAUGAGUUUUAAUAAAAAAUCAAGUGAUGCGAUAUUUGAGUUUUCAUUUUUACAGGUAAAAUCGCAUAUCGAUUUAGUAAACUCUUACCACAUUGCUCUAUCUUAGUUCAUGACUCACCGAUCAUUAUGUUGCAUCAAAAAUACUUUUGUAUAAAAAUAUUUUUCUUAUUUUUAUUUAUGAUUAUAUAUGAAAUUUCAUAAUAUUUUUUAAUUUCAAACCGUUUAAAAAAUAAUAAUAAUAAUAAUAGAUAGUUUAAAAUGUUAAACAAAUAUAUUAGAAUCUAUCAGUUAAAUUGUAAGAAUAUAAAUAUUAAAUUAUUAUUUGAUUUCAUUAAAUUUUCAUUUUGUAACAAAUUUUAAAUGAAUUCUUAUAAUUAUUUCAAAAUAAUUAUUCUUUUAUGCUAAAAAUAAUCAAAAUUAUUCAUCAUAAAUAAGAAAAUUAAUAAAAAUAAAUAAAUUAAAUUAUUGAAAAAUUAUUAUUCCAACUAAGAAAUAAUACUCUUAUAUAUUAUAUUUUUAUAUUAAAUUUAUAUUCUUAUUGUAAAACAUAACUAAAAAUAUUUUUCUUUAUGAUUUAACACUGUAUUUGAAAUUUUAAUUAAGAAGAUAGAGAAUAGUUUCACAUCAAUUGACCUUAAAAUUAUAUAAAAAAAAUAUAAUUGCGAAAAAUUCUCUUCUCGAUCCAUACUUGAUUGUACAGGUGGUGAUGAUUAUUCGAUUCAAAUCUAAAAAAUUAAUUGAAUUAAAUUAAUUUAAAAUUUUAAUUUGAUUUCAUUUAAUUUUUAUUUUUAAAAAUUUUAAUUAUAUUGAUUCGAUUCAAUUUUAAUAAAAAAAAAUAAUAAUAUCAAAUCAAAUCAAUUAAUGAUAAUAAUAUAUUAUUUUUAAUAAUUAGGGAGAUUAAACUAUAACUAAAAUUAAAAGUAUUUUAAUUAAAUUUUAUAAUAUAAAAAAUAAAAAAUCAAUUUAAAAAUCUAAAUGAUGAAAUUAAAUCAAAAUAAAUUAAAUUAGAUAGGUUAGAUUUGAAUCAGUUUCUACUUAAAAUUAAUUCAAUUUAAUUUUUAUAAAUAUUAAAAUUUUAAUUUUUAAUUUAUUUAAUUUGAUUUGAUUUUGAAAUCAACCAAUUGAAUACUCUCUGCUUAAGUGUGUGUGUGCUUUUUUAAGAAAAGAAAAAAAAAAGAAUAAUUUGGUAGGAAUAAUACCUGGAAGAUUAUAUAUCUUAAUAAAAAUGGAUGACCAAAUCGUCAAAUAAUUUAUAAGAAAAAGUACAACUACCCAUAUAUAAUUUAUUUAUUUAUUUCAAUGAGAUUUAAAUUGAAAAUCUAACAAUUUUGAAGUGGACUCUAAUAUUAAUUACUAAGAUUCAUUGGUCAACUACUCCUUUAUAUUACUUAGUCUUUAGAUACUUAACAACGACCAUAAUCUAUGGCAUUCAUCCCAUGAUUGCAUGAUUAAGAAUAAGAUAUUCAUAUUCGCAUGUUAAGCGAGGAUUACCAAAUCUUUUAGAAAAUUUUGAAGAACAACUUGAAUUGAGGAAGUAGAGGUUGCUUCCUCUAUCUCAACAUCUUUUCAAAAAUCUAAAUUACUAUGGACAAAAAAAAAAUUUAUCGAGCCCCAAAACCACUUAAGUUUGUCUUCUUCAUCAGAUAUUAAUAUAAAAAAAUAAAUUAUUGAGUAUAGUUUUUAAGUAAAUUUAUAAUUCUAAUUUUCAUUAAAAUUGAGGAAAAACUAAAAAAAUGUAUAAAUGGUUAAUUUAUAUACUCAAUUUUCUUUCCAAUUUAAUAAAUUAUGAAAAUAUAAAAAAGUGGGAUAAAACAUUGUUAAAAUUAAAAGAAUAUCAUUAUUAAAGAUUAAAUUUCUAUAUUCAGAUUUUCUUUUUCUACUAGAGAGAGAGAUUAUACAGUUCAUGUGUUAGUGAUAAGGUCAAAACUUCUAAGUACAGAUAGCUAAAAUUUUUAUUAUAUAUAUAUAUUUCUGAUAUGGAUCUUAACUAAAAGUUGGAAUUUGGGUCUUCUUAAAUAACUAGAGUUUCAACUAUUGGCAUCACAGCUGUUAGCUGUUAAUUAAUUAAUUUUACUAAUCCAAGAUCUCUUCAUUUUUAAAUUUAUUUUCAAAAAAUAGCAUUUUGUUGAAGAUUCCAUAUUGAUUGAGUAGGUGGAGAAAAAUAAUUUUACACUAUCUCAUUCCAUAAUUUUUAUUUUUUUUAAUAUCUCAAAAUUAUUAUUAUUUUUUUAAAUUAUAAUAAUAAAUAAAUUGAUUAUUAUAAUUUUAUUUUAUUUUUAAAACUUUAUAAAUUAUUUUUUAAUAUUUAAUAAAAUUUAAUAUAUUUAAAAUCAAUAUAUUUAAAAAAUUAAUUAAAAAAAUUAUAUUUAAUAAUAAAUGUAUAAAAAUACUGUAAAUAAAAAUUAUGAAACUGAAAAAAUAUAUUCAAUUGAGUAAGUGAGCAAGUAUCUUUAUAUGAAACAAUUUAUAUGAAACAAUUUAUCUUCUCAUAAAAUUAAUUUUUGGAUGAAGUUAAGCUUAAUCUAUUUUAUUCAGAUGGGUUAAAAUUAAAGCUUAUUCUCUCUUAAAGAAUAAAAAUGUAAUAUAAUUAAAUUAACAAUGAAAUCUACAAUAAUUAAGUUUACUUAAUAAAAUAGUAACUUAUAUAUUAUAUUUUUAAGGUUAAAUCGAUUAAAAAUUUAAUAUUUAUGCUAAUUUAUAUUUUAAUUUAAAUAUUUUAAUUUUAAUUUAAUUGAUUCAAUUUUAAUUUUAAUAAACCUAUAAAUUUUUAAAUUUAAUGGUUUAUAUGACAAUUUGAUAAUAUGUUAUAUGUAUUACUAUUAUUAUUAUUUUAAUGGAUAAAUCAAUGUCUAUAUUAUUUUGUAUUUUAAUUUAAAUAUUUAAAAUUAAAAUAAAUUAACUCAAUGAUCAUAUUUGGAUUAAUUUUAGCUAAUUUUUAAAAUUAAAAUUAAAAAUAAAUAAUUUAAUAGUUCACAUAUUCAAUAAUAAUAAAUUUUAUUUUAAAAUAAUAAUUAUAAAUAUUUUAUAAUAGAUAUAUUAUCUAAUUUAAAAUAAUAAUAUAUAUAUAAUUAUUAAAAAUAAUAUAUUUAUUAUAAAAUUUUAUAAUUAUCGAUAUAAAAUAAAAUAUAUUUAUUGUUAAAAUUACCGAUGACAUAUUUUACAUUAUAUUAUUAUUGUCUUUAAAAUUAAAUAUAUUAUUUAAUUAUAAUUAAAUAUAAAUUAAUAUUAUUUUAAUGAAAUUAAUUUAUAUUUUAAAAAUAAUAAAAUAUUAUAUGUGAUAUUCUAUUUAAAAUAUUAUAUUUUAAUUUUUAAAAAUUGAUUAAAAUUAUAUUCAAAUAUCUAAAUGAUGAAUCAAUCAAUUCUAAAUUUAAAUAUUUUGAAAGAUAAUAUAAACGUUAAUAUUUUUUGGUCAUUUAAUUAUUAAUUUAUAUAAAAAUAAUAAUAAUAAUAUAUGUGUUAUACACUUAGGUUAUUAAAUUAUCGUAUAAAUUAUUAAAUUUAAAAUUUUAAAUAUUGAUUAAAUCAAUUAAAUUCAAAUUAAAUAUACGUUUGAAUUUUUAGGUUAAUUAACCAAUUUUUAAUAGUAAUUUAAAACAUUGAUUUAACAAAAUGUUGAUGAUAUUAAUUACUAACAGGCUAUUUCUAGUAUCAAUUUGAGUAAUUAUAAAGUAAAAAAAAAAAAUAUCAAAUUGAGUAAUUAUAAUACUCUUAACUGAAAUAUCUAAUUCUUCUGAUUAAAUUAUUUAAGUGGCUUAAUUAAGAAAAAAAAUAAACGGAAAUGAUCUUAUUGUCUCUAAAAAUGGUAAUGGUUUGACAUUUUUAUAAUUGAUCCGAGUUCUUUUUGUUAAGACGGAUUUGUAAUCAACACGGGUUAAUAUAUUCAGAUGGACUUCUAAUUUAAAUAUAGAGUAUUUAUUAUCUGAAUUUGUUCAUAUAUUAAAUUUAAAAAUAAAUAAUAAUAUAAUUAAUAGAAAAUAAAAAAAUUUAGAUAUAUUUAUAACCGAAUCUGAAUCUAAAAAAUAAAAAUAUAAAAUAUUGUCCCAAACUAAGUAAUUCAAGAUAGAAUGAAUGGGUAUAUUUAUUAAUUUUUCAGUUUUUAUUCAAAAUUUAAUAAAAAAUUAUGGGAAAUAACUCUAAAAUGAACAAAAUUUGUGUUUGAAAAAAAUGACUAAAAUAUUUUCUCAAAACAUGUAAUCAAAUACAGCAAAUAUAACAAACACAUAUCAAAUACUGAUGAUAAAGCAAAGUAAGAUUAAAAAUAAUAAAUUAUUUGUAAUAUAUUUUUACCGACUUCAUUUUAGCAUAUAGACAUGUAUCAAAGUUAAAUAUUAAGCUUUAAUCGUAAAGAGUUUAAAAAAAAAGGAUAAAAUAAAAGAGAUUUAGUGUGAUUCGAAUAAUUUAGAUUAUAUCCACUUUUCUAAAAAUUUUCUAUAAAUUUUGAUUCUUCGCAACAUUGAAAUUCUUUUACACAAGUAAGAGAAUGGCAACAAAUUUUUUAAGUGCUUUUGAAUAUUUUUAAAUUUGAAUUACUUUUUAAAUUUUUAUUUGAGUUUGAAUAAAUACGUUUACUCAGUAAACACACUUACUCGAUCAAUUCUAAUUAAAUUUCGGUUAAACUCAACAAAUAAUACAACAUAAAAUUAUUACAAUGAGAGAAAAAAUUUACCAAUUAAGAUAAGAUUUUUUGAAUAAAAACAUGUGCAAGUAAGUUUGUAAACUCAGAAAUUUGAGCUAUUUUAAGGAGUUUUAAACUAUAAAUUAAAAUUUAAAAAUAAAAUUUUCUCAAAAGGAUUGGUGCUACAUUUCAUCUUUGUAUUUAUUGUGGGAGUUCAUGAAUAUAACUCAUUUUCAAAUUUUUUAACCAAAUCAUUCAAUAACUUUCAUUUUAAACUUAAUUUAACUUAGAAAUUAAGAAAUUUAAGAAAUUAAACUUUUUAAUUUAAAAUAAUUAAAAAAAAAUACUAUGUAACUUAGCAUCUAGCAAAAUAAUAUUUUUAACAUCGUUAAUAAAUAUUGACAUGAUAAAAAUUGAUUAAAAAUAAUUGUUAAUUAGGAUAAAUUACAUCUAAAUUUUUAAAAUUUUAUAAAAUAUAUAAUUUAAUUUAUAUAUUUAUAAAUUUAAUUAUAAAAUUUUGUUUUAUAAUAAAAUAGUUAUUUUAGUUAUAAUUCAUCUCAAUAUUUUUAUAAUUUAAUUUUUUAAUCAUAAUUUAUCUAUAUAUUUUUAUAAAUUGAUUUCUAGAUAUUAUAAUUAUUUAUAAAUAAAUAUUUAUAUUUUUUAAAAAUUAACCUUGCAGGUUUAUUCAAUUUAAUAAUUAUAUUUAGUAAUAAAUUAAUAAAAUAAAAAUUAAAUUAAGAAUCUUGAUAACAAUAUGCAUUUAAAUUUGAGCUAAAAAGAUUCUUUCUCAUUCUAAUUUUUAUCUUCUCAAUAAUUUAUCAAAAGAAAAUAACAUAUUUUUAUUUUAUUAUUUUUUACAUAUAAAAUAUUAAAAUUUAAUAAAAAAAUUAAUUUAUAAAUAUAAAAAUUUAUUAAUAAUUAUAAUAUUCAAAGAAUCAAUUUAUAAAAAUAUAAGAUUUUAACUUUACUUAAAAACUGUGAAGUUUAAAUUGAGGAAUUAUUUUAUUAAUAAAAGAAACUUGUAGAAAAAAAUUUAAAAAUAUAGUAAUUAAAAUAUAGAGUUUACUAAAUAUUAAAAAAUAAAUUGUAAUUUAUUAAUAAUAUUUAACUAUAUUUUAAAAAAAUUACGUAAUUUUUUUAUAAUUAUGUCUUUUUAAUUUUUAAGUGAAAUUAAAAAACUAAGAAAUCAGCACGAAAAUAAAGAAAUUGAGCUUUUUAAUAAUUUUUUAUAAGCUUGAUUUCUUCAUUUAAAAAUAAAUAAAAAUCUUUAGCUAAAAAUUUUUAUAGAUUAAUUGAAUUUAAAUUGAAGCUUUUAACUCAAUUUAAAUAAAAAAAUAACAAAUUGAAUUAAACUGAAUAUUCUUAAUGUGAAAUUAAACAUUCUAAAAGUUGCAGAGACCAUUUCUUAAUGUGAAAUUAAAUAUUCUAAAAGUUGCAGAGACCAUUGAUUUAUCUAUAAUUUUAUUUCAAGCUUUUCUAAUCAAUUAGAUUAUAAAAAGAAGAAGGUGGUGCAAGUGCAACCCUAACAUCUUUUUUUUUUUUUUUUUAAUUUCAACCUAAUUAGGUAUAAUCAGAAAAAAUAGUCAAUAUAGAAUAUUGUUAGGCGAGAGAAAUUGCAGGCUGGAAUUCCAAGUUAUGACCAUUGUUACUGAAAAUUCAUAUUUAAUAUAUACACUGUAUUGCUUUCCAAGGAAGACUUGGAAAAAAAAAUCAUCUGUACUGAUUGGACCAAUAAAUUUUAACAUAUAUUAGCAAAUUGACAAAAUGGUUGGAUCGAAUCUGCGAGAGCAGAUUAGAUUCAUUGGUCAAAUAAAAUUUGCAAGUUUGAAGGAAACAUCUUCAAUUAUUUACAGAAAAAGUGGGAUAGGGAACAUUUUGAGGAAGUUACCUUUUUUUUUUUUUUGAAAUGGUUUGAGGAAGUUACCUUGAAAUUACAUAUUCAAUUAUUUACCUAGUAUAUAUUUUUUUUAAAUUGAAAAUUAAAAAAAAUAAAAUUUAAAACUUCUAAAAUUUACUUAAAUACAUUUACCAUUAAAUUAUAAUAAUAUAUUAUAUUAUUAUAAUAUUAAAAAAUAAUUUUAUUAUAUUAAUUUAUAUAAUUACUAUUAUUUAUUAACAGCUUAAUAACACAAAAUAUUAUUUUGCCCUAUAAAGCCUCUUCCUACACUCUUCAACACCAAUUUCCUCCCUUCACUUUCUCUCUCUCUCUUUCGCUUGCUCCCUUCGCCAUGCCUGGUCAAGUGAUGCCAGAGAAGACCCUUCACGGCAUUCAUGUCCUCGGACCGGAAAACAAUCCUCCCUCUCCUAGAAGGUACUUCUCCAUAGUUUAACUUCUCUUGAUUUAUCUUACCAUUCUCUAUACACUCGCAACGAUUACUCACGCAAGUAAAUUGAUGCAGGUUGGAAGGGAAGAUUGCUAUAGUAACAGGCGGUGCCAGAGGAAUUGGAGAGGCAACAGUACGGCUAUUUGCCAGACAUGGUGCCAAAGUAGUGAUUGCAGACGUUGAGGAUACACGGGGAAUCAUUCUAGCCAACUCUUUAUCUCCUUCUGUGAUAUUCGUCCACUGUGAUGUUAGCCAGGAAGAAGAUAUUGAGAACUUGAUAAACUCCACAGUUUCUCAUUAUGGCCGGCUCGACAUUCUUUUCAACAAUGCUGGGGUUCUUGGAAACCAAUCAAAGCACAAGAGCAUUCUUGAUUUCGAUGGGGAUGAAUUUGAUAAGGUGAUGCGUGUAAAUGUUAAAGGGAUGGCUUUAGGGAUCAAGCACGCAGCUCGAGUAAUGAUUCCUAGAGGAGUUGGAUGCAUUAUUUCAACAGCUAGUGUAGCUGGGGUGAUGGGAGGUCUUGGUCCUCAUGCGUACACAGCUUCCAAGCACGCCAUUGUUGGGCUCACAAAGAACACAGCUUGUGAGCUUGGGAGAUAUGGGAUUAGAGUCAAUUGCAUAUCUCCAUUUGGGGUGGCCACAGAUAUGCUCAUCAAUGCGUGGAGAACCAGUAGCGAUGAAGAAGAAGACUGCAUGAAUUUUGGGCUGCCGUGUGAGCAACAAGUGGAGAAGAUGGAAGAGUUCGUGAGAUCACUAGCUAACUUAAAAGGUUCAACUCUAAGGACUAAAGAUAUAGCUGAGGCCGCUCUUUAUCUUGCCAGUGAUGAAUCCAAGUAUGUCAGCGGCCAUAACCUCGUUGUGGAUGGUGGAAUUACCACUUCAAGAAAUUGUGUUGGUCUGUAAAUACAAUUUGCCAUUUUUCCCUUUUUUUUAGGAUUUUUUUUUUACUUUUCCUUUUCUAGCUUUGCAUUCGUUAGAACAGGCAUCUAGUGUAAAAUUAUUCCUCUAUUAAUUAUAGCUCUUUCAAUUUUAUAUAGAUAUUUUAUUUAGGCCAAAUGAGGAUUUUGUGUUCUAAUGUCUUUAAGAAAAAUUGCCAAAUUCUUGGAAGUGGCUGGGACACAGAAUGUGACAAUGAUGUAAAGAAACAUGCAUAUAGCCAACAAAAAUCACUUCUAAUUUCUGUAGCAGUCAUGAAAUGUAUAGAUGUGUCAUUCGAUUAGUCAUAGAGGCUGCUUGUUGAAUUUUCUUAGGUUCCUUUUCCCCUCGCAGUGGCGUUUGGCAGAAGUUAUGUAUUAAUAUCUGAUAAUUCACAGCUAAUUACUGAUUUAUAGCGGAUUGUAUCAGGCAUUUUGCUAAAUUAUAUUUAAUUGUUAUUAUUAAUAUAUAAAAAAUUUAUUAAAUAUAAAGAGAUAUUUUUAAAAAAUUUAAUAUAUUUAAAAUGAAUAUAAUUAAAAAAUUAAAUAAAUAUUAUAUGACAAAAUAAAUAUUAUUUUAGCUCGACUUUAUGAUUUGAUUGUGGAUGAUAUCAAAAUCGAAGCUGUCAUGCUCGUGACCUCCUCAACUUCAAUAUAGAAGGGAGCCACUUGCAUUAAUAUCUCUAAUGCUCUAUACAAGUCAUGGCUUCUUGGAAUUUGAAGGGAAAGUCAAUUAAAGACAGCCUGGAAUGUUACUUGCCACAAAUGCUAGGGCAGACAGACUGUGGAUUAGGUUAGACUUGGCCAGUGAGCCAGUCUGGUUUUCUUUUAGAUUUAAAUUAUUUAUUUUAGCUUUUAUAAUUAAGGACAUGGGGUAGAAUGAAUUAGAGGUUUCUCUAUUUUACUUUUAAUUUUGUUUUGAUUUGCCUAUCAUAAUUAAAUGAAUUGGUAAACUAUAUUUGACAAUUUUUUAUUUAAAAUAAAAAUAUAUAAUUUUUUUAAUUAAAAUAUUUUAUUUAAAAAAAAUUAAAUCAUGAUUUUGUAAAUCGUCAAGUUGUUUUUUAGCUUUCUGACUUUAGAAUACACCUAUAAUGUUGAAUAAGAUUACGUUGACUAGACCUAUCUCUUGUCCUUUUAUUGCAUUUUCUAAUUUACUUUCCACAAAAUUCUUCUUCCGAUAUCAUUUUCAGAAAUUCAAUAAAUAAAAUUCAUAAUAGUUAUAUAAAUUUAGUAGGAGAAAAAUAUUUUUUUUAUUUAUAUAAUUAUUUUUCUAUUAUAAUAUCACUUAUGUUUUGUCAUUCGAAUCCAUAUGUAUGGAUGUAUCAAAAUUUUUUUUUACACUAGACAAUCAAUUUAAUUUUUUUCAGCAAACAUACGAAUAAAAUUACAAAAUGAUUUGAUCUGCUUUCCUACUCUGGACUAAACUUUACAUUGUUAUAUUGGAAUCCGUGGUCUUAGACCGAUCCGUUUGAGUAAGACCUCAAAAGUUAGUACCUUUUUCAAAAUCUGACUUUACUCUCAUGUAUAAAAAAACUCAAUAAUUAUUAAAAUAUUUUUUGAUUGCAUUAAUUUAAUAUAAAUUCAUUCUAAAUAUAUACACGUAAACAUGACAGAUAAUCAGAAAAAUUGCUAAAAAUCCGAAUUAAAUUAUUUCCCAUUAACUGUGGUUUGAAGAGUUGUUGCAUGAAUAUAAUAGUGAAAACCCUUAACUGGAAACUCAGAAAGCCCUGGAUUUCCAGAAUCUGAGUGUGGAGAGAGCUGGCGUGCAUUCAACAUACAUGAAAAGGUAGUUAGGGACAGCUCAACCAAACCUUGGAAUUCAACAAAUUAAAGUAGAAUCCUUUACAGGGCUGUCAGAAAUUCAAACAUCCAUCGCGAACCAUGAGUUGUAAGUCUGUCUCUUGUUUAUUGAAACCAGUACGGUGUCCACGGAGAUCCAUGUCGAGGUAGCCACUUGCCUAUUAUAUAUUUAUAUAUAAGCACUGCAGAAUUCCAACCCAAGCAUUUGGGACCAACUGUCCGUAACAUAACAUUAGGGUAUAUAGUAUAAAUUACUGGUAUAUACUAGGGCUAGUAUAAUACUAGGCCUAAAAAAAUUAGAUACUAUGCCAAAUUAUAUUUAUAUCUAUAUUUAUUUUAUUAAUCCCAUGCAAACCAAAUUCUUAAACAUAAAGUUGCAAAUGAAUUCUGUGGAACUGAAUUUUAAAAAAUUAAAAUUUAAUUUAUUAAAAUUUUUUUAAAAUUAAAUUUUUAUUUAUUUUAAAUUCAAAUUAAAUAUUAAUAAAUUUAGAUUUAAUGCAUUACGCAAAUUAUGUAGAACAAGUUUAACUUUUAUCGAAUUUAAUUUCAAAUAAUUUAAUAAUAAUUUAAUUUAUUUAUAAUUAUAAUAAAUUUUAAUUUAAAAUUAAUUAAAUUUAAAACUAAAUAAUUUUACAAUUAAAUAAGUUUACAUGAGUAAACUUGUAAAAUCUAUAAAAAAUAAUUCUUAAAUUUUAAUAACCUGAAUUUUUAUAAGUUCAAAAAGUAUAAUGAAAUUGAGCUGAACUCAAUAUUGGAAGUUUCGAACUUGAUUUGAUUUUAAUUCUGUUAUGACAUUGGAAGUUUUGAACUUGAUUUGAUUUUAAUUUUGUUAUGACAUCGAGAUUAACUUAGUUAAUGAGUUCGUUUACGAAUUUACUUAAUAAAUUAAAUUAUAAAUUUAUUUAUAAAUUUAAAAAUAAACUGAAUUUAUGAGAUUUAACGAGUUAAAUACUAUAAAAUUUAAAUUCUACUCAUUUACUAAACGACGCUAAAAAUUGAAAUUAAAAUUAACUUGUUUAAAAAAUAAAUCAAAUUUAAUUAAAUUUUUAUUUAAAUUUCAAAUAACUUAUGAAUAUGUCAGACUCUCUACUAAUUAGACUCCCCUCAUAGAUUCCAUUUCAUUCAGCAAGACAGGUUUUGAAUUAGUCAAAAUGAAUAUGGCACUUAAAUAGCAGAGAAUCUAAUAUAAAAAAAUGUUUCUUGUUGUAAAUCUUUUAAGGGAUAAAUAGUAAGUUAAAAUUUGAUUGACAAUUAAGAAAAAAUUAGUAGGAGAUUAUCUAACUAAACCAGUUCAUUAAACCUCUCCAAUACAAGGCACGCUAAAUGGGAAAUUCUGACAAAGACAGUAUAAACUCAGGAAUCAUAGCAAGCAACAUGUUAUCAUAUAGUUAUAACAAAAAAUUCAAAUUCAACCAUUUUAACUCAAAGUUUUUAUUUUUUUUUAAAUUUCAUUUAAUAUAUACAUAGGUUUUAUGUUCCAAUUAGAUUAAUUUAACUAAAACAACUAAAAUGAUUAAAGAUUAGUACCCAUAAUAAUUCUUUUAAUUUUUGAGUUAAAAAACUUUUACCAUUUCAUUUCAUAUUGUUUUCCUAUUUUAGAUAUGUAAUUAUUGUCUAGUCUGACAUAAUCUGUGAAUUAUUUACGUAUUAAGUUUUUAAUAUUCAACAUCAAACAUCAGCCGACCUUAGCUCAGUUGGUAGAGCGGAGGACUGUAGUUGGCAAUUGCCUCAGCUAAUCCUUAGGUCGCUGGUUCGAAUCCGGCAGGUCGGAGAUUUUUUACAAAAAAUUUCUUAUAUGUGUUGUUGUAUAUUUUUUUCCUUCCCCGAUAGCAAUUUUUCUCUUCAAGAAAUGACACGGUCAAUAUAAAUAUAUUUAAAAACCUGUGUAGUUGGCUAACUGUAUUUUGAAUUUCGAAAAUUUUCUUUUUCGGAUAAAAUUGCAUAGCAUAUAAAUAUAAUAAUACCGUUAUUAUAAUUUAGUAUUAUAUUUAUAUUUUUGAAAUUUUCUUUUGAAGAAUUUAAUUAUUAUAAUUUUAAAUUGAUUCAAAAAAAUUAUUAUAAUUUUAAAAAUUUAAAAGUAGUCAAAGGAAAUUAGGACUUCUAUAUUUUGAUUUAUAAAAUUUUACAUUAUAAUAUUAUCACUUAGUAACAGAAUUACAAACUUAACGACUAAAAGUAAGAGAAUUAUUUUUAAAAAAUCAAUUAAAUUGAGAUUUCAAAAAUUUUUCAUUUAAAAAAAAAAACUAAAAUAAAAACCAAUUCGAGCUUUGCCUUCCACCUAUCCUAUUGGUCAUCUCAUGAUAAUUUUUCCUUUAUUCUGAGGUCCUUGUUUGGCUUUGUAGAAAGAAUUAUGGAAUGAUCUUGCGCAUCAAAUUGUUUUCUUUAUCCGUGAAGCACUGCUUCCAAACAUAGAUGGUCAGCGGUGGCCGUUCUUGCAACAAUGGUCCGUAGCUAGGAUUUUUGUUAUUUUUUGGGCUCUUAUAUGUACGCCUUUUGAACUUUUGGGCCUUAAUUUUUCAUUUGUUGAUGAUGGGUUUUUUGAAUGUAAAUUCUUCUUAGGCCUUGAAUGUAUACGUAUAUACAUACUAGAAACCUAUAUGGUAUCCACAUACAUCAAUGUCGAAGAAGCUAGUCACUUGUCGAUUAUAUACUUAUAGGAAAUUUCGUACAAGUAUAAAUAUUUUUUGUCAAUAAAUAAUAAAUAAAUCAAUAUUAUGAUACAAUACAUAUAUUUAAUAAGUGUGAUAUGACAUUAAAUUAUUUAAAAUUUUUUAAAAAAAGUAAAUAAAUACAAAUAAAAUUGAGAGAAUAAAAUUUACUCUCAUGAAAAGAUUUGAGACCAAAUGUGUGCAUUUGGCCUUUUCCUUAUUGAAUUGAUUUCAACGAAGGAUGAAGAACUUCGGGGGGGAAAACAAAAAUAAUUAAUUAAUUAAAGUUGUUCGAACUUGUCAGAUACCGACCUUAGCUCAGUUGGUAGAGCGGAGGACUGUAGUUGGCUUAUGCCUCAGAUUAUCCUUAGGUCGCUGGUUCGAAUCCGGCAGGUCGGAAUUUCUUUUUUUUUUUUCUGGCCUUGGGGAAAAAAUAAAAUAUAUAACAAGGCCAGAAAAAAUAAAAUAUAUAACAUUGUUUUUCUUUUUUUCUUUUUUAAAAUGAAUAUUUGAUUUAUCUUUCUAAAAGAGAAAGCAGAAAAAACUACGAAAUUAAUUGUCGUUGGGGGAUUGUGUUUUUUAAAUAUAAUAUAAUAAUCUAAAAUAUUUUUUAAUAAACGUAAUAUUAAUAUUUCUGACUUUUUUAAUCGAAUGUAAACGUUAAUGUUCUGACGUUAUAUCAAGACAAUUGAGGUGUAAAUUCUAAUAUGGAUUAAUGUUUAAGAAUUAAAAAAAAAUUAAGUGAAUAUUUUUUUAAGUUUGUCAAAUGUAUUGCAAGAACAUGGUGUUAAUCCUGUCAUGAAGAAAUUGACUUAGAAACAAAUUUAUAAUAAAUAGAUAAAUAAAGUUGUAAUUUCGGCCAUGAAGAAAACGUGAUUUCAUCAUGUUGCAGUUGUUUUGGGAACAACUGUGCCGAAAUGAUUUAUAUAAAAGGAAAAAAAAUUUAGCGAUUACUAUUCAAAAAUUUAAUAAAUAAAAAUAAAAUUAAUUAAUUUUUAACCGAUGAUCAUUAGAUUUCUCCCACUUAAAACGAGACCGAAUUUAAAAAAAAGAAUAUUGAUCCAAAAUCUAUUAAACUAGUUUGAAGGCUGACUCAGCAGUUUAAAUUCAGAUCCAGACGCGCAAAGCAUACUGAAUUCACAGCAAGCUCAAAUCUAAUGAAAAGUAAUUCAAUCCGGUGAUGUGACGUGAGAAAUAAUAAUUAAUUUAAUCACUUUACAGUCUUAUCCACAUGCGUGUUGGGAGAGUUAAAUGGCUAUUUGGUAUGUAAAGAGAUUCUGACGCAUUCAUACAUAUAAAUUUGAGUGACAGAUAAAUAGAUUAGGUGUCACUAAUAGGCAAAAAAAAGAAAAUAAAAUGAGUGAAACAUCUUUGUUCAAACUUACAGGAUUAAUAUAAAUUUAAUUUUUUAUAUUUCAAAACAUUGUAAAAAAAAUAAAUUAUACUUCCUAGAAAUAUUAUUUUAUUAUUAAAUUUAUAUUUAUUUAAGAAUGAAUAAAAUGAGUGAAACAUUUUCGUUAAACUUAUACGAUUGAUAUAAAUUUAAUUUUUUAUAUUUUAAAACAUCGUUUAAAAAAAUAAAUUAUACUUCUUAGAAAUAUUAUUUUAUUAUUAAAUUUAUGUUUGUUUAAGAAAAAAUAUAUUUUUCACAUUAAAUACUUAACUAUUCAAAAGUAAAAAGUAUAAAAUAAAAUAAAAUCAUUUGAAAUCUAACCUUCAACAAAAUCUGACAAUAAAAGAGAAAAAAGAGGACAAUGAUGAAUGAAAAUGAUCCAUCUCCAACUGACAAGAAGACGUAUCAAAGAGAUAGAAAUGGAUUCAGUGGCUGAAAAAUGGAGGGAGAGAUUUAGGCCAUUAAUGCAUACAAUCAUCACUGAGGACUUAUCUCUUUUCUAUUUUUUAGGCAUUUUGAAAAUUUUAAUUCUAAUCAUAAGAAGACUUUUAAAUAUGUCUUGUCGAGCCAGUAGAGGGUAGGUGAAAAUGACUUAUCAUUGAUUCCAUGAGCGAGGAAGAUUGGUGAAGCCGAGAUUGGGCAUGCUUCUCAUCCAUUUAUGAGGCGGCUCUGUUCAUUUUCAGUUCAAUGUACACUCAAAUUAUUCUGUGGUUUUUGUGAGGCUGUUGUUUGAGUAGAUCGGCUUGUGGUUGUAUCCAACUGGGUCCUUAAAUGCAUGGGCUCUACAUCUACUCCAUUAUGCACAUUGUCUUUUUAUUUAUUUAUUUUAAUACAAUUAACUCUAAAAUAAAAUUUAAAAUUCAACAAUAUCCAAUUUAAAUUUAAAAAAAAUUAUCGAAUUGAAUUAUUUAAAAAUUUAAUUUAAAGUUUUAUUUUUUAUUUUCAAAAAGAUAAGUACUUUUUAAAGUGUAAAAAAUCCUUAACCCGUCCUUUGUAAUUAAAAUUUUAAUUUAAUUAAUUUCUUAUCUAUUAUUUUUAUUGGUCAAAAUAAAAAAAGUCAAGUUUUUAAUUUAAAAAAAUUAAAAAUUAAUGUGAGUUUAUAAUAAUUUAUUUAAAUUUUUUAGUAAAAUAAAAAAUAAAAAAUAGAGUCUAAAUUUGAGUCUCAAUUAAAAUUAAUUAAAAGAAAAAUUGGAGUUUUAGUUCAUGACUAUUAACAAGCUUAUUAAGAGGAGUAGGGUUGGGGAAUUCAAUUUAAAGCCGCACGUGGAAAGGGACAAGGCAGCUACCGUCCCCGGUUCCCUUGAGAAAACGACGACAUGAGUCAAACGGUCAAAGAUUCGGCCAGCCUGGCCAAUCUACUUGACUAGCAUCAGCUACUCCCUCUGCGGAUCCGACAAACUAUAUAAACAACGGUGCUACUAAUUAAAAUUUCUCGAUUGGUACUAUAAUUUAUUAUUUUCAAAAAGAAAUUCGAUUAAAUUUUUGUAGUUUUACUUAAUAAAAAUAAUUUUAAUUCAUUUUUUAGCAAGUAAUAAAUAAAAUUACAAUACUAAAUAUUAUUUUUAUAAUGAUAAAUUAUUUCAUUUUAUUUCAAUUUAAAAAAAUUACUUUUAAUUUUUGAUAUUCAAACUUUAAAUAUACUAAUAUUUUUUUUCAAAAAUAUUUAUAAAUUAAAUUAUUCAUAUUUAUUUUUUAUAAUAACUUUUUAAUAAUAAUUAAUAAUAACUAUUUGUAUUUAUUUUUUAUUUAUACAAAUGAAAUUAUAUAUUAAAUUUUAAAUUUUUGGAAAAAAUAAAUUUUAAAUUUUUAGAAAAAAAAUGAUAUUAAUAAUGGUUAAAUUAUUUAAUAUUUUCAUAAAUUAUUUAAAUAUAAAAAUAUAAAUUUUUUAAAAAAUAAAUUUAAUAAAUUAUGAGUUGAAUUAACUUUUUAAAAAUAAAUAAUAAAUAUAGAUAAAAUUAAAUAGUAUUUAUGUGGAUAAUAGAUUAAAUCAUUCAAAUUAAAAAAAAUUAAAAAAAAAAAAAUUCAGUCAACUUGUAAAAUUUUAUUUAUAAAAAUUUUCUCCAAUUAAUUUUGACUUUCAAUUUAAAAAUUUUAUCUUUAAUAUUUAUAUUAAUAAUUUUUUUUUCAAAAAAUAUAUAAAAUUAAAUAUUUUGCUAAAAAAUUGAAAUUAGGCACUCCUUAUUUAAAUUUCUAGAUCCUUCUCAAUAUAUUAUUUAGUAUUUUACAAAUUGGACUUAUUUAAUCCUUAAAAAAAUAUAUAUGAAUUUAAUUAAAAUUAUUUUUAUUUUGUUUUUGAUAAUCAUAGAAAAAAAAAACAUUAUUGAAUUAUUAUAUACUAUGAUUGUAUUUUAAAACCAAUCACCUAUUGAAUUUUUGUUUUCACUUUGCUAACCGCUGUGAAAGAAUGUAAUUUAAUUCGAUUUCAUAUAUUAAUUUAUUAAAUAAAUCAUAAUUUAUAAGUAAACUUUCAAAAUAAAACCAAUCAUACUAAACUUAAUAAAAUUUACCAUACAACAAGCCAAAUAACAAUAAUUUAACAAUAAAUUGAAGCAAAUAAAAAAUCUAAAUAAAAUAAAUUAUAAAAAUAAAAAUUAAUUUUGCUAUUAAACUAUAUAGUAGGAUUAAAAAUAAGGUAAAAAGAUUAUUAAACUAUACAGUAAGGUUAAAUAUGUUUAGUAUAAAUUUAUUCAUAUACACCGACAGACUACCAUUAAUAUGCUACGGAUGACCUUUCUCAAUCUUUCAUUUUCUGGUCUACUCACCUUUUUUAUUUACAACUAUGUGCCAGAAAAUGCCUAGUAUUUGUGGGGUUCAGUUUUGGUCACCUGGACUUUUCAUUCUUUAAUCUUUUAUUUUUAUUUUAUUGUCAAUUUCAAUAAUAUAACACAUUCUAACGAAAUUAAAUAUUUUAAUAAAUAUUCCAUCUCUAUAUACCAAUCAAAAAGAUUUAAGAAAAAAAACUCAAAAAAAUUAAUAUUUUUUAAAUAAAUAUCUUUGGAUAAAUAAGAAAAUUAAUAUUAAAAUUAGGAGAAAAGUACAAAAUUUACAUAAUUAUGGAAUUAAUGUACCUAGAGAAAAACGGUAAAAAAGAAAGAUUCCAUCAAAUAUUUAGAUUGAACCUCCAAAUCAUGACAAAUUUGAAGGGUAAAUUAGUCAUUUUAGAAUUUCAUAUUAAUGCACCAAAUUCUUAGGAGAACACAGACCGUUGGAUCUACCACAUCAUAGAAAUAAUCCAAUCUCUAUCACCACAAAUAUUGGAAGAUACCCCACAAUCACACGUAUGCCUCUCCAAAAUUUUGCUAUAAAUAGGUAGCCUUUAUCAGCCAGAAGAUGUCCAAAAAUAUUGAGGGCUAACACCAAGCACAGUUGCACUACAGUAACUCUCUCAAAUCAUACCUUCAAAGAUGGAAUCUCCGGUGCCGGAAUCCGGUAACAACAACCCAGAAAUGCAGAACAAGAUUAUCAUCGAUGUAUUAUACAAGGCAAUAGCACAAGGUCACAUGGAUGAAGUGGCUAAGUUUCUAUCAAGUGACCUGGAGUGGUGGUUCCAUGGACCUCCACGGUGUCAACACAUGAUGAGGGUGCUGACCGGCAAGUCGAGCCACAAUGAGUUCAGGUUCGAGCCAAGAAGCAUAGAGGUUAUUGGGGAAUGUGUGAUUGCAGAGGGAUGGGAAGGUGCACAAGUGUAUUGGGUUCACGUAUGGACCUUGGAAGAUGGUGUUAUUACACACUUUAGAGAGUAUUUUAACACAUGGCUCACGGUGAAGGGAAUUAGCCCAAGUCGCUGGGAAACUGGGAUAGGGAGGCGCCGCCCCACCUUGUGGCAAAGCCAACCCAGAGAUCUUUUCAGCCGUUCGCUGCCUGGCCUACUUCUGGCUAUUUAGAGAGCCUGUGCAUGGUUGCUGGGUUAAUUACCUGUAAAACUGUGAUGAAAAUGGAAAUUUGUAUAGUAUAUUUUAUAUGUAUAUGUGGUUGAACGUGUAGUAGUCGGUCAAGAAAAAUGCAUUUUAAAAUUUUUUUUAACACUUAACGGCUACUCUUUUAACAAUAUUCUUCAAAUAAUUUGAAUUAAGCAUGCGAAUAAAAAAAUACAAUAUAAUAUAUCCUAGAAAAAUAUAUUCUUAUCAAAAGAAUAUAUGUCUAUUUAUAAAAUAUAGUACUAUGAAAUCUUUCCUUAGCAAUAGAAUAUACCUCAUAUUACUUUUUACAAACAGGGGAAGAGGUUCCUUCUUUCUCUAUAUUCUCUUAGCACUUGUCCAUCUAAAUUACUAUUAUUAUUAUUAUUAGUUACAAACUUAAGAUCGUGACUAGGGAUGGCAGGCGGGCGGGUUUUCACGGGUACCCGAUCCGCCCAAACCCUAUUAGGACGGAUUUGGGUUUUUACAAAACGGAUUUGGGCGGAUUCGGGUUUGAAAAAUUUUACCCGUCUCGGAUUCGGGUAGGGUUCGGGAUUAGGUGAUCGGAUACCCGUUACCCGAAUCCGAUUAACUAUACUAACAAAACUAACCAUAAUCCCUAAUUUAUUUUUUCAUUUUACUCUUUCUCUCUUAGUCUAUGUCUCUCUCUCCCUCGCUUCCCUUCCCAUAGUUCUCAGUCACGCCUCUCCCCUACUUUACUGACGACUGCCGGCAGCCCAGUCGUCACCGGCGACGUCUCCUUUCUCUCCCCAGUCGACCCCAGUCGACGAUAAAUCUUCUCUCUCCCCCGUCAGCAAUAUCUCAUUCUCUCUCUCCAGCGGCAACAUCUCCGACUUUCCAGUUGAAGACAACUCUUCUCUCUGCCCGGUCGGCGUCGACGAUAUCUCCUUCUCUCUCCCCAGUCGGGUGAAAUCUACUCUUUUCGAUUUACGCUUCUCUCCCCGCACUUCACUGACGCUAGAGACAACCCUUCUCUCCUCAAUCGGCGACAUCUGCUUUGACUAGAACUCUCUUCAGGUUUCAAGAUCUUUUAUGUGUAUGUUCUUAAAGAAUUUUAUAAUUUAUGAACUAUUAAUCUGAUUAUUUGGAUAUGUUAAAAAAUUUAAUUAUUUGCUAUUUGAUUAAUAUAAUACUGUUAAUUUUUAAAAUUUAUGGACAAUUAAUCUAAUUAUUUGAUUAUAAAUCAUUAUUUGCUGGAUUGCUGAGUUGCUGGUUCUUGUCAUUGAACAUUUCUCCUCCUACUGGGUUGUGCAACUGUUAGAUAGUUUAUUUGGUUUUGUCAUUGAAUUGAAUUAAAAAAAUUAUUUGCUGAGUUGCUGGUUUGUAUCGGGUUCGGGUAUUGUGCGGGUAUUAUUAAACGGGUUUGAGACGGGUUCGGAUAGUAAAAUUAAAAUAUUAAACGGAUUUAGGACGGGUUCGGAAAUUGUAUAUAUAAUCGGGUUCGGGUUUGGGUACUCUCAAUUUUGCGGGUACCCUACCCGUUUACAUCCCUAAUCGUGACCGAUCAUAAAAUUUAGUGACCCAGAAAUUUACUUUUACAUCCACUGCCAAGCUUUCCAAGUAGGUUUAAAUUUAGGAAAAAUUACUUCAACUAUAUUAAAAUUAACAGAUAUAUCACUCCAUUUUUAAAAUUUAAUAGGAAAUCUCUCCAUUUAAAUUUUUAUUAUCUUAUAAUAAAUAACCAAAAUUACUUUAGAUAUAUAUUUUUUAAUCAUUAAUUUAUGUCAAAAUUAAUACUUAUAUUUCUUGAUUUUUAAAAAUAAAUAGUUUAGUCUCUAUUAACUCCAAAUUUAUAAUCUUGCUGCGAUUAUGCCCCCAACCAAUUUACAGACUAAAUUGCAUCAAAGGAUCUAUAUGUUUUAAUCAUUGUUAUUACCAUGAUUAUUCUAGUGCUACUAAACUAAUGUGAGAUGCAUUUUUGUGUAUGAGAUUUUUUUGAAAGAAACUUUUUUUAUGCGAUGUGUUAGUUUAAAAAAAAAAAAGAGAAAAAAAGACUAUUCUCAGCCAAAGUUGAGAAUUUGUCUUGUAGUUAGUUGAGUAGUUGAUAAAUCGUAAAACACUCUCUUUUGCCUAUGAAAAAGAUAAUUUUAAAUAAACCUGAAAAAGAUAAUUUUAAAUAAUCCAGAUAUAAAAAUGGCUACUGAUAUUGUUGUUUUUAUUAUUAUAUAAUUUUAAGAUCAAAUUUAUUUACAGCAGAAUAAUAUACAAAGUCAGAUUUCAAUUAAUACAAACAGAAAAUUUAUCGCUAUUUUAAUACAGCAUUUUUUUUUCUAUAUGGAUAUUAUAUAAUUGAUAUUAUUACAUUUCAAUUCUUUUCUCACACCUCUCACGAUAAAUUCUGAAUUGGAUUUUAAAUUGACAGAAAUUUAAAUUAAUUGAACUAAUAAAUUUUAAAUUAUUUGUUAAAAAAAAAGUAGUUACUGUUAAAAUAGAUAGAGUGCAGAGAAUAUUUGCUGACAAAGAGUAUCAGGAGAGCUGAAAAAAUGAAAAAGAAAAAAAACAUAAAUGUUUGUAUAUCUCUAUCUUUUAAUAAUAAAAUUUAAAUUGUUUUUCUCUCCAUUUUUUCAUUUUUUAUUAUAUUAAUUUCAUAAUUAAAGUCGACAUCUAGCUUUUUCAUCCUUAUAUAUAGUGGUCUUGAAACUUUGUUUUUUUGAUAGAUAUUCUCCAAUUUUUUUCAUUUUUAUUUUCUAUUUUUAGAAAGCUAUUUUCCUGUUUUAGUCCCUUCUUUUAAUACGUAUCCCAACUGCAUAAGAUCACAUGAGAAAAAGCAUCUUCAAGUAAUCCAAUGGGAGAACACAUGACUGCAAAUUUAUCUGAGAAUUUCCCAACAUUUUUAUUUUCACUAACUGUAGGGUGGAGGGGGCAAACCAAGUUCUGCAUCCUGCAAUUCUACAGUACCACAAACUACACACGCAGUCCUUCCAAAGUAAGGAGACAAUAGAAUAUAACAAAAUUCUAUUUACUUCUCUCCAAUGCCAAAUCAAGCAAUUUGCGAAAGAAUCGGUGAGGAUACAUUGGAGGUUGCUCUGCUAGUGCCUGCACCAAGCAAGGUAAUCGCUCGUUAGGAAUGAGUUUAUUACACUGAUUCCAUUAGCUCAUGCAACACUGAACACAAACGCCCAAUUCCCAUCAAAUACUCCAGCAUAUGUAUGUGCUGUACAAUAUGAAUUUGGAGUGCCAUAGCUACCUGAUGAACCAGGACAGUGGAAGGAGUCAUUCCAGGGACAGUAUUGACCUCUAUAACCAAGACCUGCAAAGGAAAAUUUUUUAAUAAAAAAUUAAUAAUUUAAGUGCUUGAAUCUUAAAUUGAGUCAUAGUGAUAUUAUAUCAUUUACCCUUCAUUUAGAAUCACCAGUUUUGCAAGAAUUCAAUUUAAUUGAUUUCUUUUAUAAUAAAUUUCUUGUUUAGAAUGGAAGAAUUCAAUUUUUUUUAACUUAAAAAUUUUCAUUUUAAAAGAAGUUGAAAUCAUUCAUGAUUUUGCAAUAAUUCAUUUGAAUUAUUUUCUUGCAAAAUGAAUUAUACUAAAGGAAGGGUUAAAGAUCCUUUCUCAAUAGGCUAACUACAUGGGAAGAGUAAGGUAUUAAAGCAUCCCACAUUGAGAAGUUACCAAGUUAUGUGAAAAUAUAUAUAUAGCUUAAAACGUACUACAUUACUUGGAUUAACCAUCUUAGCUAGGUGUAAAGGGUCAAAAAGGUAUUUAGACUGGUUUUAGCCCAGAUAUUACAGGUACACUAUUGCCAAACCUUGUUUCCUUCUUGUUGCUUGGCAUUUUAAAAAAGUUCUACAUUUUAAAACUUGCAGCCUGUUUUUCUAUCUAGUUCAGACAAGCCAAAUGGGCAUACUAACAACAACAUAAAAAUCUUCUCGUGUUCACAACUUGAGACAAAUUCAGGCAGAUCCAAUAAUGUCAUUUAAUGAUUAACAUACCUCUCCACUAUCAACGUUAAGAAAAGCAUCGAUUCGUGAAAAUCCUUCUAAUUGCAGAGUGUUUGCAAUCAGUUCAAUAUGAUGUUUACAAUUCUCCAAAGCCUCAUUACUGAUUCAAGAACAACACAUUAAAUUAAUAAAAUUGAAGAUCAAAUAAGAAAUCAUAAUUAAUAAAUAUAAUGAAGAAAGACAUGGGGAGGAAUUUAUCCAUGAACGCCUGUUUUAUUGGAAAUAAUAAUGUCCAAAUUUUUCUACAAGGCCAAAAUACUAUUAAGAGAUCUGGAUCAAAUGGUGCUGUAUAUGAUACCAAAAUUCAUCUUUGUGCAAUGUAGUAUUUUUCUAAAAGAUGGAGUCGAUGUGUUGAUCAUUAGUGGAUUCCGCAUAAUAUGAUUCACAGCAAGUAAAAGAUACAAGCACCACCAAACACGAAUCCCCUUCAACCAAAUUUUAAAAGCAGCAACUUACAUGCAAAAAUUGAACAAAUUCCAUUUUAAUGAAUAAGAUAUUAGAAAGUGAAAGCAAUGAAGAGAAAGGUUUGUCAUUUUUGUAAUAAAGUUUCCAAAGCAAACCUAACAAUUGAUGUAGGUGGCGGAGUAAGAUUGAUGCCAGUUCCACCUGUCAAAUAUGACAAAUAAUAUAUGCAUUAAGACACCAUAAAACUAUUUUCGAUAGAUAUAAUAUAGUAACUUAACCUUGACAUUAAGCAUUGCCAAAAACUUAACUGUAAUCAUUGUUUUUUCUUCUUGCUACAUUUAAUCAAAUCUCACAUCAUCUAUCCAUUAUUUCAUUACUCACAACAAAUUUUCUCAAAACCACUAUGUCAAAAAGUAAUGCAGUCAACUAGUCAUUCUAAUGACUCAUAGACUGCAUGUAAAACAAAAAAGCACCGCAGAUGAAAUUACAUUCCACCUCUGUCUAAACUCUAAAGGUAUAACUUGCAGCGAGCAAAGACAUACCUUGAAAUUUCUCUUCAAGUGAUAAAAUAGCACCCGAUUCUUUUACAGUAAUACUAGGACUCAGUGAGUGCAUAGAUCCACAUUUUCCUAUAACACCAACUGUUAUUUCCACCCACCGGCUGUGUCCUUUCCACAUUAAGCAAUGUGCAGUUUCACUGACAGAUUUAGAUGAAAAAACAAUUUCAUCAGUCUCAAUGAAAGGUUCAAAGAUCAAGAGCUCUGGAGGAGGGCUGGGCAUCUCAAUCAUUCCAUGUGCCUGGAUAUUACUCCACAGAAAAGAUGUAGGAGUGUUAUUAGGUUAUCAAUUAUGCACAGUAGACAAGAAAAAAAUAAGGACAAAGUUUAGGAGCUAAUGAACAUAAACAUAUGGACUAUUCAGUCAGGAAGUUAAAUUGCUUUUAUGGCAUUCAUCAACGCAGAGGAUAAAAAUUUAGAUCCAAGAAUGGGGAAGAUUGCAAUAGGUUUUUUAUCAAUAUAUUUAUUUGAAAAUAGGUUAACUUAUAAUUAGUUAGUGCUAAAGAUCUAAAAGUAAAAGCUAGCUACUUUUAACUGGACUUAACAGUCUCCAGUAGCAAAUUUUCUUUGAGACAGUUAUCAGAUGCAUCUCCAAAUAAGCAUCCAUUGGUCCAUGCAUAUUUCACAUGUAUAUAAAAGCUCAUUUAUCUUAUUAAAGAUGGCACCCACAUCAAUUUACUUUCAUAAUUGCCAUCUGGUUAUCAUUUCUGAUUUUCUAGAUUGGCAUUUAGCAAGUUAUAAUUUCCCAACAGUCUGUCCAUCAAACAUAAAAUUCAUAAAAAAAAAUCUCAUUUGAUUUGAACCAAGAAAUAUCUAUGAAACUUUUAAACAAAAUGUUUAACCAUAUACCUUUGACAAGCUAUCGGGUGGUAUCCGAAGAAGGCAGUCCCUCAAUGCUUUGGCAUACACCACAAGGUCAUCGGCACAACUAGAUGUACAAUCAAAUAAGCAGAAUCAGCAAUACAAUGAGAAAUAUCAAGCAUUGUAGAUAAUAUAGAUGAUAUCAGUUUUGCACAUGAAGUCUCAAGGAACAUUUCAAUAUCCAAAAGCACAGCACCUUUCAAAACAAAUAAAAACAUGCCACGUUUGGACAGAAAAAUUUCAAAUGACGGAAAUCGGACAUGAAGUUUAACUUGUUGACUAGAAGAUGUGCACUCUUAGAUUUAGUACAUUCAUGCAUGAAGAUAGUUUCGUGCACAUAAAUGAAAGCCUACUUGAAGUGCAAUAAAUUACAUCUUUUCAUAUGCUUUUCAAAAUUCACCCUCAAAAAGUUCUUAUUUACAUACAGGAAUCUAACAUAAACUUAAUCAAAUAAAACCAACGUAUUAUCAAAUCCCUCCAUCCAAAUGCAAUAAAUGAAGCACAAAGACAUUUGAUAAUAAAACAUGAAUAAACUGACCAUAAUCUUGCAACACCAGUUGAGCAUCCAUCCCUUGCUGGUUUAACACAUAAAGUUUCACACUGAAGGGUUGAGGUCAAAUUAUUCCAAAACUCAAGUGCAGGCUUAUUUAGCAAAUCCUCCUUUUUGCACACUUCUUUAUUUAUGGUAAGAACUCCCUGAUCUGCAAGCUGUUCAUUUCCACAGAUGAUGAGACUUGUCAUACCAAAAAGGAAAAAUGAAAAAGUUGAUUCAGAUCAUAGACGACAAAAGGAAAUACAAUAAAUUAAUUUUGUUAGCAUACAUUCCUAAGAGCCAGAGAUGUUGCAACUUUGUCCAUGCAAGUCUUUGAAGCUGCUACACCAGGACCUUUAUUUGAAAAUAGGAGGACCAUUAACAAUUAAACUUUAGAACAGUUUGAUUGUUUGUCUGCCAAGUAAAUUAGAAUAAACCUGUAUAAGGAACACCUUCGGCCUCCAGCAAAGAUUGAAGUGUACCAUCUUCACCUAUGCCUCCAUGCACUAUUGCAAAGAUUAAUUAAUGUCAAUAUAGAGUACAUAAAAAAAUAAGAAAAAGGAUUUGCUCUAACCUUAAGCAUGUGACCCUAAAUAUUCUAUCAACAAAUAAAAUAUGCAGGGGGCUACUACCAAGUAAACCAGAUAGAAGAUCUAAUAAUUACAAGAAUUAAUGCAAAAAAUCAAUAAAGUUCUUUCUUAAUUCUGAUUGGUCAGAAGAUCAAACGAAAACAUGUAACUAUAUUCGAGAAAGAUCUCUUUGAAUGAAUAACCUACCUGCACGCUCUAUGUUUCUCUGUCAUUUUAACUAAGAAGUAUACAAGUUUUGAAGAUAUGCUUUUUAUUAAAUGAUAAAACCAUCAUCAACAUUAGGGAGCGCAGUAAUUUUCAUUCAUCCAUGAAAAACAAAAUAAAAGAGCUUACAUCUAGCGAGUAGCAAUAUUCUUGGAUUGGCAACAUCUUAGUUGCUGGUUCACUGUGGUAGCCAAUGCUUGUAAAAGAAAUGCAGAAAGGUAAAACUAUCCAAUAAAUUCCCUUCCCAAUUCCAUACUUCAGUUUGAUCAGCAUCAUGUAGUGACCAAUUUCUAAUCCCCUAUUUCACUAAUAUCAAGCACAAUCAAAAGCAAGUAAUAAGUUUACUUUGUUGCUUGACAAAGAAUCCACUUGCCAUACUCUAAACAGUUGAAUUACAACACUUUCCCUUAGAAAUGUCAAAUGGCAAUAUCCAUUAGAAAAUAAGCUGCGAAGAUAAAGAUUUAAUGCAUAUGCAUGUAUUUAUCUUUGUUGAAUCCCACAUCGGUUGUGGAAAGGGAUAAUAUGCCCCUUAUAUGGGCCAUAGGCACUCCUCCCUCUUGAACCAGCUUUUGGGGUGAGUUAGGUCUAACCCAAAUUUAACAUGGUAUCAGAGCCGAUGUUGGGCUCCCAUAAAUAUGUCCACACACCAGUAAAAUUCUGGGCGUAAGGGGUGUGUUGAUUCCCACAUCUGUUGUGGAAAGGGGUAAUGUGCCCCUUAUAUAGGCCACAGGCACUCCUCCCCCUUGAGCUAGCUUUAGGGUUGAGUUAGGUCUGGCCCAAAUUUAACAAUCUUUUGUACCUUUUCAUGUUCUGUUAUAGUUUCCAGAAUGAAAAACGAAGACCUGUAAACAUGACUUUUGCUGCGAAAUGAAAAACAUAUGCAAUAAGUAAGAUAUCAUGCUGUAACAAAAUAAUUUACCAUGAUAACAAUAUCCACAGAGAAGCUUUUAUUGGUUAGAUUCAUGCCAAAAAUUAUGAUUUCAAUAAACACCAACACAUAAAUCAAAUAUGACAAAAUUAUGCCAUUUUACUCUAAUGAGAAAGAAAUAUGCAACAUUUGACUGAAAAAAAAAAACACAUUACAAAUAUCUGAAAAAUAGGACCUGCAAUGAAAACUGUUGCUUCAACUUCCUUGGCAAGUUUAAUCCACUCCUCCAAUGAAAAUCUUGUAGGUAGAUCAUCAGCAAUAUCAAACCCUUUAAACCAACUAUGCUUUUUCAAACCUUCCAUGAGAUCAUUUGUCACUUGGUUGCGCAAGUGAGAUGUCAAUGCAGCCCGAGCUGGUUCAAUUGCCUCUAUGCAAGCAUCGAGAACUUCUUCUGUUGUGUGUCUCAGCACAAGAGAGUAACUGCAUUCAAAAAAUUAUUAUUUUCUAGGCUUUAAAAACACCAAAAUAGAGAAAUAUAAGAUAUGACUUACGGCAAUGACCAAACUGCUCUAGAACUAGCAUCAGAAGAACUGCCAUUUGAUGGGGCAAGCAAACAAGGAGUUACAUCAAGCUGCAGAAAAUGCAAACCAUAGACACGAUCAAUAUGAACACUAACACUUGAGUAGAAACCAAGAUGCCAAGCAAAUUGAAAUAGUAGACGUUGGGCCAUAGCAUAGUAGCCAUGAAGAAGUAUAGGACAAACUUGGUUGCAGGCUAAGUGUUGAUAUACAAAACAAGUGCAUAUACUUUUUGAGCAUGGAAAUACGGUUUCUUUUUCCAUUUCAUGUCUCUUUUCUUUCCUAGUUCUAAGGAAUAAUAUUUAGAGAGUUCUGGAACAGAGGAGGCAUUUGAAAUUUUGAUUCAGUUCAUCCGGUCAAUGCUAUAUGGCUAGCUUCCAUUCUGAAAAUGAAAUAAUAAAAUCAACAGCCUCAUUCAUCAACAAGACAUUUUAGCUAUUGGCAAUGAAUAUAGUUACAGUUGUACUUGUACCAUUGUACCUCCAAUUCUUCACAACAUUAAAUAUGAAUGUAAAGCAAUAGCAUCGUAUUUCAAAGUCAGCACACUUUGUUUGUUAUUAUUUGUAAACAUAAGAUUAACAUUCCAUUUUCUCUAAAAGAAAAAGUAUAUCUCCUCACAUCACCAGCAUUCACAUACAAUUGAUACACUUCCAAAUGUAUGCAAUCUAAACAAUUUAAUAACAAAUAUCUCCUGAACUUACAUCGUUAAAGGCUUGCAAGUUAAGCCAUACAUUUGUUCCGCUCAUAAGGGAUACUUGCCGCUCUGAAGUGUCCCCUCCAAAAAUAACAAAAACUUUGCGAGUGCCUUCACGUUUCCUGAAUGUUUCAGUUUCCUGAAAGGAUUUUGAUCUUCUUGGCAAGUGAUUAGAUAUACUAUUCUUCGAAACAAGAUUGGGAAACCUCAAGCAAGCAUGAUGGAUGAUACUCCGUAGAAUAUUAGAAUGAGAGAAUCCAACCUUGAGAGUAAAGGAACUUUGUGAGAAAAAUAGCGGUUCAGAAACAGAUGAAGCAUGGCCAAAGAAAAAAUAGAACAAAAAAUUAUGGAAUAUGUUGAACAGAAAAAAAAAUGUGGGGCAUAAUUAAUCAGCUAGCAAAAUGUUUAGGAAGCAUUGAAUUCUAAAGUUCAAACUAUUUGUACUCUAUAAUGUGCUGCAAAAUAAUAAUGAUAAUCAUAAUGCACUUUCUGCCGUAUGCCUACCUCAAUUCAAAUAGUGUCACCUGAUAAAAAAAAAAAAUCAAACUGUUGCAGCUAAGUUCCAUCCUCAAGCAGCAUGCAACUCAAUAUUGCCAAUGACAUGAAACAAUACUAGACGCCACCUAAUAGUUGGAGGAUAAUGAUUUGAUGAAAAUGAUAGAUUCAAACAACGAUGCUCUAAACUUCUACCCACCUGGGCACCCCCAACCCGCACAUGCAAAAAGAAGGUAUAUCACUAAAUUUUAGACAUUAUACACCUAAAAUGAUUGUGAACCACACAAGUUGGAUCUAGUUGACAACUUUCAGUUCAAGGCCAUAGCAGAAAAUAUUAUGAAGCGUACCUUUGAAGCUUGUUGAAAUAAAAAGCUGGUCUGCUCCAUUCCACUGAUCUGAAAAUAGAACGAAAAAUCAAUAUGGCAUGCCGAAGAAGGAUGCAUGGCCACAGUCCUCAAAGGAUGGACAAUUACCUACCAGGUUAAUGUCAGUGAAGAGUACUGGACCAAAAUCAGUCCUUCCAAAUUUCCCAUCUGAAGUCAAAAACACAUUACUGGAAGGGGGCAAAAACCAUCCAUCUAUUCGAGCAAAAUCACGAAGGUGAAGCCGUUGGAAUAAUAAAGAUGCUCCUUCUCGAAUCUUUCUAAUUACAUCUACAGGAAAACGAGGCGGAGUAUGAUAAGCUACCUGGGAAGAAAACAAGAAUUUUCUCAGGAAAAAAUAACAAAUAGAGGCAAUACAGAUUAAAGAAUGGAAUAUUUUAUACUUAACACAUUUAAAUAAAAUAAUUGUGAUGCAAAAUAUCCAAUUCACUGCUUUUCUACCUGUUGUGUUGGAAGGUACUUUCUUCUGUAAUUGAAAAUUGCAUCCUUUUCCCUUACAUCAACAUUGCCAUGAAAUUGAAGUUCCACCUGAACAUCACAUGUCAUUACUGGAACCAAAUCCUUUGUUAAGCUAUGUAAGUUUAUUGCAUAUUCAUCUAAACCUUGCAAGAGCACUAAUAAAGGCACUUUUAGAAGAAUUUAAUAUAACUCAACAACAGUAUGUUAAAAGCAGUAUUUCAAAUUGAAUCAUGCACUCUCUGACAUAUCAUGGAUAAACGAAAUAUCAUUCUAAAUUGCAGUGCAUUCUACCUUUUAUCGCCUUUGAGUUCUAAACUGGCCUUCUCAAAAGAAAGAAACUGUGAAGUGAAAUGAUGUCAAAAGCUAAUGGGCAUUUACCUCAGUUGGCAGUAGAACAACAGGAUGACAAUCAAAGCCAGAUCCCACAUCAAAUACAAUGGCUGUAAACUCACUUCCUCCCUCAAGGAAUAUUUCAACAAGGACUUUAUCGUCAACCCCCUUUCAGACAUUGAAGAACAUAAAAUUAUGUUAGUUGAAUCUUCCAACCACAAUUUUAAGUCUGAUAUACCAACUCUUCUGUGGUUCACAAGUAACACUGCUGCAGUUUGAAAGUGAAUUACCUCCAGAAUUAAAUCAUUUGCUUUUUUAAGAGAAUCAGCAACACCAUAAGCAACUGUUACACCAAUACUUGAUCCUGCUACAGCUGGUUUCACCUGCAAAAAUACAAAGAUAAUGUUUAAGGUCUUGGAGUCUGGACCAUCCCAAAAUAAGUGUUCGCCAUACUUCUUAAAUAGGCACAAUAAAUUGUUCUUACCACAACUUUCCCUGAGUUAGGGUCCAAUUGGUUGCUUGCAAACCACUUAGAUAAUUCAGAUUCGUCCGUUUUGCUUCCCUAAAUGCCAUUUCCAGUGUUAGAUGAUCCAUUCAUAAGAUUUACAGAUACAAUAUGCAUAGUUAUCCAAUUAAUAACUGUGCCAAAAAAAGCCAUCGAAUAGUUGGAAAAAUACCUUCACUAAAAAACUAGGUACAGUUAUGAACCCUUGCUUGCUAAGCUCCAAGGAUGCAUAAUGCUGCCAAUAAUUUAAUGAUAGAAAAGGUUAGAAAUAUCUUGCAAUUGCAGAAGAGGUGGCCACUAGCCAGUACAGUGAAGUGUGCAUAACGCCAUAAGCUAUGAGCAUGUAAAUGUUUCCUUCUGUAUUAGUGGUCUAAUAUUCAUCAACCAUUAAGCAAAAAGGAACAUGCCAGUCAAUUAAAUAUGAUGAAGAUGAAGUAUGACAUGUUAUGUAUCUCUUCCAAAUGCUACACAACUUGUGCGUACCAUAUUGUUAUCCAAUACUAAUUGGACCACACUUGAUGUUAUCAUCAUUUAAAACCUCAAGAAAGAAAAGGAAACCUUGUUGAAAAUUUUCAUUUUUCAAAAUACUAAACCAUGUAUAUCGGUGUUCAUAUUUGGAUAUACCACCUCAUCAAUCUGUUCAAGCACUGUGUUCAAAAAGCUUCACAUGAUUCAUAUCAUUGCAAUAUGAAACAAAGUAGUACAAGUAAUAAAACUAAGUUAUUCCAAUUUCACAUUCUAGUUUAGGCCCCAGACUAAAAACGUGUCAAAAUUCAAAUGAGAAACAACACCACGUUUACAAUAUUGAAAAGAAAGUUUCCUCUUUUACCUUGUCAAAUGCUUGACGACACUCUUUUGAUCCUGUGCCGACAAAUGGAAUGUUGUACUUUUCCAACAGCUCCUGCAUAAGACAAUACGUGUAAGAAUAAAUAUCAUCUAAAACUUUAUCAAGUCGAACUUUGAGCAGAGAAAAAUAAUAUAUAACUUCAUAUAUAAAAAUAAUGUGUGCAUCUGCUAUCGAUGAAGAUAUUAUUCAAUACUUCACCUGGAUGCCACCAUCUUCACCAAAUCGACCAUGAAUCACAGGGAAUACUAUGUCCACAGAGGCAGCAAGAUGUUCUGCGAAUUCAGACAGAGAUGAAAAUCCCAGGGCAAGGCUGCAAAAACAGAAAAUUAGUCACCUCAACGCUUUCAAUUUUCAAUUUAUUAGAAAGUUCAGAAGUAUAGCUUACCUUUCAAGUUUAAAAUCAAAAUCUGCAGGAGUAUUUGAGUAUAGCUGAAAAAUAAAUGACAGAAAGAAGUGAGAACAAAACCAAUUUUGGCGUAUCAUCAACUUAAGAGCAUCCUUAAGAAAAUAUUCAUAUACAUAAUUUUGGAAUCUAUGGGAAAGAAACGUGGAUGCUUCAGCCAUUCAAAGCGUUGCUGAUCAACUAAAACAAAAAACACAACAUAUGAAGCAAUGCUAAAUUUUUGGCAACAAUUAAAAAAAUCUCAAAUGAUAGUUCUAUUCAGCAACUCCAACUGCACUAUGUUUGCCGAUAUAAGAAUUCACAGACAACUGUGUUAUACAAACCUGAGCAGAGGAUAUAGCAUAGGCAUUGAGUUCAUAGUCUAUAUAGUAGCAGCUCACAUGCAAAUCUUCACCCUGACACAAAUUUGAAAAAUUAAAAAAUAUAUAUUUGUUUUUUUUAAAAAAAAAAAAGAAACAAAAGAAGACUAAAUGCAUAGUCUCUACUUUAAUCAUCUUUAAUUACGACGUAAUAGAGAAUUAAACUUUAAAAAAAUGUGUUUGGUCAAAUAUAUUGUUUAGAAGGUUUUUUUUUUUUUUUUUUUUAAAUUUAAACGUUUAAAAGUAAUUUUUUUAAAAAUUUAAGUAUUUAAAAGAAAUUUUCUUUAAAAAAAAAAUUUAGGUGUUGAGGUGUGGCCAAAAUCAUUCAACUCCAUAAAUGCAUAAUUACAGAUAUAGUACCUGAAUGUGAUCAAGAACUGAUCUAGCAGAGUUAAGAGAAAUCCCACGCUCUGCAGAGGGACCUCCACAUAUUAGACCAACUCUGAGAACCCUACCGGCCUCCUGCUGCUUCUCCUCAUCCUCAACAACUCGAUCAUCCACCACCUCUAUUGUGGAGCGUGGAACUCCAACUCCAAAACACCGCGUCUUCAAACAAGAAGAAGAAACAUUCAACAUCCAAAUCAUUUCCAACGAGUUCGGAGAAUCAGAAAAAGACAUCCGCGGAGCAAAGCUCGAUUUCCAUCCAACGGUGUCGUACAGCCGGAUGCCGCCACGAAGAAAGUGGAGCUUAGAAGAGAAAGCAAGGGAAUCCAUAGAAAGGAGAAAAGGAGAGGAGAAGCACAGAUGAAAUUGUUCUCAAUAAUGGAGAAGGAAUAGAGUAGAGAAGUGAGAGAGCAUUUAUUUUGUCCCGUUUGAGCUGUCAAUUGAAAAAUAUAUUGUUUCGGACGGCAGAGCAGCUAGAGUAGCAGUUCUCAAGUGCGUGUUUGUUCUCCAUUUUAUUGGCCGUUAUGAACGUUGUUCUCUCUUUGUUUGCUCAUUGUAUAGUUAUUCCCUAGUGAAUUGUGCACGCUAUAAAUAAACAAAACUUUAUUAAAAUAUAUUAAAUGAUUCAAUUAAAAAUGAAUAAUUACUAAUCCAUUUAAUAAUUUUAUUCGCGUGUUAAAAUAUAAAUCGUGAAUAACAUCAUUAUGCAACGUUGAUACUCUAAUUUAUUGUACAAUUUUCCAAAAAGUUGCCAAAAAUAUAUAUACACACAUGGCAGUUUCACAGAAAUGAUAUUUUUUAAAAUACAAGAUCACUUCCAAAAACGUCUCAAAUGUCAUUAUUUAUCUUUUGUAUUUUUAAAAAAUAAUUAAAAUAUUUUUAAAUGAAUAAAUAUUUGAAUUCUUUUAUUCAUCUUAUAAGUAUAUUAUAAUAUAUUUAAAUAAAUAACUAUUUAAUGCCUCAAUCUUUAUCAUCAUUAACAUUUCAUCUAUUGAAAAGUAUUAAAAUAUCUUUGUUAUAUGAGGUAUUUUAAUAAUUUUCUUAAAGUAUAGUUAAAUGGAUAGAGAGUUGAAAGUGUUUAUUGGAAUCAAGACUUACACUAUUUUGGACAUAUGGUGAGAGAGGAUAGAAAAUAAAAGAAAGAAAAGUUUUUUUUUUCAUCCUUUAUUUUUCUUCCUUGUGUUUGAUAAACAAGAGCAAAUAUAUUGUUUUAUAUUCUUAUAUUUUUUUUACAUAUUUUUUCUCUCACAUUUCCGUUUUCUCUCCAGAAAAUAUUUAAAGAAAAAUAAUAUCUAUUUUUUUUAUUAUUUUUCAGACUAUUAAAUAAAUUUUUUUUAAAAUAUUAGUAAUUUUUUCAAUUUACCAUGAUUAUAGUUAAAAUAAUAAAUCAAAUUUAAAAAAAUUAAUAAUAAAUUAUAAUAUAGUCUCUAAAAUUCUAUUUAAUUAGUAAAAUAGUUUUUAAAUAUAUUUUUAUUACAAUAAUAUUUUUUUAUUAAUUUUAUUAUUUAUUUUCUAUUUUCACUUUAUAUAAUAUUAUAGAUUAUUAAUAAAAAUUUAAAACAUGAAAAAAUAAAAUUUUAUAAUUUUAAAAUAUAUAAUAUUUUAUUUUAUUAAUAUAUUAUUAAUAAAAAGUAAAAUUUUUUCAAUAUAAUAUUGAGUAUAAAUAUUUAAUGAAAUAUUUUAAUAUAUAUUAUUUAUAUGUGAUAUUUUAUAUAAUAUAAAUUUAUUUAUAAUAUAUUUAAUAUUACAUAUAAUAAAUAUAAAAUAUAUUUAAUUUUAAUAUAAAAUUAAAUUAAAGGAUUACACAUUUUAUUAAUAAAAUAAAAUUUUAAAAACUAUAUUAUAAUUUAUUAUUAAUAUUUUCAAAUUAUAUAAAUAAAAUUAGAGAGAAAUGUAAAGAAAAAGAAAAUAAAUAAAGAAAUAAAUUAUAAUAAAUUAUAUUUUAGUAUGUACGGGUCAAUCUAUCUAUUUUUAAAACUAAACACUUAAAUUCUUAUAUUUUUAUUCCAUCUAAAAAUUUCUUCUAUCAUAAAAUUUAUUUAAAAAAUAUAAAUAUUUUAAAUAUCAAAAAUAUCCGUUACAAAAACCUCACCCUCUUAGUAUUCUCCUUUUACUUCCCUCCAUAUUAACUCUCUCUCUCCCAUCUUCAUCUUUAAUCUUUCUUCUUUCUGCAUUUUUCUUUCUCUAAGGAUCUUACAUCCUUCCAUCUAUGGUGUCUCCAACAUCUUCAUUCUUUGACAUUCUAAUACCCAUUUGAUACAAGAUUUUUCAAAUCAAGUUUUAGUUUUCACUUCAUCUUUUUUAAUAGAUGCAUCUUAAAUUCCAACAGCAGAUUUUCUCAAUUUUUUUCACUUGCCCAAAUGCUCACCUUCCUAUUUUUUCUCAAAUUCUUCCAUCUCCUUCACAAACCCUACGUAUAUAACUCCAUUAGGUUUUAUUAAAAUUCACAUAGGGCAUGACUUGUAUGGGUAAAGUCAUAAAAAUUAUACUGUAUGGGCAUGACUUUUUAUCAUAAAAAUUAUACUGUAAUCUUUUGAUAAUUACAAUUGAUAAAUUAUUUACCAAAAUAUUUGUUUAGAAUGGUAAAAAUUAAUUAUAUUAUUAUAAAAUAAAAAAAUAACAUAAUAAAAAUUAGAAGUAAAAUCAUUUUUAAAUAUAUUCAAUAAAUUGUUUUUAAUCAUAAAAAUGAGAAUAAUUUUUUUAUUUUUUUACAUAAAAAACUAUUUUCUAUUAUUGACAGCCAAGCACAUUUCCAUAUUUUCCCUUAACUUUUAGAAAAUAAGAACUGCAGUUUCAUUACAAUAUAGAAAAAAAGAAAAUAAAAAAAUGGUAUUGCAUAAAUAAUCAAAUCCUAUUUUUUCCCCUAUAUGUUUACAUACUUUAAUAAAAUAAAAUAAGGGAUAAAUAUAAUUUUUCUUAAUAAAAUUACUUAAUUGUCAGGAAUUAUAAUUUUAUUUUUAUAUAAUAUUAUGAAUACAUAUAAAUAACUUUAAUAUAAAUUAUUAAAAAUUUAAAAUAUAACUAUAAUAUUUUAUAGUAAUUAUAUUUUAAAUAAUCGACAUACGAUGAAUAAUUUAUUUUAAUAACCAUUUUAUUUAUAAUUUAAUCAAUAAAUUUUAUCAUUACUUUUAAUUUUUUUUAAUGUCUAAUCAAUUUUCGCCCUUCAUUAUUUGAAAAUUAUAUAUAUUGGAUCAGUAAUGUGAUUUUUACAAAUUAAUUUUUCUAUAAUCCUCAAUAGAAACAAAAAGGAUAAGAAAGGAGUUGCUAAUUAUUCUUUAAUUUUGCAAAAGCCAAACAACUAAUAGUUCAUAAAUUUUAUAUCAGAAAAAUAUUAUUUUUCUUUUUUAAAAUUAAUAAUUUUGUAAAAAUUUAAUCGAAUUAAUUUUUUAAAAUAAUUUUAAACAAAUGAAACAAUUGAGUUAUUUUUAACUUAAUAAAAUUUUAUUAUAAACAAGAAGUAGAAACAUUAAUAAGCAAAACCGCAAAAAUUGGACUUCAACGGCAAAGCCAGGGGCUAUCUUUUUUUUAAGUGGAAUGCUAUUGUUUUCCUCUGUUUCCAUUUGGAAUCCCCUGGCUGAAAUUUCUGUAAUUGCUCGCAAAAUUGCAUAUUUUAACCGCCCUGCUUUGCAAUACAUGUGAAUUAUUAUUAUUAUUAUUUUUUUUUCUUUCUUUCUUUCUUUCUUUCCUUCAUGUCUGUUUAAGGCUUCUAAUUCUCAAUUCCAUUUUAUGACGAAUAUAAGCUGUUUUUUUUAGGAAUAAAAGCUAACACUGCAAUUAUUUAGCUAGAUUCGAUUCAGCGAUUAAAAAUAGAGUGAUUUAUAAUUUAGUCCCUGGAUAUUGCCAUUAUUAACAAGUCAGUCCCUGUAUUUUUAGAAACCUAUUAAAACGUCUUUAUGUUUUAUUUCCGUCAAUGAAAUAGUCAUUCCAUUCUAUUUUCCGUUAAAAUUAGAUAANNNNNNNNNNNNNNNNNNNNNNNNNNNNNNNNNNNNNNNNNNNNNNNNNNNNNNNNNNNNNNNNNNNNNNNNNNNNNNNNNNNNNNNNNNNNNNNNNNNNNNNNNNNNNNNNNNNNNNNNNNNNNNNNNNNNNNNNNNNNNNNNNNNNNNNNNNNNNNNNNNNNNNNNNNNNNNNNNNNNNNNNNNNNNNNNNNNNNNNNNNNNNNNNNNNNNNNNNNNNNNNNNNNNNNNNNNNNNNNNNNNNNNNNNNNNNNNNNNNNNNNNNNNNNNNNNNNNNNNNNNNNNNNNNNNNNNNNNNNNNNNNNNNNNNNNNNNNNNNNNNNNNNNNNNNNNNNNNNNNNNNNNNNNNNNNNNNNNNNNNNNNNNNNNNNNNNNNNNNNNNNNNNNNNNNNNNNNNNNNNNNNNNNNNNNNNNNNNNNNNNNNNNNNNNNNNNNNNNNNNNNNNNNNNNNNNNNNNNNNNNNNNNNNNNNNNNNNNNNNNNNNNNNNNNNNNNNNNNNNNNNGAAGAAAGAGAAGAAGCAGAAGAAGAAGAAGCAAAAGGAAGAAGAAUUGAUGAAGAAGAAAAGGAAGGAGGAGGAGAAAAAUAAUUGGAGGUAAUUUAGUAUUUUACUAUAUUUUUAACGGCAAAAAUAGACAGAAGGACUAUUUCGUUGACGGAGAGAAAAUAUAAGGAUGUUUUAAUAGAUUUCUAAAAAUACAGAGACUGACUUGUUAAUAAUGUCAAUACCCAAAGACUAAAUUGUAGAUCUCCCUUAAAAAUAUAUUAUUCACUUGAAAUAUCCAAAUUUGAGUAUUCGCACUCUCAAUCCGUACACAAAAUAUAAUGUAUUAAAAAAAACACUAACACCACAAUCCUUGCUUUGCAGAAUAGGAGUGUCUUUGGGCUCCAACAGAUUUUUAGUAAGCAUGCUGCAUUUGAAGUUAUAUCUUAUUUGGGCCUUAGGCCUUUAUUUUAACAAAGUCUCUAUCUUUGAAAAAUAAAAGAAAAAAAAGACACAUGUUAAAGAAAGAGGGGAUAGUUAAGAUGUCGUCUUACCUUAAUAUUGAUUUGGUACAUAAAUUUCAGAUAUAGUUUAAUAACUUAAAUAAUUCAUAUUUUGUUUUGAUUCUUUUUUAUUUUCCAUAUUUUUCAUCUCGUUUAGUUAUGUUUAGCUUUGUGCAUGUCGUUGUUCUUGUCUAUAGAUUGCUUUCUAGGCAUGCCGCGGUCAUCUUCUCUAAUUGUUUUCCUGAUGAGGAUGGAUGGCAGUGGCUUGGCAAUUUCAGGCAGUGAGGUGAUGGAGUUGGACAGGACUGCAUCUAGGUUGUUGGCUUUGACUAUAGAUGUGGGUUAUGCUAUGAGUUGAGUUUGGGUUGGACUUUCUUUAGCUUAGCUUAUAUGAUCUGCUGAUUAAUGGCCUUUAUAAAUUACUUUUCCGCUUAAUUUGUUGCAAUUUUACUUUGUUAUUUGUCAAUCAAUUAAUUAUUAAAAAUCGCGUAUUCAGUAUGCGGACACUGCUGUAAAGAUAUUCUUGCUAUAUUUUCUAUAAAUGAGGUAUUUCUCUCUUAUAAAUAUUUGGAUUUGCCACUACUUCUGUGACGUUUGCGUUAAAAAACUUUAGCUGCCGUAAGAGAUUGCGUCAAGAUUAAAAUAUAGUCAUGGGAGUAAAAAUUAUUAUCACAUACUAAUUGGGCUAUAAUGAUUCAAUCGGUGUUAACUGCUAUACCCAAUUAUUGGAUGUAUGUUUUUUUGUUUCUCAAGCAAUUUUUCUGCUAAGCUAAAUAGUUUGCUCUCUAGAUUUUGGUGGGGUGGUGAUGCGAACUUUUCGAAACUUAAAUGGGUUAGUUGGAAUUGUUCCUGUGAAUCAAAACUUUAUGGGAAUUUGGAAUUUAAAUAAUUUGACAGUUUCAAUCUAGCUUGCUUGCAAAGCAGCACUGGCGACUAGUUCAUCACCUGAUGAACUGUAUGGGCAAGAGUGUUAAAAGCAUUAUAUUUUUCUCAUAUAUCUAUAAGGGAUGCUGUAUAUAAGUGGAAUAAUUCUUGGAUUUGGCAAAGCCUCUAGGAUGGGCGUGAUGUACCGCAUGAAGGGAUAUGUAUAAAUAUUGGUGAUGGUAGAUCCACUCAUAUUUGGUCUGAACCCUGACUGACUGAGUUAACUAGAUUUCAUCUGCAGCAACCCUUGGUGGUUCUGACUAAUGUUCGGAUCACUAAUCAACUACCAUUUUCUAAAAUGGAAUCACUAGCUCCUCACCUCUCACCACAUGAGGUCACUCAAAUUUCAUUAAUAUCAGUUACUCCUAGCAGCACUCCAAAUCUUUUAGUUUGGCGUCAUACUAUGACUGGAUUUUACACUGUGCGUUCUGUUAUCGACUUUUACUACAUCAUCACCAGCUUUUAGGUCUAAUUUUGUUACCAUCUUUUUCUAUAUAUCCUAGUUGUGGUGCAUUGAAGAGUAUUUGGUUCAUUCCGGUCGUACUGAAGCUGAGAUUUUUCAUUUGGAGAUCACUUCAUAAUAUUUUGCCUGUUUUAGCUAGUUUAGUAAGGCGUGGCUAUUUAUCUAAUUCUCAAUGUAAGCUUUUUUACUCUGAACUUGAUACUCUCAACCAUAUGGCUUUUCACUGUUUCUUUACCGGUUUAAUAUGGUUUGCUAGCCCGUGUACAUAUAAGCCUCUGACUUUGCUUUUCCUUAUUUUCUUACCUUGUGGGAGGCUCUUUUAGCACUGUCCAAAUUGGAUUCGAAAUGUUUGAGACUUUUAACUCUUUCCACACUUAUACUCCGACACAUUUGAAAAGAGUGUAAUUAUUGCGUUUUCGAUAAAGUUCCUCCUGACCUUAUGCAUGUUGUGUCUUGUAUCUUAUUUGAUUUCUCAUAAUUACAACUCGGUGGGAUUUUUGUUGAUUCUUCUUCGCAUCCUUCUCAUAUGUCAGCUACAGACAAGAGUUUGCUUACUUGCUCUCUGGAUUGUGUUUUAUUACACUAUGAUGUCUCAUAGAAGAAUCAAUUUUCUCCUACUGUUAUGCUUAUUAUCACUGAUCGGGUUGGAUAAGUUAUUCAUUCAGGUGUUUAUCGGUCAUUACACGUAAAGCUCAAGUUUUGUUAGAUGGUAUUAAAUUGGUUGUGUCUCUAGGACUAUCAUUCCUCAUGUGUGACACAAACUUUCAUAUUUUAUAUUCCGUUGUCCAGUACCUUGGCAAAUUAUUAGUAGCAUUUAUUUUAUAGGUUUGCUCUGUUUGUAAUAAGUUUCCUUUUGACAUAUUCAUCCAUAUUUGAAUAUUAGCUAAACUCUAUCGUCUGAAUUUACUUUUUUAAUAUUGGCUUUUGUACAACCCGUGUUAUUUAUAAUCUCUUUUAUAGUCUUGCUACUUUAGUAUUUUUGGAAAUGUAAUUUAUUUACCGUUAAAAAAAAUUAUAUAAAAAAGUUACUAGUAUUAAAAUAUGGGCUAUAGGCCUACGAAUACAUUUUGUGCAUGCAUUUGUUUAAAGCUGGUGUCUUGCCCAAAUAAAUGACUCCUCCUAAGUAGGCCACUGCCCAAGAUGGAUUUUUCUUUCUCAGUUUACCGGAUUUUCUUUCUAUUUGAAUCCAUAGGAUGUUUAGCAUAAAUUGUACUUAAUCUAAUAUAGUGUUUUUUUUUUACUUAUUAGCAUUUUUCCAUUAAUAUUANNNNNNNNNNNNNNNNNNNNNNNNNNNNNNNNNNNNNNNNNNNNNNNNNNNNNNNNNNNNNNNNNNNNNNNNNNNNNNNNNNNNNNNNNNNNNNNNNNNNNNNNNNNNNNNNNNNNNNNNNNNNNNNNNNNNNNNNNNNNNNNNNNNNNNNNNNNNNNNNNNNNNNNNNNNNNNNNNNNNNNNNNNNNNNNNNNNNNNNNNNNNNNNNNNNNNNNNNNNNNNNNNNNNNNNNNNNNNNNNNNNNNNNNNNNNNNNNNNNNNNNNNNNNNNNNNNNNNNNNNNNNNNNNNNNNNNNNNNNNNNNNNNNNNNNNNNNNNNNNNNNNNNNNNNNNNNNNNNNNNNNNNNNNNNNNNNNNNNNNNNNNNNNNNCAAAACCUCCAUGAAUAAGACAAUAUAUAUUUAAACUAUUAAUAUUCACUAAAAAAAAGACAUUGUGACACUUGAGUUUUAAAAACAUCUUAUAAUAUAAAAAUUAUUAUUAAUAUGAUCUUAUGUUCUUAACAUAAGAUUUAUUACUUAAUUGUACUAUUAAUAAUUAAAAUAACUUAAUAAUAAUAAUUAUAUAUAAUUUACAAAUUUUAAAAUUAAAACUCAUCUUAUUUUUUAUAUAUUUAAAAUAAUUAUUUUUAAUAUUUAAAUUAAUAAAAUAUUAUAAAAAAAUUUACGCUAUUUGCCUAUUUUAAUUUUAAAUAAUUCCUAUGGGCCAUAAUAUUUUUAAAUUUUAAAGUGUCAAAGCACUUUUCCAAUAUUCUACGCAUGUCAUGUUUGUGUAAAUGCACGAUUUUUCAAUUUGAUUUGAGUUGGGAUAAUGGCCUUGAAAAUAAUUCAUUUUUGUCUUAUCAAGCUUACAGCCGCGUUAUAUGACGUUUGAAACGAGAAAAGUGGAGUUGGUAGGGUUUUUUUUUUAUUAUUUAAAAAAAAAGUAAGAGAAAAAUAUUUGUUUGAAAUAUUUAUUAAAAAUUAAAGUUUUAAUUUAAAUCUAAUAUAGUUUAAUAUAAUAAUAAUAUUAAUAAAAUUAUUUCAUUAAUUUUAAAAAAAUUAAAUUUAGACUUUAAUCUCUUAUGUUAAGUUGCUUUCAAAAAAAAAAAAAAAAUCUCUUAUGUUAAGUAUUAUCGACUUCCAUUAACCAAAAUUUGUAUUAGAAAAUUGAUAGACUUUAAUUUUAUUCAAUUUAAUGUAUUUCUCUUAUUUUUUAAUAAAAAGUAUAAUACCUUCAAUUAAAUGUAUUUUUUUCUUUUUUCCUCUAUAAAAACUAAAAACUGUUAUUUUUUUAAAAAAUAAAACAAAUAAAAACUGUAUUCCAUUCUAAAUAAAAUAAAAUUGUAUUUCCAGAUUCUAUUCGUAAGUUUUUUUUGAUCUCGUACCCAUUUGGAUCUAGUCAAAACCCACGAAAACAAAUCAGAUCUAGAGCUCGGAACGUCCUUAGGCAGAUCUGCCCCGCAGUCUAGAAUUGGAUCCUGAUAUAUAUGGCAGGCCGAGUCGCCUGUGAAUCCAAAAUCAGUAAGAAAAAAGCUGGUCCGAUGAUAGGACGGGGUGAGAAAGAAACAGGCUAGUUCUUUCGCAACCCUUUUCGCAUACAUAUUAGGGAGAAUUAAAUGGCCGUCUGAAAUAGAUAAAAUGAUUGACGCUACUAUAUGUACAGAUCUACUCGACAAAAACGAAUAUUACUGUAACAGAAAAAUUAUUAGGUGUCACUGACAAGUAAAAAGAAAAGAAUAAAAGAAAAGGGAGACCCUUCUCAUAAAAGAGCUUACACAUAUAUUGUAGAUCCUAUUUUCUACAUUUUGAUAUCAUAUUCCAAUAAUAAAAAUAUGAAAAAAAAGUAAAUAAUCUAAAAAGUUUAAUUUUUAGAUUUGAUUUUUAUCAAUUUAUAUUCAUUAAAUUCUGAAACAAUGGUAAAAAAAUAAUUAAAAUUGAAAUAUGUAUUUAUGUUUAUAUAAUUGAACACAUGCCAAUCAUUUAAAAUUUUGAAAAACUUUAUUAGAAUAGAAAAUAUUACUCCUUUCUUACUAUAAUUUUUUUCAUAUUUUAUUUUUUAAUUAUUUUAAAAUUAUUAUCUAUACAUAUAAAUCAACUAUUAUAAUUCUAUUUUAUUUUAUAUUGUUUUCAAUAUAAUCUCUUAUUAAUUAUUAUUUUUUUAAAAUAAUUAAAAUAACUUUUAAUAAAUUUAAUAUUUUUUAAAAUAUAAAUAUUUAAAAAUUAAUAAAAAAUAUUUUUUAAUAUAUAUAAAAAAAUAAAUUAAUAAAAAUUAUGCAACUGAGAAAAUAUAGUAUAAUUUUAUAGGGAUAGAUAUCUCUCCUCGCUAUCCUUCUCGAAAAUAUUGGCUUUUAAUUUUAACUCAGACCGCAUUCAAUUUAGUCGAUUUGUUUUUUGUUUUUUUUUUUUCUAAAAUAAUAAUUUUAAUUAAAAAAAAUUUAACAUCAUCAAUGAUGGUAUAAGAACAUAUUUAAAUUAUUUUAUUUCAAAAUGAAAUGAAAAUAUAUUAAAUUAAAAAAAAUAAUUUUUUAAAUUUAAUAAAACUUAUUAAUUUGUUCAUUAAUUUUGAAAAAAAUUCAUUAAAAAAUUAUUAAAAUAUUAAAAAAUUUAUUAAUCAAUCAUUUAUUAAUUUUAAAUAUUAAGUAUUUUUUUAUAGUAUGAAUAAAAUUUAUUAAUUUUAUAAAAAUUAAAUUAAUUAAUUUUUUAUUUUAAAUUUUUUUAAUAUUUAAUAAUUAAAAUUAACCGAUAAAUUAAUUAAUAAAUUUUUUAAUAUUUUAAGAGAAUAAUUAGUUUGUACAUAAUAAUUCUCCCAUAAAUUAAUUAGUCUGUACAUAAUAUGACUCCUACAAUUGGCUAUCUCUCUUUGUUAAUUUUAGCAUAUCUAGAUCUUAUAAAUGACACUUGAUCAACUUCUAAUAAUAAUAAAAUCUCGAUGCGGGUCUGUGGACUGUGAUGGUUUGUCAUGGAAACAUAUAGUUUCUUUCCCCUCUUGAACUUUCUAUAAAUAAUGCACCUCAAUUAUUUGAAAAAUCAGCUAAUUUUUGUGUUGAUUGAAUUACAUAUUCAACAGAUUUGACAACUCCAUACACAAAAACUGAAGCUUAUAAAUAGUUUUUUAGUUUUUUAUUGAAUUAAAAUAUUUAUAUUUAAUAAUUAAAAAAAUAAUUUAUAAAAAAUAAUAUUUUCACAUUUAAUUCAUCUAAAUAAAAGUGAAUAUUUAUUUUUAUCAAAUCAAAUCAAAUAAAUUAAAAAAUAAAAUUUUAAUAUUUAUAAAAUUUAAAUCAAAUUAAUUUUAGAUAAAAAUCAAUUUAAAUUAAAUUGAUUUGAUUCAAUUUCAUUUGAAUUAAUUUAAUUAAUUGAGUUUUUAAUAAUUUUUUAAAACUAUUUCAAUUUUAAUCAUAAUAUAAUCUUUUUAUAUUAUCAAAAAUAAUAUAUUAUUACCCACUGGAUAACUUCAAUUGUUUUUUUUUGGUGAGAAAUAUUAAUAUAUGCCGAGUAUAUAUUAUUGAAGAUGCUGCUUCCUAAAUCUAUCACCAUCGGUCUCUGAGCCGAUCACCUCUUCCGGCCCGUUUUAAUACCAACACGCUACUCGUUGCGGGCCGUUAUGAUUCUGAUGGUAAGCUUCUAGCCUUUUUUUUAUUUACUAAAAUCUAUUUUCUGAUAAAAUUAAAAUUAAAAAAAAAAAAAACUCUUAUAUUUCAUGACAUACACAUUGCGUUACUAUGACGCUUGUCGCAGAGGAAUAAUAAUAAUGGUAAUAAAUACAAACUACUUCUCAACUAUCCAGAUUUCAGGGCAAAUUAUGCAAAUUCUGUCUCCAAUCAGUCAAUCGGACCAUUAAUUAGAUUGAGCAUAAUCACACUUAUUAAUUAAAAAAUUAUCGAAACCAGAGCUGAAAUGGAAGAAGACAAAGCUACAUAUCUUAUCAAACAGCUAAUAAUAUAUAAUUUAGCUGAAGAUUAAGUGCAUGAUUAGUAUCUUAAUCAUUGAAUUUUAACACUGUGAUAGUCAACAAAUUGAAAAUUUUUAAAAAGUCAACUAUUCAACAAGUGAGAUGAGACAAAAAUGAAAAUGCACAAUCUGAGAUUCUGAAUGAUUGUGUAGGCCACAAAAUUAAUCUCAAAUUAAAUUAAGUUAAACACCCAUAAUUAUCAACCUACACUAGGGUUAAUAAUCACACCCCUUUACCUAUUUCAAUACUUGUUUUCUUCUUACAUUUUUUUCUUAUUGAUUUAUUUAUAUACAUUUUUAAUUUAUUAAAUUUAAAAGAGAUUCAAAUUUUGUAUAGAUAUUAUCAUUAUUAAUUCAUCAUAUUUCUAUAUUUUUUAAAAUUUUUUAAAAUAUUUUUAUUUUUUAUCUUCAUUAAUAAAAUAAUUUUUUUAUUUAUUUUUAUGAUUAAAAAUAUAAUAAAAAAUUAAAUUACUCUCUUUUUCUUUUUCUUAUUUUUUUUAUUUUUCUUUUUCUUCAUCGAUUCUUCAUCUUUUCCUUUGAUUUUUCUUAUUUUUUCUUCAUUAAUUUUUUUUUUCAUUUUUCUUCAUUAGAAAAGAGGAGAAAGUAAUUUUAUGGUUAUCAUUUUCUUCUUUUCUUUCUUUGUUUUUUUCUUCUCCUUCAUUAUUAUUAUUUUCUUCCUAUUUUCUUCUUCUUUUAAGAAAGAGAAAGAGAUUCUUCUCCUUCUUUAUUAUCAUGUUCUUCUUCUCCCUCCUCCUUUUUUUUCUUCAUCAUCAUCCUCUACUUUUUCUUUUUUUUUUAAAAAGAAAAGAAAAACUAUUUUAUUGACGAAAAAAAAAUAUUUUAAUACAUAUGAGAAAAGAUAAGAAUAUUUUAAUAGAUUUAUAACUUAUUAAUAAUAACAAUAUUUAAGAACUAAAUAAAGAGUUUUAUUUGAAAGAAAAUUUGAAUUUUAAAAUUUUUUUUUCAUACUUUAUAUAUUUUUAACAAAAAAAAAAUAAAAAAAUUAUUUUGAUGACGGAAAAAACAAUAUAAAAACGUUUUAAUAGAUUUUUAAAAAUGUAGAGUCCGACUUGUUAAUAAUGAUAAUAUUUAGAAAUUAAAUAAUAAAUUUCUUAAAAUUUAAUUAAAUUUUAUUCAUAUCGAAUAGAUUCAUUAAAAAAUAAUGUAUUUUUAAUAAAUAUUAAUUAUUUAAUUCAUGAAAAUUAAACUAAGAAAAGUGUUGAGCAUUCAUUCAACGCUAGUUAAUUUUUUUUAAUAGUGAUCGUGUUACUUUUUUAAAAAAAUAUAUAAUUUUUUCUGAGUGGUGAUGUCAAGUAUAUUUUGUAAAUUGACAUGUCUAAAAUAAAUAUAAUUUUAUAUGCUUAGAUCCUUAGUUAUAUCCUUAUCAGUGGUCUGAGUAGAGUGGAAUGCCAGGUCAAUGGGCCGCAUCUCGCAAAUUCUUAGGCACAUAUGUACAAAUCCAGCUACCAUAAAGUGAGAAGACGUGGGUGCUCCAUAAUAAUAAUUAAUAUUUUUUUUUUUGAGUGAUUCAUAAAAAUAUUUAUCAGUAUUAUAUUAUUAAUAAGUGGAUCUUUACAUUUUAAAAACUCAUUUAAACAUCAUUAAAUUUUUUUAUUCUCAUCCAAUCAGAAAAUAAAAAUAUUAUUUUUUAAGUAUAUUUUAUAAAUUUCCUAUAAAUUAAAUUUUAAAUAUGAAAUAAAUAACUAUCUAAAACCAACACACUGAGUAUACGUAAUGAUUGUGCAUUUUUUUUCUCACAAGAUGGUUUGAAGCAGUUUUGCCAAAUGCUUUAUGUGGUUAAAAUUUCAAAAUAGUCCUCAUACAAGCUAGGGCUGUAAAAUUUGAUGGUAAAUGAAAUGGACCAAUAUCAUAUAUGAUUAAGACAAAAUAUUUUCAAGGGGGGCCUAGAGAUCAAGAAGCACAAAAGGGGAAUUUUUAAAUUCCUAAACUUCUUUCUAUUUAAUUAAUUGCCCCAUUGUGGGUUUUGAUUUUAUAAUUUGACCCUCAAAUUGCUGGGAUUAGGUACAAAUGGCCAUUGCUUUCUAAUAGGCCACUCAAGAUUUCCAAAAUCCUUGUGAAGAGAACAUGGGAUGAUGGAUGUCUACUCAUUAUGCUUUCAUUCUCAUUAGCCUUUGGACCCAAUAGAAAUUUCAUCACCUCAUAAAUAAAAUCUUAAAGUGAUACUGUUCUCACAUCUAAUAUUAGCCAUUGAAUCAUCUUAGCACUUAUUUACUUUCAAUUUUAUCAACCAUAUGUGAUACAAAAUAAAUGUUGAUUAAAACGGCUGUUGAUAGUGAAAUGUUGUCUAGCUUUUAGUUUAUUCCUUUACAUUGAAGUCCAAUCAUAAAUACCUAUAAUCGAUUGCGGAAAAUUUUUCACUGUUGCUAUGUCUGGAUCAUGUCUCAGUCCCAAUGGUAUAUAUAUAUAUAACGAAAUUAUUUAAAAUAUCAAAGGAAAAUAAAAAGGAGAGUGAUGAGAAAGAGACUCGAGCCGACUUUCCUGAAUAUGAUUGUUUGGUGUUUACUCUUAAUUGAAAAAUGAUUUAUUUUGUUUUGUUUUUUCGAAUAGUUUUUUAGCGUUAAUUUGAUUAAACUUGUAUGAAAAGAAAUUUUAUCUGUCUAUUAUUUAGAUGUGGUCUUAGAUUGGUGCUCAGCAAAGAUUGGAGCAAUUGUUUAGUGGCUGGAGUUUCAAAGAGUUAGUAGCCAUGUGUUCAAUAGUUUAGCUUCGCUUAAAGUUAUAGAAGAUUGAGAUAUCAAUAAGCGUCUCUAUAGUAUUAUGUAUAUAUGCCUCAACUAAAAAGCUUGACUUGCAUACCAUCAAUUUGACUAUUUCUAGAUUUUUUGGCAUGUGUCCUUCAUCGUCUUAGUAUUUAGUUGAUCUGCGCUCAUAAUCAUCUAAUUUGAAGUUGAUGUGGAUGAUAAGAAUGGAAAUCAAUGGUGUUGCAAUAAUUGAUAGAGUUAGUAAUCUCGGAAGACAGACAAAGAGUAUAAUUUUUCGUAGAUUCAUUAUUAGGAGACCUUAAAUUUGAACCGGAUGGUAAAAGGUUUUAAAUAUUGUCUAUUUUGUAUAUUUUUAAAAUUUUUCUGAGCUCACAUUUAAUAAAUUACCUUGUACCUUUGUUAAAAUGCAUCUUAGAUGUAUUGUUUUAAAAACUGAAUCCAAGUACUACUCAAAUAAAUAAACCCUUUGGUUAAUUUUAAUGAUUUUCCAUGCAUUGAAUUGUUAUAAUUAUGUCAAGAUCAAUAAAAUUUUAUUUUUUUUCAAAAAAACCUUAUUUAUUAUAAACUAAAAUAUAAAUAUUUAAAAUUUAUAUGUAAAAUAAGUGAGUGGUAUCAUAUACUUUAUGUCUUCGUUUAUAAAAAAAAAAAAAAAUUAUUAGAAAUCUAAGGAUGCCGUACACGUAAUAUACCUGAGAAAAGAAUCCUUAUUUAUAUACCUUAUAAAAGAGAACCCUCAUAGACUUAACCUCACAUAUCCUAUUGACCCAAAACUUUAAGGCUAGAUUUUUUUUUUCCUUUUCGAAGACUUUAAGGCUAUGUAUAUAUAUAUAUAUAUAUUUGCAAAAAUUUCAUUUAAUAAUUUAAUAGGAAUUAUUUUCAUGGAAUCCAUGGAGAGUUAAAACCCAAAAUAAAUAGAACAGAAAAACAAAAAUGCAGAUCUUAAUAAGGAGUUAAGGACACGAGAAGCAUCUGUGAUAAAGUUGAUAAUGCACAGGAAGUGGACUGCGAAAGAGACAAGGAGUCCACUUGAGAGAAGUGGGUCGGUAAAAACGACAACGUGAGCAAUCAGGAAUCAGAAAACGAAUCUCUAACCAACGAGCAGAUGUACCUGCACUCUUGCAAAAUUUUCACACGCCAACCACUAGUUUAACGGCCUUUGGCGAUUGAUGGAGCAAAAUCAACCCCAUUUCUCCCCUCUUUUUCAUUUUAUUUUUUUUUAUGACGUAAUCCUUUUCUUUCUUUUAUUUCAGGUGAAAAAUGGGAUAUAAUUUUCUAUGGAGGUUCAAUUAGCUUUUCUCAAACUCAAUGCCAAACACCUACUCAAACCUAAGUUGUUAGGGGUAUUCUGUUUUCUUUCCUUUAUUUUGGCAUAGCAUAAUUUAUCACUGCAAAAAAAGUACAAUACGUUACCGUAUUGAAUAAGUUUCAUUGUUCUCAGAUUCGCCCUGUUUUUGUUCGGUCAACAUCACUAUGGAAGUGUCCCACUUUAUUUUUACAUCCAUUUCUUCCGCUUUUCUUUAUUUUCUUUCAUAGUUUAGUGAAAAAUAAGUGAUAAUAUUUUCUUUUAUUUUUAGGUAAAAACAUAUUAAUCGAAUUUAAAAUGAAUUCAAAUUUAAAAAAUAAUAUUUGCUACAAAUUUAAAUUAAAUUUAAAUUUUAUAUAUAAAAUAUCCAUUAUUCGAAUUUAUUUAUAUAAAUAAUUAAUUUAAUAUAAAAAAUAUAUUUUACAAUAAUAUUAAUAAAUUUUUUUAUAUAUUUUUAUUUAAAAAUUAAAAAUUAAAUAUUUUUUAUAUAAAUUAUUAAUUAAAAUUUUAUUAAACAAAUUUAAAUUUUAUUUAAAUAAUAAUAAUUAAAUUUGAGAUGAAUUCAAAUAAUUUAAAUUAAUAUUUAAUAAAAUUCUGAAUGAAUUCGAACAUUAAUAUAAUAGAAUUUGAGUAAUUUAAUUUUUACAAAUAUUCUAACCAUUUGCAUAAUUUUAACUUUUUCUAUCAUUUUGAAUGUAAAUAUUCUCAACUACUCCUCGUCCCUCUCUGGUAAAAAAAACUUUUCAAAAUUUACAAAUGUCACAGAGCAUGAGACAGCUACACCUCAUAUUUAGAUUAGGACACAAUAACAAGAUCCGAGUUAUGUGUCGCGCAGCCGGUCAGAAUAUGGUAAUGAUAAAACAAGUGUACGAUUUUGGCCAUAUGUCAUGGCAAACAUGAGCCUUUGCCAGAAGCUUGCCAGGUUUUUAAUCUUAACUUGUCCAAAUCUGUGUUCGGUGGUUCAGAUAUUUAUCUGAUAUUAAUAUUUUUUCCCUUCAAAUUUCCUUUAUUGAUUUUCACAACAAUUUGCAAAGAAAAAAAAUAUAGCUCACGGUUCAAAAUCUUAAAUCACAUGCCGCAAGAAGAAGGUUCCCAGAAAAGCUCAAUAGCUUUAUGACCCCUAUUUAAAGACAAAGGAGAUGAAAUAUCAUAAUCAUAGCCACAGGCCAGCAUCUUGGGAUCUUAAAUGUAUGUAUCACCUUGGUUUCGAUUGCUGUGCUAGGAGAGUUUUUCUAGUAUAAUUAGCUUUUGUUUUUUUUAAAUUUAUAAUAUAAUAUUUAAAAUUUAAUAAAAUUUACUAUCCUUUUAAUUAGAAAUAAUUUAAUUAUUAAUAUUUUAUUUUAUUUUAUUUUAUUAACAAUGUGAAUACCUAAAUUCUUAGUAUUUAUGUGGGAAAUGAAUAGACGAUGGUGGUACAGCGCAGCUCUCCGAUCUGAGUCAUGGCUCAAUAUUAUAAUUUACAAAAGAGUAUCAAGUAAUGCAUAGUGGGGGCUGCUGAGACUGAAGCAGACCUUCCACAGUUAAUUGGAGAGAAAGAGAGAGGGUGGUGAUAUUUAGUAAUAUUUUUUAUAAGAAGAUAGGGUGAUUAUGCAAUAGGCUAAUUAUUUGAAAUUUUUCAAAUUUAUUAAUAUAUUUAUUUUUAAAUUAAAUCUAAAUAUAAUUAUUUAUAUUCUUUUAAAUGCAUACCUACUAUAUUUUUAUAUUUUAAUAAGGAUGAAAAUUAACGUAUUUCAUAACGAAUCGAUUAAAAUUAAUUUAAAUAAUUUUUAAAUUUAUUUUUUAUUUAAUUAUUUUUACGAUAUAAAAAAUAAUUUAGUUCUAGUUAAAUAAUUAUUUCAGGAAGAUUAUAUACUUCUAUAAUAUAUUUCUUCCAUUUUAUAUUUAAGCUGUUUUCUCUUUUUAGAACAUAAAUUUAUUUAUUACUACCUUUGUCCUUUUUGUUUUAGAAAUUCUUUUUCCUACUUUAUUUGUCAUUUUAGAAAAUUUAUGAAGCAUUAGUUAUUUUAUUUUUUUAAGUUUUAUUUUAUUUCCUAUCUCUUACUUAAUAAUUGAUAUCUAUAUCCUAUAAAUUUAAAGUGAAAUGAUAUUACAAGGGUAUUUUAGUAAAUUACUUGUGUUAUUUUAUAAAAACGAAAUUAUUAAAUCAUUUCCUUAAAUUUUUAUGAAAAACCUUACAGGGAUAGAGAAAGUAUAUGUAAUUCAUUAAUUUUAGAAAUAAUUUAAUCAAAUGAGUUAUUUAAUUUUUAAUAAAAAAUAUGAGUAGAGAGUAUAUUAAAAAAGACAAAAUAAAUAAAUUCAUUUUAAUUAUGUUAAUUUUUUUUAUGUCUAUAUACCAAACAAUUCAUAGUAUUUCAUGCUUUUUUACAAAAUAUAUGAAAAUAAAAUUUAAAAAUAUUUUUUUGCUUUUAUUUUAAUAGCCGUUCACUAAUUAUUACUUUUCAAUCUAAUCAAACACUACAAUUUUCUUUCUAGAUUUAGCGAGAAGAAAUGGAAAAAGCAAGCUAACCAACGGGGAUUCAAUUUCAAAUACAAAAUAAUAAUGUCUUAAUUAUGAAUAUUUAAUAUUUCACCUAAUAUUGGUCACCAAUAAUGAGAAAUAAAAUAUUUUUAUUUUAUUUUUUUAAAAAAUAAAUAUGUUUUUAACCCAAAAUUUACACACAUUUAUGAAUUUUUUUUUAAAAAAAUUAUCAUACAAUGAUUUGAUAAAGAGAAUGAGAUGUCCUUUUUUUUUUUUUAUUUUCGUAAAAUACUCAUCAUCCUUGAGAAUAUAUGAAUGAUUGUGACGAUUUUAACCCAAAAUUUACUUCCUUUACUAUUAAUUUUGCCAAGACAAUUAUAUAUCUCAUUGAAUAAAACUACUAAUGAAAAGAUGUAAAUUACAUUGCUUUGAUUUAUUAUAAUUAAAAAAUAGAAUCAAUCAUGCUCAAUUUGAUAUUAUAUCACCACUUUGACUCAUUUUCUUUAUAUUAUAUUUUUUAAAAUAAUGCUCUUAAUUUAGAUAAAUAUAAUGGAUUCUUUGACGGUAAAUUUUUUUAUUUUUUAAAUAAAUCAUGAAAAUGUAGAUAAAAUAUUCUACUUUAUUUAGAAAAAAGAGUGUUUAACCAUUUAUUUCAAUGCACAUCGAUAAUAUAUAUGUUUAGGAAUUUAAUUAAUUUGGUUGUAGUAAUGGAGUGGUCCUAUUGAUAGUGGUGAGUUGUGAGGAGCUGUUUAGGGCAACUGGGUAGCUAAAUGCAAAUAUGAAAAUGCAAACCCACAAGACUCAUAUAUGGUCCCACACCCAACUAAGCCUUUCAUUUCCUGCCUCUAUCCCCACACCCCCCACAUCUUUUAAAUUAACGCACCUCUUUGCUGCUUUUGUAGUAUAUAUGAGUGGUCUCUGAUUUCACAAUAUUUGCAGACCCAUUUCGCCAUUUCAGGACCUCACCUUCUCCCUCUGUCUAUGUCCCUCUCCGCCUAGCUAGAUAGCUUUUCAGAUUUGUUGUUGAGAAGAGGGCGUGUGGGCAAGAUGGAGAAGCAGGGCACGUGCAUUUCUAACUCAUGCACACACUCAGUCCACAUUUUCUUGGUUGCAGUCGCCUGGUUGAAGAUCUUUUUGCUUAGCUUCAGUGACUGUGAGUUAGUUCUUCAUGUGCCCAUCUUCCCCAUCAUGACCACUACUCCUGGCUACAAUAUUUAUCAUUCAAAGACGACGAUAUGUUUCUACCCAUUUGGCUUUCUUGUCAAGAUCUCAUCCAAUUCGGUGAAAAAAGCUCCAUUUCAGGUCAGUCAUGCAUUAAUCUCCAAAACCCACUUCUCAGAAACCUUCUGUCUGAUAAAUGUUUGUCUUUUUUUCUGUGAGAGUGCACAUGGUUUAAUUAUUAAUUAGUGCCUAAAUUUUCCAUGGUCAAAGGAGUAAAUUAGUUAAUACUAACAUAUUAUACCGUCUGAAUUCUAUAAUACAAACACGAAAGCAUAGCAUAGCUAUCAAGAACAAGGAUUAUACUAUUGGGAUAAAGAUCAAGAAAUUAAGGCUGUCUAUGCCGUAUGUAUGUUGCAAACCAAUGAAUGUUAAGUUUCAACUAUAUAUUAUGAUGGAGCUACGAGGAUAAAGAUAAGAUUUUGACUGAAUUAUUAGUUAGCUAGUUAGCUUAGUGUCAUUAUCAGAGAACUUGUGUUUCCAUGACUGAUGAGAGUUGUGUAUAUUGGCAGCUGCAAAAUUCUUACCCCUCUCUCUCUCUCUCUCUCUCUCUCUCUCUCUCUCUCUCUCUCUCUCUCUCUCUCUGGCUUAUAAUAUAAGAGUUUUGACGCAUUAGAAACUAAAUAAAAUGCCAAAUCUAUGACCUAAUUGGAAUGGCAUAUUCUCUGAGUUAAGUGGGACAAGAACUCGGAAAUUUCAUAAUAUUUAAUUAAGAAAAUGAGGUGUUAUGUCUAUCUGUCUGAUUUUAUAUAUUGAUAAUAAUAAAAGCUGUUAAUUGCCUGAAUAAUUCUUUAUUUAACAAGUGUUCGACAGCCUAUAAAGUACAUAUCUUUAAUGCUCACUUAUAUUGCUUUGGCAAAAAAUUUGAAGAUAAACAAGCCUAAUCAAUAACACAGCCAACCAAGCCUUGUCUUGAAUUCUAGCUGGCUAGCUAGGCAGGGCAGACACGCAUUCAAGGUUCAAACAACCAUCAAGAUCUCAAGACAAUUAUCGGUGUUGUAAUUAAUUAGCUCUUUGGUACUUGGGAUUCUUUUUUAGGAAAAUAAAGCUAUUAAAUUUUAAUAAUUUAAUAAAUUAACUAUUGUAUUAAAUUAUGAGUUUGAUUAUGAACUAGUCGCUAUUAGAAGUGUUUUAUCUGAAUACUACAUUUGACUCGAAUGUAGAUUAGUGCCAUACGCAUAAGCAAAAUUGGGACACUAGAUGUAUGGUGCAAACCAAAGUUCUAAUCCAAGAUUUUUCUACAUUACCAAAUAGGCAUCACUUAAUCAUGGGGCAAGUUGCCCAAAUGGCCACAAAUGGAUAUUGUUCUCUCCACUGAAACUGAAAGUGGAAGAACAAGAAAAAGGGUAUGAAAUUCUCAUUUAUCUUUAUUGAUUUCCAAUUAAAUUUGGGAGUUGCUCUCAUUGAUUGCCAAUAAUAUCUUAUUGUGAGUUGAGUGAAGAAAGAAGUAUAGGUAACAAACUGUGUGUGGUAUGAUUUUUCUAGGUGGAAAAAAAAAAAACAAGAAAAGAAAGAAUUGAUGGCAUAUUAUCAAGAAUAGGGGCAUUUGGUACCACCACCAAGGAGACAAUACAAGACAACAACCAUAUGUCUCCAUUCCAUCCUUCUCGCCCUUUCACUUCAUCCACGUCUGAUUGACAAUGAAAACCCAUUCUCAAUAUCUUUUCUUCUAACCCAAUACAUAUACAUUACAGCCAACCUUUUUUCCUUUUGAUAAGCGAAUUACAUCCGCUUGAAAUAAAAUAAUUUCACAAAAAUUUAGUUUCUAUUUGAAAUAAAAAAUUUAAUUUUUUUACUUUAAAAAUUUUCAUUCUAUAAUUUAGUAAGAAUCAUUUGAAUUCUUUUAUUAUAAAAUUAUUCAUAUUAAACGAAGGGUUUAAAAUUUAAAUAACAGUAUUUUAGCAGCGAUAGUGACAGUGUUGAGACAAUACUUUAAUAACAAUUUAAAAUUAUUAAAAAAAAUUAUUAUAUAUAAAAUAUAUUUUAAUAAAUAAAUAAUUAUAUUUAAUAAUAUUAUAAUUUUAAUCAUACUUUUAUGAAAAAUUAUAUAAAUUAUUGUAUUACUACAUACACAUAUAUUACUUUAUAAUUAUUGGUUUAAAUAUAUAAGAUUACACAUGUUUUAUAAUAGUAAUUAUGCAAUUGUUUCUUUCUUAUUCAUUAUGGGGGACAUGGUUUGUUUCUAUCAAUAAUUAAGUUGGAAAACGUUUGAUUUUUUUUUUUCCUUUUUCGUCUUUGAAAUUCCAAAUUGCAUGUAGUUUUCCAUCAAAUACUUUGGAUUGGUACUGCAAAUUUUGGGCACACGAUCCGGAUGUAUGUGAUAUGAGAAUCUGAAAUGAAUAAAAUGUACUUGAGUUGGUCUAUGCAGAAAAAAAAUAUUAUGAUAUGAUUUUUUAUAGAUGACUUCAAAUAUAUGUUUUUUAGAAUAAAAAUAAAAUUUAUUUUUAUUGUCCUUAAUAAUAGAGUCCAAUGAAUUGGAUUUAUUAAAACCUUCACUGCAUACUUUUAUUUGUGUUAAUGAUGUGCAUAUCUAUAUAUUUAUAAAGCGAGGAAGCAGUUUGACACUCCCAUCUCUUUAAGUGAGUUUACUAUAUUAAUAAUUUCUUUAGGCUCAAUAUAAUCAGUAUAAUAUCUUUAAUUAUAUAAAAAAAACUUUAUUAUCGGUGAUGACCGUCAGACUUUUUACCCGUGGAAUGAGGUCGGACCCUAAAAAAAUAUAGUUCCAAAGCCCAUCAAGCCAUUCUCAAGCAGAUCGAUCCAAUAUCGCAAGACCUAGUCCGAAUACGCGAGGCAGGUCAGAUCAGCCAUGAGUGCAGGUCCAACAGAAAAUAGUCUAGCCCGGUGAUAUAACGCGAGGAAGAAUAGCUGGUGCAGUCGCUUCGCAACCCUAUCAAUAUACGUGCCGGGAGAAAUUAAAUGGUCGUCUGGUAUGAAGGGGUGCUCUUACUCGUCCGUAUGUAUAGUCUGUAUGAUAGAGACAUACACUGUAACAAAAAGAUAAUUAUAUGUUAAAGAAAAAGGAAAAAGAAAAAGAAAAUAUCAUAAAAUUUUAUUUUCUGAAUUUCAAAAUAUCACAUAGUUUAAGCAAUAUGCUGCAUAUGAACUUCUUUAAAGUGACCAAAUAAGAGUCACAUGCAUUGCAUAGCAUAGUUGGUUUUCUAUCGAGUCUCGAAUUCAAUUAUUCUCAUUUACUAAUUUUUAGAUAUUCAUAAUGAUGGUGAGGGGAAAUUAGUAACUGAUAAUCAAUAUUAACUGAUAUUUUAAGUAUUUAAUAAAAUAUAUAUAGGUAUUAUUGUUUAUAUAUUAAAUGAUAAAUAAGGAUAAUAUAUAUUAUAUUAUUUAUUUAUUAUUAAAAUAUACAUAUAAUUAUAUUGAUAAAAUGUUUUUUUUAUAUAAUAAAAAAUAUAUAUACACAAAAAGAAUGUUUUGAGAAAAAAAAUCCAAAAAGAAUGAGCAUCAAUAUCAAAUUUUUUUUCAUUGUAUGUUUUUAAGUUAUAAGUUAAAUUUAUUUGAUAUAGACAUUUUUAUUAAGUCACAUUUUAUUUAUCCAAAAUUAAUAAAAUAUGCUAUUUAUGAUAAAAAUAAAUAAUGACUACUGCUUGAUAAAAAUACAAUUUAUACAUUUUUCAUAAUUAUUAAUUAAUUUUAAACAGAUUUUUUUUCCUUUCUUUUUUUACUAUGCAGUUGUAUCUUUAUCAAAGUUUUAUUGAACAGAUAGACUACAUCACUGGUUUUUUUUUCUUUUUUUUUUUUUAAAAAAAAAGGCAAAAAGUCAAAUUAGAGAUGACCCCAUGACUUCAGCUUGUAGGAAUUAUUUCAAAAUUAUGUCUGUCUGAGUUUCCAGCUGUUCUAUAGUUACGUAUUUGAUCUUCUUACGAUUAUGUAUUGUACGAUGUGCGUGCGAAUGAUUAAUAAUAUACGUACGUGCAUUUUUCAAGUCUAAAUAAUUGAAAUUUAUUGUAGGCAGUUUUAUUAUUUGAAACUCUUUUAAUUAAAUAUAUAAAAUAUAUUUUUUAAAAUUAUUUAUAUUAACCUUUUCCAAGUAAUGCUUAUGAAAUAAAACUUUGUCUAAUUAAGAAAUAAAAUAUAUAAAUUUUAUAAAAGAAAAUUUAAGAAUACAAUGUUUAUUAUAAUUAGUUUUGAAAAGUAAUAACGAUAAUUUUCUUUUAUUUAUCAUAUAAAUUGAUGGGCGCAAAUUCAUCAAUUAAAAUUAAAAAAAUUUACAAAUAAAAUAAAUGAUCGUUGAGUUUAAAAAAUCUUAAAAUUUUUUAAAUUAAAUAAUAAAUAAAAUAAAAAGAACAGUUUAAAAUAUAAAAAAAUUAUUAUUUAAAAAAUUAAUUUUAAGAAAAAUUUUAAAAAAAUAAUAUAAUAUAAUUAAAAUUAUAAAACAAAUAAUUAAUAAAGAAAACUCAAUGGAAGGCAAUUAAAAUUGAGUGGUUUAUAUUUCUUAUUCAUUAAAAAGAUAAUUUAUUUUAUUAUUCAUUAUUUGAUUAUAGUGUUUAAAUAAGUGAAUUUUUUCAAUUUUUUUAUAAUUAAAUUAAUUCGCAUGCUUAAAUUAAUUUUUAAUUGAUUAAUAAGAUUUAAUUAAUUAGAGAAAAAAUUUAAAUUUGAUAAAUAAAGAAUAAAUUAUUUAAAUGAAAUCAAUUAAUUACUUAAUAUAAAAAAAUAUGUUAAUUAUUAAUUGUAUUAAUCCAAUUAAAUCAAUUAAUUAUUUAACCUAAACAAAUAUGAUAAUUCUACUUAUAUUAACCCAAUUAAAUAAUUACAUAUUUACUUAUAUUAAUUAGUAAUAUAUUACUUUAAAAAAAAUAACGAAGGUGGUAUUUCUCAACAAUUGAAAUUAAUUGAAAAUCAAAAUAAGAAUUUAAAAAUAUAAUCUCCCAACUUUAAAUAAGUUUUUGUUUGAUUCACAUUCAAUAAAAAAGUUUAACAUCUAAGAAUCAUAAUAAAAUUACAGAAAAAUAAAAAAGAAGAGAGGAAGAAUUCAGCCAAGAGAAACCAAAAAAGAGAGAAGAGGUGAUAAGAAAGAUGCCUAGAGAGAUGAUUUUUUACUUCUAGGGCAGAUAAUUAUUUAUAAUUUAAAAAAAAAUAAAUCUAUUACUUUUAUGAUAAUUCUUAUUAUAAUUCUAAUUUGAUUGUAAUUUUGUACGAUUGUUAAUUAUCGAAAAUCUGAAAUUUAUUCAUCGGUCUGGACUACGAUUUUGAGCAAAACUGUACUUUUGAAUAAAAAAAAAAUUUUAAAACAGCCCUUUUAGUUUUUUUUUCUUCUAUUUUUAGUUUAAAAUCUGUUCAAAAAUUAAAAUUUAAAUAAAAGUCAAUUGUUUAAGUCAAGAUCAUAACAAAAUUAUGAAAUUUAAAAGGAGUAAUAACUAGAUUAAUGGCACAGUUGUUGGUUAAAGCUCAAGUAUUUAUAACCAUUUAUCAAAAUAUAGUCGUGAAUAUAUCAUUACAUCAGUAAGUCAAUAACAAUUUUAUGUGAAAAAUAUUUAUUUGGAUUCGGUAUAUCAUAAAUCAAUCGAUUUUUAAAAUAUAAGUAAAUGAGUUCAUGGUGACCUGAAUUUAUUUAAAAAUUUUCUGUUUAUAUUAGAUAUUGUUAGUGAAAAAAUCAAUUAUUCUACAUCUAAACAUUCACCCUAUAUUACUAUAUGUUUGUAUGAUCGUUUAAAUUUUAUUUUUAAUAUAUCAAGAAAAGAAAAGAAAAGAAAAGACAUUUGGUGCUAUCUUGUUGUGAUGCUAAUAAUUAGAUUUCAGUUGAGGUCAAAAUCCCAAUUUGGGUGGUGGAGGAGGCCAGUUUUGGUUGGUCGGUGAAACAGAAGAGGGGGCGGUGUCGCCACUCAUAUAUUCAAUUCUUCAUCCAUCUUGGCGUUUGAUGUAAACCCUUUGUUUUGUUUUAUCUCUUUAUUUCCAUUUUAAUAAUUAGUUCAACAAACUUGAGCCUACUUUAAGGAUUGCAAUUUGAUGCCCAUAUUGAUUUUGACAUUUAUGCAUUGCUGCUUCUACUCCUUGGAUGCUUCACUGCCAUAAUGAUGAAAUUUGAAAAAUCUCCAUAAUUUGCUAUUAUCCAUUUGAAAAUUAAUUUAUAUUUAAACUUUAUUCGAGAAAUUUUAAAUUUCUAUAAAAUAUUAAAAUUUUAUUUAUUUAAUUGUCAACAUUUCUUAACUUCUUGAAAAAUCAUAUGACUUUCUUUUCUUAAUACAAGAAAAGUAAAUUAUUUACCAUGAACCAAACAGAAAGCUAAUUUUUAUUUAACUAUUUCUAAAAGUAUUAUUCCUAUUUUAAAUAAGUUAAAAAUAAAUUAUAUUUAAAAUUUUAAACUAACUAUAAAAAUUAUAUACUCUUAUUAUAAUUUCUUACUAAAUUUAAGGAAACUAUAUCAAAUUGAAAUUUAUAAAUUUUUGUAAUUUGAAGUUGAACAGCAAUUGUAAUUCAACAUAUAAGUUGAGAAACGGUAAAUAAAAAUUAAUUACACAUUAACAUGAAAACUAGUGAUGGUAAAAAAAAAAAAAAGAAAUAAAAAGGCAUCGUUAUCGAAUUUAAAAGUUAAUGAAUUUCAAGAAAAGUAAUUAAUUGAAGGCAAAGCAGAGAAGCAACUUAUUAUUUGGUUAAAUUCACUAUCAAAACAGGAUCCAUCUGAAAAAGACUGUGUGACACAAGCUACAACAGUAUAAAAUUCUCCAUUUUAUCCUUUCGAGUGAAUACACAGUAUAAAUUUCUCCCACCAGAUCAAAUUCUUAACCUGCACUCUGCAGCUAUAUUACUUGGACAGGGAUACCAGUCUCAAAAUGGGUGCAUAUCUCUCUGUCUGGCUUAUCAACUUUCUAUUUAACUUUUUAAAUAGAAAAUUCGGAGAUAUAGAUUUAAAUUUAGACAGUCUAAAUAGAUUAUCCAACACAACUAGACACAAUCAUCCAAAAUACAACUAAACUUUUUCUUUUAUCUAAAUCCAUGCUGUUCAUCGUAAGAGAAAAGAAUAUUCUAUUAAUUAUGCAUGAAUAUGUCACUAAGUAUGAGUAUAUAAAUAUGUGCAGAACACAUAUUCCAUGCUGCAUCUCAUGAAGUGUGGCAUAGAUAAGGGUACGACAUGGCAAAAAGGAGAGUCAGAGUAUCAAAGCUCCAGUUUAUGUUAUGCAGCUUGCAACACAGAAUUGAAUUGGAGCUGCCAAAUACUGUAGCUAUUUAAAAUUUGAAGUGCAGGCGUGCACAAAUGAUGCUGUGUCCAGCAUGUAGUACAAUUACAAAGUUGAAAGCACUAAGGAUUUCUAGAGGCAUACCAUGAGAAAGCUUCCUUGACCGAUCGGAUAGGUCGUAAAUACAACAGUAGCUGCCACCAUUUAUCAGAACAAUAUGCAGCCAUUUUACAAUAGCAAUUUAUGCUAUUUAUGCUCCAACUCUUAAGUCAGGUGGAUUUGCAGUUUCAAAUAUUUUCAAGGUUCAAACUUAUCAAGUUAUAUGAGUUUGUUCAGUGUCCACCACACAAGUCAAUGAGGUCUCCAACAUUAACAGUGUAGACAGUCAAGCAAGCACCUUUGCCAUACUCUUUAUGCAAGAAAGAAUAGCUCAUUGAGUCUGUUGCUUAAGGUUCUGGCAAUGUGGAUGAGUUUACUAAGCUGUCCAACAAUCCAACAUCCUCUGCAAAACUAUUAUUGGAUUGACAGCCAAGGAGAAGUGCUUCCCAAGCUCUAACACCUGGAGAAACAUUCUUAUGGAUCAUUUUCUCAAGCAAUUCCAGUGCUUUACAUGUCAAGCCAAUGGGGCACAGUCCACAAAUUAUCUCAUCAAAUGUCGAACUCUGAGGACAUAAACCCUUAUCCAGUUCUUCCUCCAACAAAGCACAAGCUUCAGUAACUUUUCCACUGCUAAUCAAACCAUCAAUCAUAAUCUUGUACGUUUGCAUGCUCAACCCAAAGCCUUUCGAACUCAUCUCCCUCACGAGUAGGUCCCUUGCUUGGCCAAGUUCUCCACUAUUACAUAACGCCUGCAGUAACAUAUUGUAAGUACUCAAAUUUGGUUUGCAUCCCAACUCCUCCAUGCUAACUGCCAUUUUAAUCCCUUCCUCUACUUUGCCUUGCUUGCACAGGCACUCUAUAUAAACAUUGUAUGUAUAAACAUCAGGGACCAAACCAAAGACAAGCAAUUCGUCGAACAGCUCAUCUGCCUUGGAAUAAGAACCACUUGCAAUAACCCCAUUCAGAACCAUAUUAUAGCAAACAAUGUCCGGUUUGAUUCCAUCUGACUUCAUCUCAUACAAGACACCCAAAGCAUCAGCACCCAUUCCUUUUCUCACUAGGAAUCUAAUUACAUUAGUAUAGUCCAAAAUUCCAGGACAAAAUCCCAAUUUCCUCAGUUUUCCCAAAAAUGCAACAACAUCAACCCCCUGUAUAUGAAUAUCUGUCUGUUCACAAAGUGAAGAUAGUAGCAUAAAGCAUAUAUCUGUGUCAAGAUUAAACCCAUCAUUUAUCAUACAAUCAAAUAGCUCAACAGCAUGCCCGACCUUUUUAAUUCUACAAAGGGCAGAAAUCAGCAAGCGAAAGCUCGAUUCGUCAACUCGAAUAUGCAGAGCUCGACUCUUCAACAAAAUUUCAGGAACCAUUUUCAGACCUUCACUGGUUCUACAAAGAACUGAGAGCAAAGUAUUGAGCGAGUAAACAGAAGGGACACACCUAAAUUUGGGUAUUCUAUAGAACAGCUCAACAGCUUUUUGUAUUUCGUUGGCAUUGCCAUAAAUUUCAAUAAGAUGGCUCAAAAUGAAUUCGGGUGUGUCGAAUUUUUCCAUCUUCUCGAGAUGAUCAAGAACUGGGGAAAUUUGGUUGAGUUGGGACGUUUUGCUCAGAGUUUUGAUGAUAAAGUGAUAAGCUUGAGGGGUGGGCUCACAAUCAUAGAUGCUAAAGGAGUGGAUAAGAGAGGAAAGAAGAUAAGGCUUGCUAGUAGUUUGUUGCCGGGGCUGUAGAGAGGAAGUUGGCGCCGUGGCUGCUUCUUUCAGAUUUCGCAAAGCUUCUUGUUGCUUGAAAGUCUGCUGCCAUUUGACAUGGAAGGUCAAGUGUGGCCAUUUCCUGUGUUUCCUCAAGAAAAGCCUACCAGUUUUUAAAGAAGACAUGUUUCAAAGGGUGAGACAAUCGGCAAAUAUAGCCGGAGGCUCCCAGACUAGCUGCCAAACCCCAACUAAAUUCUCUUGGUGUGAUGGGUUCCGUAAGUACAAGGUGCUUGUUAAAAUGCUUCACUCAGAAAUUACACAAUUUGUUUAAUACAAUUGAUUUCUUUUCCAUCAAUUUUCUUAAAAUGAAAUAAUUUAAUUAUUUUUACUUGUUUAAAAAAAAAUCAUACAAAAUUAUUGUAUACAUCCUUUUUUAUUUUUAUAACGUACACUAUUUCAAAAUUAACAAUUUUGAUCUUAUAGUUUGUUAAUGACUUCAUCUUCUAGUCCUUGUUGAAAAAAUUAUGAAUUUUUCCCUUUUGGAUGUACAAAUAAAACUAAAAUUUCUAAUUAAAAGAUUUAAUUAUUAUGUAAUCAACUAUAAAAAAAAAUCACAGGAAUAAGACAGAUCUCAAAAACAAUAAUCCCUUUAAGGUGCAUAUAAAUUAACAUAACAUUUAUUAAAUUUUUUUUAUUAAUUACAGCAGUUCAUAUUAAUUUUUUUAAAAAAAUAAAUAAUUGCAAUUAAAUUUUAGGUUAUAAUUGGAAAAAUUAUGGGUGAAACGGUGAAUUAUCUUAGGCUAGGGAUAUGUAGCUUUGAAAUUGAGAAUUUAGAUUGAGUUUUGGCAUAGAUUAUGAUAAAUUACGAAGAUUAAAUUAUAAUUUAUUUUAAUUUUAAUUUAAAUAAAAUUAUGCAAAAUAAUUUUACUUACAUAAAGUUUUUAUUAGUUAUUUUUUGGUACUCAAUUGGUAUAAUAUAAAAUAAAUUGAUAAUUUGUUUUUUUACUGAAUGAUUGAGAAAAUUUCUCUAUGAAUUGUCAUUAAUUUAAUAUAAUCUAAUAAAUAUUAAUUUUUUUUAACGAAAAAUUGAGAAGUGAAAUAGUAGAAUUUGAAAUCUCUCAGAUUUAUUCAGAUUCACUUAUUAUCGAUCGAAAAUUAAAAAUUGUGAGAGUAGAAUAUAAGAUCUUUUAAAUUUAUUCAGAUAUACUUACCAUCAAUUUAAUUAUUUGAGUGUUAACUAUUAAUUAUUCUAUUGAGGAUUAAUAAAAAAUAUAAAUAUAAGAGGUUAUUUGAUAUAUUUUAAAAAUUUAAAGAUUUAUUUAACUUUUGUAGAAUCUGAAGUGUUUAUAUAUUUCUAAAAUCUAUAAUUAAAAUUUAAAAGAUUUAUUUAAUUUAAUUAAAUAGUUGAAGAAUUUGUUUAGACUUAAAAAAUUUUAAAUUGCUUAUCAAACUAUUUACAAAUACUUUUUAAGUAUUUAAGUGCUAAAGUAAGCCUUUUUGCUAAAAUUAUAAUUAUUUAUAAAUAGUUCUUUACAAUUUUUAUGAGUUGGUUCCUCAAAAUUAUCAUUAUUUGCCAAUUGAUCACUCCCUCUCUCAAGCCAUUUACCUUCUUCUCUCUCUUUAUUGCCUAUCUCCCUCUUCCUCCCUAUUUCUUUUCUCUCCAAAGAAAAUAAAAUCCAUAAAACUUGUACUAAAAUUCCACAUGAAAUUCAAACCUUCCUCUGCUUUUGCCAAACCGCUAAAGAAAAUCAAGUAAAUGCAACCAUCCGAUUCAAAACGUGGCCUCCGAACAAUAAACAAAUCCCAUAAACCCGUUCAAUUUCUCAAUUAUGUAUCAUAUAAUUUAGUUUACUAUUAAAAUAUAUAAUUAUCAAUUUAUUAUAUUACUUACAUUAAUAUAUAAAAUUUUUAUUUUUUAAUAUUAUUUUAUUUUAUUAUUAAAUUAUGAAAAACUGUAAUUUCAUAAUUUUUCAAAUACAGUAGUAGUUCACAGGUUUAUAAACUGAAAAUCAAUUGAUUGAUAAUUUUAUCAAACAGUAUAAAACAAUUAUUAGACAUAAAACCUCAUUAGCUACCCUAAACUUUUAAUUCAGACACCCUCUAAAUAUCCUGGCUAAAGUGUCUGAAACGUGAUGCACGAAAAGUAGCAUUAGUUCCACCGGGGUUCCUUUCAUCCUUUUGUCAUUCCACUCAAUUGAGAAGAAGAAACAUAGUCCUUGUCUUCAUUAUUGAACUCGCAUGCUCUAUGUCACCGUAAAAUUAGGGAUGAUAACGGUUCGAAUAUUUUUGAAUAUUUGAUUUAAAUAAAAUUAUAAUAAAAUAAAUUUAAAUAAUUAUAAUUAAAUUUAAAAUAAUUUUGAAUUUAAAAAAUAAUAUUUAUGACGGAUUCAAAUUUUAUUUAUAAAAUAUUUAUCGUUUAAAUUUAUUUAUAUAAAUAAUUAAUUUAAUAUAAAAAUAUAUAUUUUAUAAUAAUAUUUAUAAAAAUAUUUUAUAAUUUUUAUUUAAAAAUUAAAAUUUAAAUAUUUUUUAAAAAUAUUAAAUUUUUUAAAUUAAAAUUAUUAAUGAAAAUUAUUUUUAUAUAAAUUAUUAAUUAAAAUAGAUGAUAUUAAAUAGAUUCGAAUUUUAUUUAAAUAAUAAUAAUCGAGUUUAUAAUUAAUUUGUACAGUUUAUGUUAAUUUUAAAUUUAAUUUUUAAUUAAAUUUAAAAUAAAUUUAGAUAUUAUUAAUAUAAAUCACAUUUAUAUUUGGAUAUUUUAAUUUUUGGGUACCAUACCGUUUAUUUACAUUCAUAAGUAAAAUAUUUACAUAAAUCCAAUUAUCCAUCAUAAAUAAAAGAUUUUUAAAUAUAUUUAAAUAGUUUCAUUAUAAAAUAAAAUAAAAUAAAUUUUAAUAUCUCUUAUAUUCAUGAUGUAUCGGAUGAAUCUAAAUAUUUCUUAUUCCAUAGUUGGCUAGAAAAUAUCAUCAAAUAGCAAGUACCAUCCUUAAGCGGGCAUGUUCAUAAUUUUUUGGUUUCACAUCAAAUUGAACGAUUUAUUGAAUUUAUACUAAAAUUCUGAAAUAUAUAUAGAAAUUAAAUUAAAUCGCAUUUAUUUUAUACUUAUUUAUAUUCAGUUUCAAUUAUUUAUUAAAAAAUCAGAAGCAUACCAAAUUAAAUUGAGUUAUAUAUUUUAUAUAAUUAUGAUAUAAAACUGAUUUUUAAUUUUUUAUUAGGAAUUUUAAUUUGUUUUUAGUUCAAUAUGUUGUUAUCUAAUUUUUGUGAAGAAUUAGAAUUGAAUUAAAUUAGUUUUUCAGGUUUUUGCUAUAAUUUUUUUGGUUUGAUUAUGGACUCCUACAAAAAUGCAGGCCAUUAUAAUUAAAAUAUUAAAAAUCAACUUAAAAUAAGCAAACACAUUUCAACAAUUUAAGUAAUAUUUUUUAAAAGAAUAAAAAAAAAAAUCUUUGUAUGGAGAAGCAUCAAAGGUAUUUUUGCCAACUAAAGCUGACGAUUGAUGUGGAUUCUACUUGUCUUAUAAAUGGACAACAGGACGAUGAAAUUGCACAUGAGCGUUGAACUAUCUUUUUAAAUUUUUUUUUCCAAUUUCUGGAUGAGAAAGCCUAUAACGCACCGUCUGCUUGUUAUUGCUCCUGUGGCUUGCGGUGGGAUUAAAAAAAUAUAUUUGAUUUAAUUAUUAAAUACCGAGGAUGAAAUAAGUUAAUUAAUUUAUAUUAAUUAUUUAUUAAAAUUUUUUAUAAAAUUAAUCGAACUGAAUUAAUUUAAAAAUUUAUUUUUAAUUUUAAAAAUUUUAAUUAUUUUAAUUUGAUUUUAAUUAAAAAAAUUAAAAAAAUUAAACGAAUUUAAUUAAUAAUAAUAAUAUAUUAUUUUUAAUAAUAUAAAAAUUAAAUUAUAUUAAAAUAUUUAAUAAAAAAUUUAUUAAAAAUUUAAAUUGAUUUCAAAUUAAUCAGUUAAAUUUAAUUUGAUUUCUGAUCAAAAUCAAUUCGAUUUUUAUAAAUAUUCAAAUUUUAAUUUUUUAUUUAUUUCCAUUGAAUAACUAACAAUAAUAUAUAUAUAUAUAUUAUAUAUAUAUAAUGUAAUUUUAUAUUAUAAAAAAUUAAAAAAUAUUAGAAAACCAGUUGUGGGUCUCCUUACUACUCCACUCCAUCUCAUUGCACCCAUACUCCAUAUUCGGAUGCAGAUUGGGGGAGAAAGACACUAAUUAGGAAAGGGUCCCCUCUGCCUACGGCCUGCUCGCUACUCGCCUGGCUGACUACGGCACUGGCCUGCUCGCUACUCGCCUGGCUGACUACGGCACUGGCUUUUUUCUCAUCGCAAUUGAAGAAGAAUCCGCUGUUAGUCUUUUAGCCACAGACGCUCUUGAGUAAAUAUCGGCUGUGGUCCUAUCAGCUCAACCAGUUGCCGGUCUUAUUUGCAUAAGAAAUGGUUUUGGCGGAAUACGUUGUUUGUCAUCUAUAUGUAGUCUUUUUUAUCUUGAAAAAAAGAGUUGAAUGUGAAAAAUUAUAAUUAUUUAUUUUUUAAAAUUAUUGUUUAAAUCGAAUUUAUAUAAUGUAAGUAUAUAGGAUUUUUUAUAAUUUUUAUUAAUUUAUUAAUAAUUUUAUUAAAUAAUAAUGCGACAAUUAUUGGACGUGCCUUAUAGCCACACAAAACCUUUGAUUCAAAUACCUUGUACAUAUCUUGGGAGGGAGUGAUUGAGACAUGAUGCACAAAAAGUAGCAUUAAUUAAUUCCACUAAGGUUCCUUUCAUCCUCGGUCCUUGCAUUAGAGGGAGAAGUAGAAAGCAUAAUCGUUCAUUUCAUUAUUACCUUAGUGUUCACAACUCAUGUGCUCCUUUUUUCCAUUAUGUUUUGUGAAGCUACAUCAAGCAUUCAAAAUUUAAAUAAGGAAUUAAAAUUCGAUUAUUUAAUCACACUCUAUAAACUAUAUAAUAUAAAUUGUGAUACUCUAAAUAUUUAUAAAUUUGACUAUUCCAAGAGAUAUAAAAAAAACUCCUAUCACAAUUCUAGUCCCUAUACAAAUAAGUUUUAUAAUAAAAUAAUUCUAAUUCAAAAUCUUUUAUAAUUUAUGUAUCAAAAUGAUUAUCACAGUCGAUUAUCACUAUUUUUAGUUUUUUCUUUAUAAAUCUAAUCUAAUAAUUUAGAGAUUUUAUUAAGAGUAAUAUCGGUCUUUUAAAAUUGUCAGAAAUGGUGGGUCCCUAUAGAAUUUUCCAUUAGAGUGAGUAGUGAAAGCAUAAUUGUCCAUUUUAUUAUUGUCUUAGUGUUCAUAUGCUCUCUUCCCAUAUGUCUUUAUUAUAAUAUCACUGUCGAUAAAAUAUCAAAGUAAUUUUCAUUUAUAAUCUCUCAAUUGUCAUAUUUUUUAAUUUAAUUACUAAACUUCAAUUUGAUUCUUAAAAGUUAUUAAGUUUAAUUUAAAUAUUAUCAAACUCUCUUUAACUUUUUAUGACAAGUUUCUAAAUUAAUUCAAUUAAAAUAUUAUUUCUCAUAUAAUUUUAUAUUUUUUAAUUAAAAUUUAAUAAAUUUUAAAUAUUUAUACUUAUAAUGAUAUAUUUAUAUUAUGUUUUUCGUCCCUUUUAUUGGCGUUUGUCUUCUUAGAAUUAAUUGUGUGAGAAAUACCCUUAUUUAGUAAUAUAUUGAGCUUCAUUGGCAUUUUUUUUAGAUUAGAUCCAAACAAACUAUUAUUUUUUAUGACGGAUUCCCAACGUUGAAUCAGGUCUUACACGAUUCUUAAUUACUAGAGUUUUUAGAGUUUUUUUUAUAUGGAUUGAAUUAUUAUUAACUGUGAACUUAAUUACAUUUUUUUUAUCGGUCAAUUAGACUUACAUAUGCCUAUUUUAUUUUUGCUUUAUUGGUGUUUUUUUAGAUUUUGAUCAUAUAAAAUUUUUAAUUAAAUAUAUAAUAAAAAUCAACUUAUAAUUAAUAUGACGUAUUUUAAUAUAAAAACUUUAAAAUAAUGAACACAUUUUUAACGAUCUAAAUAAUAUUUUUUAAAAGAAUAAGAAAAACAUACUUGCUCAUAGUUGCAAAUUGAGCCUACGGACUUUACACCAUAAUAAUUGCAGCCAAAAAACAAGUUUAAAUUGAAGUGUGGAUCCCUUAGCAUCUCUUUCGUAGAAAGAAAAGAUAGAGAAAAAAAAAAAAAGAGAGUAGAAUAGUAAGGAAAGUAAAAUCUAUAUGUAAAAAAGAAACAGAAAAUAAUUAAUUUUCUUAUAAGAUUGUUGUUUUACCAAAAUAAAAGGAAAUUAUGUGUUUCUUUAAUGAUUCUGAUGACCGCUAGUUUUCACUAUCCGGAAUAAGAUUUAGCUCAUGAUAGUAAUCUGAUUCAAAGGUCAUGGGGCCUCUUCAAUGAGCCGGCCUGGACCACCCAGCCUUAAGGUCGGGCCUCCCGUGGGCCUCGGCCCUUUCGCAUCAAGUUCGGUCCGGGAUGCGACAGGAGAAAAGAUAAUCGGCCCAUCCUUUCAGUCACCUCGCAGCCCUGUCUACACGCGCACCGGGAGAAUUAAAUGGCCGUCCGGCUUGGAGAGAGUGUCUGACGGUUUCGCAUGUACGGACCUGUAUGACAAAGAUAAAAUACAAUUACACUGAGGGGCCGUUAGGCAUCGCUAAUAGACAGAAAGGGAAGAAAUAAAAGAAAGAUAGCACAUUCUCUCACCUAAACUUACCCGACCAUCGUAAAUUCUAUUUUUCUCUAAAUCUCAUAUCAUCAUAUUGAAUGAAAAGAAAAUUGAAAAAAGAGAUGUUUCUACAUAAUAAUAAUAAUAAUAAUAAUAAUAAUAAUAAUAAUAAUAAUAAUAAUAAUAAUAAUAAUAAUUUUUAAUAAUAUGAUGAAAAUAAAAUUGUUUUUUUAUUCUUAUAUCUCUCUUCCAGAUUAAUUUUGUUUUUUAUUUGUUCUCUCAUAAAAAUUACAUAUUUAAAUAAUAAAUAAACAAGAAGGAGAAAUUUUCCUAUUUUUUAGAUUCAUUUUAUUAUUAUUAUUUAGUUUUUUUAAAUAAUUAAUAUUUAAUGAGAUAAUUUUUAAUUGUUUUUCAUAUUAUAAAUUAAAUUCAAUAGUAGUAUUUAAUAAAAUAUAAUUAAUAAGAAUUAAUAAUGUUUUUAAAAACAUUUCAAAAAAUUUAUGAAUUAUUACUAUUUAGUUAAUAUUUGAUAUUCAUUUUAUUUAUUUUAAAUAUUUAAAUGAUAAUAAAAGUAAAAAUUGAUAAAUUAAAUUGGUAAAAAAAAUUGUACUACUUAAAGAAUUAAAAUUUAUAUUUAAUAACUGAAAUUGACAUAAUAAAAAAAUAUAUUAGGAGAGAGAAGAAGGAAAAAAAUAUUUUUAUUUAUUUUUCUUUUAUAUAUUAUAUUAAUAUGUAAAUUGAUUAUUAUUAUUUUAUUUUAUUUUUAAAAAAAAAUUUCAAAAUAUUUUAAAUUUUAUUUAUUUCACAGAAAAUAAUUUAUAUUUAAAAUAAAUAUAAAUAUAAAGAUAAUAAAAAAAUUAUAUUUUUUAAUAUAUAUAAAAAAAUAAAAUGUAUAAAAAUUAUGAGAGGAAAAAGAAUAUUGUAAUUAACUUAAAUAAUACUAAUAGUUGAGUAGUUAAUUGUAGGGGUGAGCAGUAUUCGGUUCAAACCGAAAAAAUUGACCGAAUCGAAUUGAUUUAAAAAUUUAGUUCGAUUUUUUAUACAUUUCGGUUCGGUUUGGUUUUUAAUUUUAGAAAUUUCGGUUAUUUCGGUUCGGUUCAGUUUUAAUCAGAAAAAAAUAGAAAAAACCGAACCGAACCGAUUAGUGAUAAUAAUAUGUUUUUUCAAUAAUAUAGAGAAAUUAAAUCAUAUAAAAAUUAAAAUAUUUUAAUUAAAUUUUAAAAUAUUAAAAAUAAAGGGUAAAAAAUUAAAAAAUUAUUAAAAAUUGAAAUCGAUCAAACCGAACCGAAUCGAACCGAAUCAGACCGGUUCGGUUCGAUUCGAUUUCUGACCAAAAUCGGUUCGGUUCGGUUUUCAUAAACACUAAAAUUUCAAUUUUCGGUUUAUUCGGUUCGGUUCGGUUUUAAACCGAACCGACCGAAUAAUCACCCCUAAUUAAUUGGUUAAAUAAUUUAUAAUUAUUUUGAUGGUAAUUAAUUAAAUAUUAUAAAAAAUAAAAUUUCAAUUCACACCGUCAAACUUUGAAUAGUUAAUUACUAAACAAAAACUUUAAAUGCUUCGCCGGACGGAGUCUAAACGUUGAAUUCUAGACCAACUGACUGUUACGCAGAUUUAAAAUAAACAAAUAAAAGUAAUUUUUUUUUCUCAAAAAAUAAAUAAAAGUAGGAUUUACUUUUCUUUUUUUUUAAUAAAAAAGUAGGACUUAGUUUGUUCACGACAAAUGCAUGAUCCGUCCCUCUGAGAGGUAUAUAACCAAAGCAUAAGGGGAGGACCAGUAUUAUCUGUCGAGCCUUGUUGAGGAAUUAUGAAUUCGGGGCAGAGCAACCCAACUCCAGCGAUGACAAGUAGCCAGCCACUGGAGAAACCAGUGGUGGUGAUAGGGCCACAGUUCCUGGCGCAGUAUCCGGUGGAUCUCACUAUCGCCAGCAAGCUCUUGACUCUUGGAGAAAAUAAUUUUUCAGUCACUGACGUCAACGGCACUCUUAUUUUCAAGUUGAAGAGCAAGCUCUUAAGCAUCCACGACCGUCGUUUUCUGCAAGACGCCGCCGGCAAAACCCUUGCCACUCUCCGGCAGAAGGUAUGUCCCUCUGCAUACUCUGUCAAUUACCCAUUUGAUCCGAUUGUUAACUAAUAUAUCUUUUUUUCCAAAAAAAAAAAAAUUGCAGAUAGCGACUGCCCAUCGGAGGUGGGAGGUUUUCAGAGGAGAGAGCACAGACGCUAAAGAUCUGCUUUUCAGUGCCAAGAAAUCAUCAAUAAUCCAAUUCAAGACGGGAUUAGAUGUAUUCUUAGGCAGUAAUACAUCAGAAAAUGUUCCUGAUUUCAAGAUCAAAGGAACUUGGAAGGAGAGAUCCUGCACAAUAUAUCUUGGAGAGUCCAAUACCAUCAUUGCACAAGUAAUUAAUUAAAACCAAGAUCAAUUUCGCAUAUAAAUAAACUACAUCUUCUUCAAAUCUGGAGACUAAUUGAUGGGUUAUUUUUGCAGAUGUACAGGAGACACACUGUGAAGACGGCUCUGUUGGAUGCAGACAACUUUGCUGUGACAGUGUAUCCUAAUGUGGAUUAUGCCUUCGUGGUGGCUCUUGUGGUUGUUCUUGAUGAGAUCAACGAUGACCGCAGGGGAGAUGAUUAAAUAUUAAUAUCAUUUGUGUAUGUUAUUAUGGAAUUCCCCAACUAGCUAUGGAAAUAAAAGUGGGUUGUGCUCUGGAUUGCAGAAAAGUUCUGGUAAGAACAUGUAAUCUCAUGUCUAGUUAUGAUUAACUUGAAUGGGUGUAUCAUGUAUGUUAGGAUUUAGCUUGAAUUGCGUGCAUUUGAAAUAAGUGGUGUUGUCGUUGGCCUUUAAAAGAGUGUAAAUGAGUUGACAGAGGUUUGAAGUGCUCAACCGUUAAAUUUUUGUUCAGCUCUAGCUCCGGUUUAAAAAAGCUGGAUACGUGUUAAUGAGAGAGUUUCAUUCUAGAGACUCGUCCCUCUUUGCUUGCUGGGAUAUGCCACUCUCUUUUACCCCCACUGAGUAGGUGAGAGCUUUCCCCUUAGUCUAAAGUGGAGGCCUCCAUGUUGGGAUUUACAUAUAUCGGUUGUGUUUUAAUUUUUAUUGCAUGUUCUUUAUUUUUUUUAAAAAGUAAUAUUUUAUUAAUUACAGUGAAACCCAAUGUUAUAAACUCAAAUAUAAAAAAUAUAUAUAUAUAUAUAAUUCAAACUCAAAAAGAAAUGCUAAAGUUAAUAGUGUGAGCCAGUAUUCUGUUACCGGUAAAUCUCAAUGUUAUAAGACUAUCUCCAAACACUGCCCCAAAUUUCAUUUUAGCAUUGAAGAUAGAGCCUCCAAUGCAGCGCCAAAACGGCGCUGCGCUAUUUGGCUUAAUAUUGUAGGAGCACCAUUUUUUUUUUAAAUUUAUAAUAUAAUUUAAAAUUUAUAUCUUUUUUUAUUUUUUUAAUUUAUAAUAUAAUUCAAAACUUAUAUAUAUUUUUAAUUAAGUUUAAUUUUUUUUUUCACUCUCAUAAUUUAUUAUAUUUUUAAUUUAUUUUAUACUUUUAUAAUUAUUGAAAUUUAAUUUAAAUUAAUAUAUUCACAAUUAUAAAUAAUAUUUAUAAUAAAUUAAUUUAUUUAUAAUAUAUUAUAUAGAAUAAUAUAAAUAAAUAAAUUUAUUUAUAAUAUAUUAUAUGAUCAUAUAAAUUAGCUUGUAAUUUUUUAUUGAUAAUUUAAUAUAUAUGAGUUUAUUUUAUUUUUAAUUUGCUAAUUAAUAUUUAAUUAAUGCAUGUUUAUAAUUAAUAUUUAAGUAAUGUUUUUUUAUAAUUAUUAUUUAAGUAAUACAUUUUUAUAAUUAAUAUAUUUUUAUUUAUUUAUUUAUAAAAUAAUUAAAUAUUUAAAUAUUGGAUGAAAAUAUAAAAUAUAUAAAUAUUUAGAGUGAAUAUAUAAAAUUAUAUGAAUUUUUUGAGUAAAAUAUAUAAAUAAAAUUAAAAUAAAAUAAAUAAUAUAAUAUUAAAGAGAGAGAAUAAUAUAAAUAAAAUAUGCUUUUUGAUGUUAAAAAUGGUGCAAAAGAUUGAAGAUAAUAUUGCAUUAUUUUAAUGUAAAACACCAAAAUAGUGUAAAAUGGUGCAUAGGGUUGGAAUGGCCUAAGCUCAAAUAUAAAAUACAUAUAUGAAAUCCAAGCUCAAGAAGAAACCCUAAAAUUAAUAGUGAGAACCAGUAUGCUGAUGUUACCGUCUCCUUCAUCGCCAUCUCUACUGCACAGUUGUGCCUAACAAAUUUUUAAUUGUCAUACCCAAAUAAGCAAGCUUGCUGAUGACUAGAAAAGGUAAAGAAGCCACUACAAGGAAGCCUGAAUCUCAUUGUAUAAGGAGCAAUAUAAAUUAGUUAUCGGAACAGAACUCUCCAAAUCGCCUCUUUGAUACAAGCUAAAGAUUCCAUUAAAGCCCAAACAAACAGAGAGACCAACUUGAACCCAAAUGAACUAGAGUGGAAAGCUAUAAGGGCACAUGCAACUAGAACAACUUGAUCUAAGGGGAAGAGAUAGUCAAAACGGCCAAAAAAAGACAAGCCAAAGAAAUCAUUGCUGUGUGAGUGGUAAACAAAGCCACUUUUAUAUAUGUGAUUUGAAGAUCACUCUAUGGUAUGUGUGUCGAUAUAGAUUCUAAGAAUAGACGAUUAUCUCGCCUUAAAAUUUAUCUCAUCUGAGUCUAGAAGAAAAAUAACUAAUAAAAAAAAAAAUUGAGUAUGGAAGAUGAAACCUCCUGAAAUUGCAAUUCUGAUAAAAAAAAUGAGGACGAAUUACUCAAAUGAUUAAGAAAAAAACAAAGAAAAGAGUUUUCUCUUUUUAUGGUUUUAUUUAUUUCCAUAUAGAUGUAUGGGUUAAAACUAUAUGAAAUAUAGUUCAAUUGGACAAUAAAAGCUCACUAUUACAUAUUUUUAUAAUUUAAUUCAAAUACUUUAAUUUUUUAUUUAUUGUCUGAAUUUUUUAUUUUUGUAUAAUUUUAAUCAAUUUUUAAAACCAACAUUUAAUAUGUAUGUACGCCAUAUAUAAUAAGUAUUUCAUAGGGUCUAAAAAGUAAAUUUUAAAAUAUUAAAUUUCGGUUGCUAAUUUUAAAACUUUGCUAAAAUUACAAUCAAUUAAAACCUGUGUUCAGACUUGUUGAGGAAUUAUGAAUUCGGGGCAGAGCAACCCAAUUCCGGCGAUGACAAGUGGCCAGCCACUGGAGAAACCGGUGGUGGUGAUAGGGCCACAGUUCCUGGCGCAGUAUCCGGUGGAUCUCAUUAUCGCCAGCAAGCUCUUGGCUCUUGGAGAAAAUAAUUUUUCAGUCACUGACCUCAACGGCACUCUUAUUUUCAAGGUGAAGAGCAAGCUUUUAAGCAUUCACGACCGUCAUUUUCUGCAAGACGCCGCCGGCAACACCCUUGUCACUCUCCGGCACAAGGUAUGUCUCUGUAUGCUCUCUUAAUUUCCCAUUUGAUCAGAUUGUUAACUAAUAUAUCUUUUUUUGAUAAAAAAAAUUGCAGAUUGCGACUGCCCAUAAGAGGUGGGAGAUUUUCAGAGGAGAGAGCAAAGACGCUAAAGAUCUGCUUUUCAGUGCCAAGAAAUCAUCAAUAAUCCAAUUUAAGACCGAGUUAGAUGUAUUCUUAUGCAGUAAUACAUCAGAAAAUGUUCCUGAUUUCAAGAUCAAAGGAACCUGGAAGGAGAGAUCCUGUAGAAUAUAUCUCGGAGAAUCCAAUACUGUCAUUGCACAAGUAAUUAAUUAAAACUAAGAUCAAUUUCACAUAUAAAUAAUAUACCUCUUCUUCAAAUCUGGAGACUAAUUGAUGGGUUAUUUUUGCAGGUGCAUAGGAGACUCACUGUGAAGAUGGCUUUGUUGGAUGCAGACAACUUUGCUGUGACUGUGUACCCUAAUGUGGAUUAUGCCUUCGUGGUGGCUCUUGUGGUUGUGCUUGAUGAGAUCAACGAUGACAAUAGUGAUGAUGAUUAAAUAUUAAUAUUAUUUAUGUAUGUUAUUAUGGAAUUCCCCAACUUGCUAUGGAAAUAAAUUGGGUUAAAUAAGUGGUUUUAUGAUACUAAAGAUGCCAAUAAAACUUAAAAGAAUAGAGAGACCAUCUUGAACCCAAAGGAACUAAGAUAGAAAACAUUUAAAGGGCACAUGCAACAUUAACAACUUGAGCUAAGAGGAAGAGAUAGAUCACGACAGCUUGAAAAAAAAAAAUAAAGAAACUACCGUCAUGAGAGAUAGAUAAGACCCCAUUUACAUUUGUGAUUUGAAGGUCACGUUUUCUUAUAGAUUGGUCACUAGCAGCACAUCUUCAUUUUAGCAAAUAUCACUACAAUCAAUUUAAAAAAAUAAGAUACUAAAUUUAAAAUUCAAGCAUUUGAAUUAAAAUACAAAUGAUUACUUUUAUAAUUUUUAUUCACUUUACCUUUUUAUUCAUAUUAAAAAAUAUAAUUUUUUUAUUAAUUUUUUUAUUAUAUCCAUUUUAAAUAUAUUAAAUUUUAUUAAAUAUUAAAAAAUAUUUUAAAAAAAUUCUUAAAAAUAAAAUAAAAUAAAAUAGAAUUAUAAUAAUCUAUUAAUAAUUUAAUAAUUAUUAAAAAAUAUUAAAUUAAACAGGUAAAAACUGCAUCCCUAUUAAAUAUGACCACAGGCCAUAUGUAAUUAGACAUGGUUAAGCCCGAACUCUACUUGAAGUCGAAGGGCCUUCAGCCUUGUAGUUAGGCCGAGCUAAUAGCAUAUGCUAAAAACUAUACAUUUUCAUUCACUUGCUCUUUCUUCACCAAUGUAUAAUAUACGGCAUUUUUUUAAAGAUUCCGAAAGCUAUACAAACUGGUAUAAGAACUAUAUAACCACGGAGAAAAUAAAAUUAAACUCGAGCCCCCAAUCAAAAACCAAACUAAAAUAUAAAUUCAAACUUAAUUAAACCACCCAAAUCAAAGAAACACACCAUCAGCAACUGUUCACCGGCUCACCUCAAUCUGCAACUUCAUGAAAACCAUUGCCCUCAUUAAAAAAAAAAACCAGAAUUUAGGAGCACGCAGUAUUCGAUUCAAAUUGAAAAAAUCAAUCGAACCGAAUUAAUAUAAAAAUUUAGUUCGAUUUUUUAUUUAUUUCGAUUCAAUUUGAUUUUUAAUUUUAAAAAUUUCAGUUAUUUCGGUUCUAUCCGAUUUUGAUCAGAAAAAAAAUUAAAUAAGCCAAACUGAACUAAUUAGUGAUAAUAAUAUAUUAUUUUCAAUAAUAUUAAAAGAUUGUAUCAUAUUAAAAUUAAAAUAUUUCAAUUAAAUUUUAAAUACUAAAAAUAAAGUAUUAAAAAUUAAAAAUUUAUUAAAAAUUUAAAUCGAUCAAAUUGAACUGAAUUUAAUCGAAUCAAAUUGAUUCAAUUCAAUUUGAUUUUUUAUCAAAAUCGAUUCAAUUUUUUUAAAUACUAGAAUAUCGAUUUUCAAUUUAUUUAGUGAAUCGAAUAUUGACCCUACUACAAUCUACACGAAGAAAAACAAAUCACUUUUAGAUAUUGUUUUAUUAAAAUUAUUUGUUGCUUUUAAAAAAUUAAUAAAUAUUAAUUGGAUUUUUUUUCAAUGUUAUUCUUAUUUAACAAAAAUAAUAACUCUAUUUAUAAUUUUUAAAAUAUAUAUUAUUAUUUUAUUCUUUUAUUGAAUUAUUUUAUUUUUUAAUUAGAUUAAUAAAGAAAAUUUUCUGAGGCUAGAAUAAUUAAGAUAGAUUAAAAAUGUCUAUUUUAAUAUAAUUUAAAUUAUUAAUAAUUUUCAUAAUUAUGGUAUGUAAAUUUUAAACUAUUGCUAAAGGCGGAAGGAAAAAGUAUUAAAUAAAAAGCACAUGCACAAAUAUAUCGGAUACGAAGCACGGAAUGCUACCACGUCAACAAAUCAUCCAAUCAAGCACCGCCAAGUACUUGACAUGUGGCCAGUUGUAUCAUAUUGCUUCAUGCAUCAAUUAUUUGUCGCAUUUCAUAAACGCAUUCGUAACGCAUACUGGACAUAUUUCGCGGUCUAAUAUUCUUAAUCCGGCGCGUUCCAAUCUUACAAUCAGGAAAAGCACGUGUACAAUAACCUUGCCUCCUUCCAUGCAAAGCAAAAGCAACCACCCUCUAUAUACAAUCCCAUCCGAUCCGAUCCGAUCCGAUCCAAUCCAUAUCAGCGCCAACGCAAGUCGAAAACCUAAAUCCUUUGAUUGCGAGCUUUGUAUCUCCGUGGUUUUGUUUUUAAUUUCAGCUUGUAUUUCAUUUUUCGUGUGAUUAAUCAUGGCCGGUCAACAAAGCAAUCCGAUACCGGCGAUGACAACUUAUCAACCAUUGCAGUCCCCAGUGAUGGUGAUCGGACCACAGUUUUUGGCACAGUACCCGGUGGAUCUGAGAGUGGCUGCCAAGCUUUUGUCUCUUGGAGAAUGUAAUUUGGGCGUCACCGACGUUAAUGGAACCCUUAUUUUCAAGGUGAAAAGUAAACUAUUAAGCAUUCGUGAUCGUCGCUAUUUGCUUGAUGCCGCUGGUAACAUUCUUGCCACUUUCCAGCAAAAGGUUCCUUCUAUCAACUUUUAUUUAUCUCUCCUCUGUAUUUUAUUAGUAGCUUGUUUUUGCCCUUUAGAGCCCCUGCAUGAAAUAAAUCAUUAGAAAAAUUCAAUUGAAUUUUUAGCAUGGAUUCUACUUUUUAAUUGCAAUAUUUUAAGUUAAAAAUUGAAAUUUGUAUAUUUAGAUAUGAAAAUUAAUAAUAAAAAAAAAACAACAAUGGAAUUAAAUUUUUAUAAAAUAAAUUGAUAGGAUAAUGAUGAGCUUAAACUCAUCAUCGUUGGAUGGAGUUGCUCUUUUGACCAUGGAGUAUUGAUUCAUGUUCAGAUAUUGACUGCGCACAGGAGAUGGCAAGUUUUCAGAGGAGAUAGCACAAACGCCCAAGAUUUAAUUUUCAGUGUGAAGAAGUCUUCAAUGAUCCAAUUGAAAUCAGAAUUAGAUGUAUUCCUAGCUACCAACACUGCAGAAAAUGUUCCUGAUUUCAAGGUCAAGGGAAGCUGGUCUGAGAGGUCAUGUAUCAUAUACCUUGGACUAUCCAAUAUCAUCAUUGCACAGGUAAUUAAAGCUCUAAUCCUUAAAAAAUAUUAUGAUCACAGAAUUACCUUUACGAUAAUUAAGGUGAUGUUAAUUAAUGGGUAAUUAAUGCAGAUGCAUAGGAAGCACACACUUUCAAGUGUUGUGUUUGAUGCGGAUAAUUUUGGCGUGACUGUGUAUCCCAAUGUUGAUUAUGCCUUCAUAGUUGCACUUGUAGUGAUUCUUGACGAGAUCAAUGAGGAUCGCCGUGGUGAUGAUUAGAUAGCAACGUAUUGAUGUUUAUAGAAGAAUGGUUUGCAUUUCUUUGUUGCUUUCUCUUUGAGAACACAUGUUAUUUAGAUCAUAAACAGUGGAGGUUGAUAAUGACAUGAACUGUUGAAGAGAACUUUAGAUUCUAAGUUGUGUGUUUCUUUCCUCAUGAAAGCAUUGUGACAUGAACUGCUGAGGAGAAUUUAUUGUUGUUCUUUCUUCUUUGUUCUUCUUAAUACAUAUUAGACAGGAUGGAUGUGUUGAGAAGUUGGAAAAUUAGAAAUAAUUAAUUGAACUAAUUUUUAAUUAAUUUUUAUUGGUGAAAGUUAUAGAAUUUUGAGUAUGAAAAAAGACAAUUGGAGAUAACAAUUUUAUUGUUUAUGUAUUUUUGUGUUCUAAUUCAAUUGCUAUAAUUUUAAAUUAACAUUUUUAUUUUUAUAUAUUGAAAACCGACUAUCUCCCAGCAACCAAGGGAGUAAUCUUUCUAAAAAAAAUAGAGACAGAUGCACGUGAUUGACCCAUAUUUGAUUGGUGAUCUAAAUUUUUUUUGUUUUAAUUGGUGCAAUAGUAAUUUGAAUUUAAGAUGCUUAUAUUGGAAUUUUGUAAGACAUAAUAUAAUAUGUAUAAUAUUAUCACUCUUUUAAAUUUAAAUAAAUUUUAGAGUUAAUAGUAAAAAAGCUUUUUUUACUAAUUAAGUUAUGAUUUUUUUAAAAUUGUUUUAAUUUUACCGUUACUUCUUCAGGUAAGAAUUAAUAAAAUUUAUCAUGUUAUUUAUUCUGUCGUCACUUGUGCAUGUAAGAAUUAAUAAAUUUCAUUAUAUUACUUAUUCUUUUGUUAUUUGUGUAAUUAAAAAUUAAUAAAAUUUAUCAUGUUAUUUAAAUCAGCCAUUUGUGCAGUUAUAUUUUCGUAACCUUAACAUGCUACAACAAUAAAAUUGAUUGAUAAUGAUGACUGACCGUUUCUUUAUUGGACCCAAGAUGAGAACUAUAGCUUAAAAGUUAUAGUUUUUCUUAAGUAAAAUCGAUCCAGCGUCUCGAGUGUGCAGAGUAGGUCGGGUUCAUUAUGAGUCUGGAUUCAAUGAGAAGAAGUCCGGUCCAUGAAGUGAUGUGAGAAAAAAUAGCAGGUUCAAUCACUUCGCAGUCCUAUCCGCAUGCGCGCCGGAGAGAAUUAAAUGGUCGUCUGGCAUGGAGAGAAGUUCUGACACAUCCGUAUUGACAGAGACAGCUAAUAUUGUAGCAGAGAGACAGAUAUACAUCACAAGAGAGAAAAGGAGAUUCUCUCUCUUCUUCCUUCUGCUUCAUGAACUCUAUUUUUCUUUAUUUUUCUCUCUGUAAUUCUUGUCUAUUCAUACUAUUCUAGUUCAUAAAAUCUGAUUUGAACGUCGAAGUGUUUUCACCGGACAUCCUUGGUAGACCCCUGACCAUCUUUCUUCAUUUUGCAUAUUUCUUUUUCGAAUCAAGUAUUGAGGGACACAUAUGAUGAAUCAAAAAAAAAAUCAGAGGAAAAUCAGAUCUAUCAAAUAGAGCAGGAUGAAAUUUUAAAUUUAUCAGAUAAUAAUUUAAAAAUUGAAAUAAUAAUUUAAAAAUUAAAAUAAUAAUUUAAAAGUUUAAAUUAGAAUUAAUAUAAAAUUUUUUAAUAAUUAUUUAUUUUAUUAAUUUUUUGUAAAAUGAAAAUUUGAAUUUAUUAUUUUAUAAUUAUAUUCUUUUAGUUAUAUUUAAUUAGAUAAUUAAAUAUUUAAUUUAUAUAUUAUUAAUUUUUUUCCCGAAUAAUAUUAAUUUUAUUAUGAAUAUAGUACUUUCAAUCUUUUUAUUUAUUAUUUUUAAAAAAUUUUAGAAUAAUCUAUUACUAUAACACUUGUCAUUAUAAAAAUAAAAUCAAAUGGCAAUUUUUAACAUAAUGCAGUAAAUUAAAUAAUAAAUUUUAGAGUAAAAUUUAGAAUUUCAGCUUUCAUAUUUAUUUUGAACACCAGAAUUUAAGAGAAGUUGGCAAGGGAAUUUUGUGGUUGCAAAAGGAAUAGUAAUCUAAUUCCUGAUCUGACUAAUAGGGAAAGAAAGAAAGGAAGGAAUCCAUUGAAGGAACAGCAAGACACAAACCUAUGCUUAAUAGAACAGAACAAUCCUGUCCCUGGCCCAUCCUCCUUGUCUCUUGGUUUUUUUUUUUUUGGACCAAAGGGUAUCUAUUUUGCAUGCAGCUGGGCCAUCUAUCUGCUUUCAUGGUUUUUUGAAACUAAAGAAAGUAUUUUUCAUACGAGAAUUAAUUUUUUUAAUUAUUAAUUAUAUAAAAUUUAGUGCAUUAAUGAAAUUUUUCUUUAAUUAUGUUUAUUUACGUGUAUAAAUAAUGACUGAAAAAUUAAAUUUUAUAUGAGAUUGCGUUUUCAUUUUAAAAAGAAUUAUGAAUAGAGUUGGUCAAUUCCAAAAGCAUUUCUUUUGCAAUUGGUAGUUAAUGGAGUAUAAUGCAUAUGUUACAAAAUUAAAUGUAUUGUGAUCUUCUUAUUUACGAAGAAGGGCAAAUGGUUUCCGAGAUUAAUUAAUAUUGUUCAUAUCAUAAUUUUUUAAGUAUGAAUUUAUAAAAUAAAAGAAAAUAAUGGAUGGAUUGUUUUAGUUGAUACUCAAAUCAGUAUAUGUGAUGAGUAAAUUAUAAAAUUAAUAAGGUAGGAUAUGGAGUUUAGAUAAAAUAAGAUAUAAAAUCUUAUGAAUAAUAUACUAUUAUAUUUAGAUUCUCCGAAUAAUUGAUGUUAUUUGAAUUAUUAGAUCUAAAUUGAAUAUAAUUUUUUUUAAAAAUAUUAUUUAAUAUCAUCAAACAACUCAUUAGAUAAUUUUUUUAAUUUUCAAAAAUUUUAGUAACAUUAUAAAAAUUCAACUAAUUAAUUUCUUUUUAAUUUUAACUGGUAAAUAUUUUAUUAUUUAAUUUUUAUAAUUUAAAAAAAUUAUUAAUUAAUCUUUUAAAUAUAUAAAAAAUCUAUUAAUUGUCUUUUUAUAUUAAAAAUAUUUUAAAAUUUUUUUUAUAAUAUUUAAUGAUUAAAAUUAAUAAAAUGAUCAAUUAACUUUUUAAAUUGUAAUAUAUUGAAACAUAAUAUAUUGAAAUGUGUUUUUUUAAAAAUAAAGUAAUUAGUAUUUAAAAAAUACACACUUUUUUUUUCAAUUGAGCAUGCAGUGAACUGCCCCCAGACACUUAUUGGUUAAUUUUUUUUUUUUUUUUUGAAAUGAAUCUAAUGAUACAAUCGUGUUGUAUUAUGACCAGAGAACUGUAAGGUAAACAUUAAAAAUUAGCUUACAAAAAUGUGCCAUCUAAUCUUUUAAUGAUGUUUAAGAAAUCGCCACAUUCACAGAAUUAAUUAAAUAAUUUCACAAUAUUUUUAAUAUUUAUUAAUUAACAAUUUUAUUAUUAAGAGUUUUUUUAAUUUAUAAAAUAUUAAAAUAAAUAUUAAUAACAUAUAAAUAAUAAGACUCAUUGAAAUAAUGAUACGUGUACACGAGAUUUAGAAAAGUUUCAUAAAUCUACCUCAUUGGUCCGAUCGGUCAGUAGAAAAUUUGACCUACUGAGUUACAAAGAUCAUAACAACACUCAUGACUCUAUUAAAAUUCGGAACAGAUGGAUAGACUCCUUCAAGGUUAAGUAUUGGAGGUAAGUUUGACCAAUCAUAAUAAAUAGGGAAACUCACCUCAACACAAAUUGAGUGAGCCCGAGCAUGACCUGAUUAGAUUGUGGUAGGAUACCAACCUUUUACACACUGAUCAUCUUCUUAGUAUAUUAUUAGAAUUAUAAAUGCACGUGCAAUAAAAUAGAUUAACGUGAUGCAUAUAAUAGAUAAGGAAUGUACUAGUAAAGAUUAAGGGAGAAAAGUUUAAUAUUAUGGAUAAAGGCAAAAGAAAACUUGCAUCGUCUUUGCUUAACUUUAUUUAUAGAGAUUUAAUAUAAUGACUAUAAAAAAAAAAUGAAAGACUCUCUCAAUUUUUAGAGAACACGAGAAUCAAAAAAAUGAUAAGAAAAUAUGCAAAAUCUUUAUGGCUCCUUUAUUUUCCGACGAAGGAUGCCUACUGUAUAUAAGGAUAUGGUUUAUUUUUUAAUCAUAUUUUGUUAUGCUGAGCUUAAUGUUUGGUUCAUUUAUUGUUUUUGGUUGAAUUUUUUAAUUUUGUUUUGAGUCUUAGUCGAAGUGUCACUUUAUCGGAGUUGUGGGAGUUAGUGAUUAUUUGGUGCCGAAGCAUGGACUGUGCUUCUACAAAUGGCUCUUUACUUAUGAAAAUCUGAAAUCGUCGUGGGCUAACCCUCUAUCGGUGGUGGUAAUUAUUGUUCUUUGGGGUUCUAUUUCAUUCUUAAUAAUACGGUGAAACACCUUUUUAUUUGCUGGUUUUUUUUUUAUUAGUGAUUUUGACUUUUUUAAUAUUUUGAUUAGUGUUGAUUUGUUAAGGGUCUGUUGCAUAUUACUUUAGUCAUGGUCGAUUGGUUUGUUGUAUUAUUGUUUACUUUUAUUGGCCUGAUCAAAGCAACAAUGCAAUUUUUGUAGUUGAGACAUUAAUGGCAUCCUUGAGAGUGCUGGAUUUAGUGCACAAUAUUGCGUCGGUUGAGUUUUGAAUUUUUCAAUUUCUCAUGUAGAUAUUAUUGGAUUAGGCAAAAACUUCGAUAUGGACAUUUUUUGAAUCGUGAAUUUUGAAUUUUUCAAUUUCUCGAGUAGGUAUCACUGGGUUAGGCAAAAAUUUCGGUAUGGACACUUUUGAAUUGUGAGUUUUGGGCUUUAUUAAUUAUCUAUGAUCUCUUUAUAAGUAUUUUAAUAAAACUUAUAUUUUACGGUAGAAUAAAAAAAUAAUUUAACACUUAUUUAAUAAUAAAAAAAAAUGUUGGGUGCAGUGUUUUCCAUAAAUUAUUUUUUUUCAUUUUGACAUAAGCUGUGGAUAGUGUUUAAAAAUAAUUUAUUUCAAUUUCAAUACUAAUGAGAUAGUCAAUUGAUUGCAAUAAGAGUUUGAAGUAAAUACAAGAAAAUGUUUGAAGUGUAUGGAUGAUUUGGACUUUUCAAGGGUUUCUAUUAUGUGUCUUUUAUUGAAAAUUCCAGGGGCUCUAUACAUUUGAUUUUCAGACAUCGAAUUGACAUGACUAGCAAAGGCUGUGAAAGACUCUUUAUUUUUUUAGGAUUUCUUAGAUUUUCAGUUGUUUUGAUUUUAGUUGUUGGAUUGUUUUGUACGCAGUUAGAUACAUCUUAAAGCUUGGCAAUGCAUAAAGAAUAUGAUGAGGAUAAGGAUGAUGAUAAGAGGUUGAAGUGUGUUGUUUAGUGUACACUCUGCCGCUUCCAAUAGUUUCCAUCUCUGUCAAUUUUUGGGUGGUCGACCAUUAAUCGUUGAACACCAUUAUCUCAUUUAGUUCCCAUCUCUAUCAACUGGCCUCUUCCCUUCACUAUUAAUUUUAAAUUUAAUUAAAUUCCUUUUUUUCUCUCAACUUUAAACUAAUGUUUUUUUUUUUUUUUUGAAAUAGGGGGUUGGGGGAGUCGAACCUUAGACCUUUCAAGGCUACAGGAUGCACUUUCCACCAGGCUCAACCUUGGAGUGCAACUUUAAACUAAUGUUUAAUUUUAAUCAAUAUUAAGUUAUUAACCUAAUUUAUUAUAAUCUUUUAAUUUAGAUCAAAUUAGCCUAUUUUUAGUAAAAGUUUUAAUAAUAAAUAUUUUUCGUUAAUUAUUUUUUCUUUUAAUAAAAAAUAUUUUUAUGUUAAUUAUUUUUUUUUAAAAUAUUCAAAUUACAAUAAAUAUAAAAAAAAAAUUAUAAAAUAAAUGGAGUCAUUAUAUUGUAAAAUAAUAAUAACAAUAAUAAUAGAGGAGGUAGUAAAUUAAAGGAAAUAAAAUUUUAAAAAUAAUUUUUUAAAUAUACUGUAUUUAAGUAAAUUUUUGAGAUUUUUUAUUUGAAUAAGAAAAUAAAUUAAACUCAAUCAUCCAGUUGAUUUGAUAAUUAAGGAUUCCCACUAACCAAAUUGAUUGGAUUUAUGAAGACACUCCAACCUUGGUUACUGGCUCUACCCCACCAAUACAAUACAUCAAUUAUCUUCCUAUUUUUUAAUUAAUUAUAUUUUAUCAUAUUUAUUUAUUAGUUGAUUAUCUUUUUAAUUUGAUCACUUUUCAAUUUAUACUACAUAUACAAUUGUUUGAUAAAUAUAAUUUUUAAAUUAAUUUUCCAAAAUUAGUAAUUAAUGAUUUAAAAUUAUAUUUAUGUCAUUAAAUGAAAUUAAAUUUUUAGUUUCCAGCUGGUUCAUCAUUUUCUAUUGUUAAUAGAAUAAAAUUUUAAAUUUUAUUUGAUUGGAAGUAAGUUAAUUAAAAAAUUUUUAAUUCUUAAAAAGUUAAUAUAUUAAACUUGUUUAGGUGAUUUUUUUUNNNNNNNNNNNNNNNNNNNNNNNNNUUUUUGUGUUUAUUUUGUCUAUAUUUGUUUACGUUUGCUUGGUUUUGAUUUGAAAUUUAUACUCAAAUAUUAUUCGUCAGAUUUUAAAUAGAUCAAUAAUAAUCAGUGUUGGAGACCUUGUUAGACUCCUCAAGAUGACUCUAUAGUUAUAAUAGACUGAAAAUGUCAUGGAUUAAUCUUUAUUUUUAGUGAAUGAUGUCGCUACAUAGAAUCAAUCAUAUUAUUUGUUCAACUUGUUUUUAGUUUCAAUAAUGACUAUUUAUAUAUUUGUUAUUCUUUGUUAUAUUUCUUUCUAUAAAUUAACUUCUCAUGGUUUUCAAGUGUGGUGUUUUUACGGUAUUCUUUUUAAUUUACGAUUAUUACUGUUUUGCAACGCCCAACACGACAAUAAAUACCAAUAAAGAGAUAUAGUAGAUGGAAUAAUUAUUAUGGGUGUAUGCAUGUCACGUAAUUUUUCAACUGUUUAUUUUUUAUUCCAUGUCAGGUUGGGUUUGGGUUGAUUGAAAAUUGGUUGGAUUUUUUUGAAUUGGCUUUUAUACUUUAUGAGUGUAUACCUCAUCUGUAAUUGUAAUGAUAUGAGGUGAAUUUGGGCAAUUUAAUACAUUACUCUUGCACUGUAAAAAAAAAAGUUUAAUAUUAUAUAUAUCUAAAUUUAUACAGCAUAAAAUGUACAUAGUGAAUGAAAAUUUAUAUAUAAAUAUUAAAUCCACACUUAUAUGAGGUUAAAUUCUCAAUAUGCUUAUUAUAUAUGCUUUAAAUAAUUGUACAUGUAUUUCAAUACAAAUAUUUAAUUUAACAAUCUAUAAGUUGAUUAUGAUAUGAAAUUAAAUUUAGUAGAUUUAUUUGAAGAAAAAUACUUUUUUUAAAAAAUAUUUUUAUAUUUUUUAUUGUUUGAAAUAUUUUAAAAUUUUAAUUAAUAAAAAAUAUUUUCUUAAUCAAAAGAAAAAAUAAAUCAUUUGAAAAAAUAAUUUUCUCUUUUAGAAAAAUAAGAUUAUUUUUUACACUUUAAAAUUUUUAUAUUUAAAUUUAUUAAUAAAAUUUGUUUUAUAAAUAUAAAUUAUUUUUCAAAAAAACAGCGGCAUAUUUUAUUGAUACCAACAAAUCCUGCCAUUAAAUUACCCCUGGACGCCCAUCAACUCCAUUACACCAUGCAAUUUGACAAAACAGAGAAUAAACUCAAAAUAAUGAAAAAUUAGUAUUUAGUAUGAUAAUUAAUUACUUAUAUUCACAGUUAUAAUUUGAUGAUCAUAAAUAUUUAUUUAAAUUCUUAAAUUUUCUUUCUCAAUCCUUAAUUUUUUAUUUAAAAAAAUAAAAAAUUAAUUAGUCUAUAUAUUUUCAAAAUAGACCGACUAAUCUCUGCAGUUUUAAAUGCAUAAUUAAAAAAUUAUUUUUAUUAAAUUUUAGUAUUAUUAUCGUUAAUAUAUACAAUAAAAUGUGAGAAAAGUUAACUAUUAACACUUACCGUGAAAUAUCUUUUAAUUGAAUUUUUGAAAUCACAUAAACUAUUUAAUAUAUUUUUUAAUUAUUAUUAAUUUUUUUUAUGUUAUAAUAAUAAAUAUGAUAUUCUAAAAUCUAAAGAAUAGAGUUUUCAUAGUUAUGUAAAUUUAGAUGGAGAGAAAGAUAUUCUUCUUUUUUUAUUCAUUUCCUUUUAUCUGAUAGUGACACGUAAUGGACUCUCUACUACAGUUUACCUGUUUUUAUCAUGCAGGUCUGUACAUAUAAAAGUGUCAAAUAUUCUCUUCACACUAGAUUAUCCUCUUCACAUCAGACGGUUCUCUCGACACGCGUAGAAGUAGAGUUGCGAACUGACUGAAUUUAUUCUUUCCUUACGUCAUGUCACCAUACUGAGUCUGUAAUGAAUGGACCCUGUGUUUGUGAGUGACUUUAUCUGUUCUAUAGGGUCGAAUCAGGAAAAUUUUAUAAAUUUUGAAUCAACAAGUCCGACCUCAUAUGGAGAUGAUAAAUGCCAAGGAUCAUCAAUAUAAAUUAAUUAUUAAAAGAUGGUCAUAAGAGAACAUAAUUACAUAUAAAUAAAAUAGGACCACUUGCAUUGCAUGUCCAACCAAAACAGUGAAUCCAAUGCUAAUAGUAAGCAGCCAUCAAAUCAAAAAUUCAAUCGGAUGGCAUAAAAAAAACACAGAAUAAUAUGAGAAGCACAGAAUUAGACCUAAGAAAUUAACAACCAAUUGGAUUUGGUCCAUUAUGUUAUAUGCCAAAACUGACCUUUCUUUUUCCUCCUCCUCCUUAUUCUUCUUUUUUUACUUUUUCUUUAUAAAUACAGACAAAGCCGGCCCCGAUCGUGACACAUAAUUAUUUUCUUUUUGAGUCCCACCCCCCUUCACUCCGAUCAAUCCCCCACUCUCUCUCUCCCCCAAAAUUUACUAUAUUUAAUUUUAUAUAUUUUAAUCAGUAUAAAAAUUAUAUUUAUAUUAAUUUAAAUAAUGAUUUGAUAAUUUUAAACACUAAAAAUUAUUAUUUUAAAAAGUGAAGUGUGAUAGUAUUGAUUUAUUUUGGAAUAAUUAUAAAAAUUAUUAAAUAGAGUUAUAAUUAUUAAUUUAUAUAUUAUUAUAAUAUAAAAAAAUAAAUAAUAAUUUUAAAAUAAUUAUAAAAAAUAAAAAAAAUUAUAAAAUAAAACGAAUGUUAAAAUUAUAAUUUUAUUAUUUGAAAACCAACCCUUCGCAAUAUUCCUUAUUACUAUCCAAACACGUUAAUAAAAAUUUAUAUUCCUCCUUAAUCAUUACCUUCUUUUAUUCUCCUUCUUUUAUUUUACUUCCGCUAUCCAAACAUGGUGUUUAUCAAAUACCCGAGCUGUCCCUGCUUAUAAACUAGUACAAAAGUUUGUAAGAAAAGUAAGAAAAGCUGGGCCGUAAACUACAGCUUUUAGUUAAGACCAAAGUCUUCAGCUUUGCCACGCGUUCUCAUCUCAAUUGUUCGUGUAUUUUAGUCGUUGAAAUGGAGCGUGGUAAAGUGGAUAAGAAUUGCUAAGCUGGGAGGGGUUAUUAGAGAAGAAGAAAAAGGAAAGACAGAACAAAAAAACGGAUUUUUCGGUAGAAGGUUUGAAGUAGAAAGAAAGAAUGAAUACGAGAGAGGAAGACUAUUAAGAGAAAAAGGAUCAAUCAGUUAUGCAGAGGAGCUGGAAAGAAACCUCCGGGAAAGAUACGAGAAACGGAUAGAUUUUUUAGGGUUUCUGUUCUUUUUUUCUUGUUUUCACAGAGUAAUUAUCAUCGCCUCGUUGUGGUUUCCUGGAAAUUGAAUCGAGUUAGACUUGGACUUGGUGUUUCUUCUUCUUCUUCUUCUUCUUCGCACAGUUGUCUUGAAAUUUCGCAAGGAUUCUCCUUUUCUUGCAGAGAUAGAGAUGGCUUUGGCUAUGGCUUCUUCUUCUUCUUCUUCUGCUACUGUGGCGGUGGAGAAGGCGACUAGUGAUCUUCUAAUCGGUCCUGAUUGGACUAUGAAUAUCGAUAUUUGCGAUUCUGUUAAUUCAAAUAUUUGGUAAAGCUUUUUUUUACUUUUUCUUAUCAUUUGCAAACCUCUUGCUGUUCCUUUUGGAUUUGACUUUUUAUGUUUUUGUGUUUUUAUUUAUAAUUUCAUUAUUUGCUAUAUUAUCUUAUCAUAUGGUUACAGAUAAAAAUAGGCGAGUUGCCAUCUGUGUGUUUAUGUUGUUCUUCUUGAUAUGUAUGUUCGCAAAAUUGCAGGGUUGUAGUGUUGAUUUAAUUUAUUCUGAUGAAUUAAAUUCGAAUUUCAUUUUUUUUUUUAAGUUUCUUCUUUAUCCAGUCUAAGAAAUUAGGAAACCUAGAAGGGAGAAGAAAUCUCUUGCAUAAGUUUUGAACUUUUUCAUGGUUAACAAGUUUCCCCAAGCUUUAUUGUAAAGACUGCUUAUAUUGAAGGGAGAGGAUCGAUUAAACCUGUAAUAGAGUUUGCGUUUAUUUGAGGACAGAUCACUUGGUGAAUAGAGCCCUAGUCUGCUGGUGGUGGUGGUGGUGGAUUUCAAUUAAAUUUCUCUUAUUAAUUAUUUUUUGAAAAGUUGACUGCCUUUUAGGAACAUAAAAUGAGUUUUGUUUUGCUUUGCUGAUUAGUAGAUUUUGGAUUUCUUAGGCAAGCAAAAGAUGUUGUGAAAGCUGUGAAAAAAAGGUUACAGCACAAGAACCCUAAAGUGCAACUUCUGGCAUUAACGGUAUGUUUGUUGGAGUAAUUUUUAUGUUAUCUUUUAAUUGAGCUGGGCACAUCUCUUUUGAGCUAAAAUCCUAUUGCAUAAUUGUGUCUGUUUUCCAGAACAUUUUAUUUUUUGCAAACAUUUUAUUAAUUCAGGAAUUAUAAUGCCAUUGUAUCCAAAUUUUUUUAUUCUUUUUCGUGAUUAUCACUGUGUGCUAUAUCUUCUCUGCAGCUUUUAGAAACAAUGGUGAAGAACUGUGGUGAUUACGUCCAUUUCCAAAUUGCUGAAAAGAACAUAUUGGGUGAGAUGGUCAAAAUUGUAAAAAAGAAGGUACCCUUUGAUUCUCUCGGUAAAUGUAUUUCUCUUCUCACAUGCAAGGCUGUUAAGAGUUUCCACCAACAUUCAUUGUUGCUGUGUUUGUAAUAAGAUGCUAUUACUCCAUGUCUUAGAAAUCAAUAUAAUGGUUGGUUUGGGAUUUUCAUGUAACUUGAAGGCUUGAAUCCAUUCUGUUUCCAGAAUCAAUCUGUUCUUGUGUUUUUUCUUUAACUCUAUUAAUGAAAAUAGUAAAAGUGUUAAGAAAGUUGUAAUGGUGUAACUAAGGUUUAUGUGUGUAAUAAUGUUGUUGAACCAUUUGCAUUUGGGAACCAAUGAAUUGUUGGACUUCUGUUUUUUGUCAAGCUACAAGUAUGUUUAUGCUCUGGCAGCAGUCAAAUAGACACGAGUAAUUAUGUUUCAACAAAGUUUGCUAGUUGUUUAAUCUAGCAGGCAGCCCUUUUUUUUUUCUUUUCGGUAAUUGUAGUCGUAGCAAUUUUGUUGAAGUUAUUUUAGGUUAGAUGGACUAUCGUUGCAUUUUAGACAAAAUGAACACAGUUGACAUUCCAGAUUGAGAUUUAAGUUGUUUUGCUGGGUUUCUUAUUUUCGUGUUUGCUACCAUAUUUUAUUAUCUAACAGGUUGCUGUUGUAUCACCUAUCCUUUUAUUUUUAUGCAUUUCCUGAUAAUUGAUAAGAUAUUUAUUAUUACUUUGCUUGUUGCUUGGCAUUUUGGCCAUGGUUCUCUAUAUUUCAUCUUUUCUGUGGAGCUUAAGUCUUGUCCUAAAUCCUAAAACAAAUGUUUCGAUGGUUGGCAGGCUGAUAUGCAUGUAAGAGAUAAAAUUCUGAUCUUGCUGGACUCGUGGCAAGAGGCUUUUGGGGGGCCAGGGGGAAAACAUUCUCAGUACUAUUGGGCAUAUGAAGAACUAAGGGUAAGCAUUUAGCUUUAGUAUUAAAUUAUUCUAUUUGGUGGCACUAUCUUGCCUAUGGCACGAGCCUCUUAUUGUUGGCCAUCAUUCAGUAGCGGAGCAGCACUUGGGGUCUUAGCCUGUUUUGAGAUCACGCUGAUUUUGUGAUCCAUCAUCCAUUUUUAAUAGGAUUGCAGCGUUUCAAAUAUAAGGAAAAUUCUUUGUGGGGAUUAUCAUUGAUAUUACACUGUCGACAAUAUGUACAAUUAACCUUUAGAGCCUGAACUUCUAACUUAUGGUUUAUACAUAUGGCAGCGUGCUGGAGUGGUAUUCCCUCAACGGUCCCCGGAUGCAGCUCCAAUUUUUACACCUCCUGUUACUCAUUCAACAUUGAGGCAUGCUCAAGCUGCAUAUGGGAUGCCUAGUAAUUCUUCUAGAAGACUUGAUGAAACAAUGGCAAUGGAGUUUGAAGGCUUAAGGUAAGAGUUGACACACUGUAAUAGUCUCUGUCAUACUUAUUAAAAAUACUAAAACUAUUGAUUUCUUUUAACUGAUAUUUCUCUUAAUUAUUUUAGUUUGUCAGGCUUGGAUUCCAUGCGGAGUAUUGUGGAGCUCUUAAAUGACAUGCUGCAAGCUGUGAACCCUGAUGAUCGCGAGGUGUGUGCAAUGAUUACCUUUUCUCUGUUCUCUCUGGAACAUUGGAGUAAUUGUUUGAAAUGUUUAUUGUUUCCUUUUAGGCUCUAAAAGAUGAAAUUAUAGUUGAUCUUGUCAAUCGCUGUCGAUCCAACCAGAAAAAGUUGAUGCAGAUGCUAACUACAACUGGGUUAGUUCUCUUCAAAUGUCUUAAUACUGGCAAUGCCUUGUCAAGCUUUUAGCACGUCCUUGAUCUGAUAGAGGAAACUAUUUAGCUCAGGGGGUGGGCGGUGGGUGGGGGUGUGUGAAAGAGAGAAUGUGUUUGCCAAUGAAAUUCUGGUGUGUGCAAGCCUCAAAGUGUCUUGUUUUUGUGGCAGGGAUGAGGAACUUCUUGGUCAGGGUCUUGAAUUAAAUGAUAGAAUACAAACCUUGCUUGCCAAACAUGAUGCUAUAGCUUCUGGUUCACCCAUGCCAGCUGAAGUUGAUAAUUUAGGUCCCAAGUCCACUGAAGAAUAUUCCUCCAAUAUCCAACCAACUCAAGUAAAAGACGCCAGCCCAAGUUCUAGCACUAAUGCCAAUGUGUCAGUUGCUAAUGUACCAAGGAGCCCUAUUGAUGAAGAAGAUGAAGAGGAGGAUGACUUUGCACAGCUAGCUCGGAGGUAUUACUGAAGCUUAAUCUUACAUGUUGUUUAGGGUUGGUAGAAACUAUGCAAUUUAACCAGACAACAUAAAAUGUUGGACCUUUUCUGGAUGUAGACCUCGUUUUUUGGCUUUGUGAUGGAUCCAUUUGGAUCCUUCAGUUCCUCUUCAACCUUUAUGGAGGACUCCUUGAACUCUUUUUAUUGGCAUUUCACCUACAUGAUGCAUUUCAUGGAGUUCUAACUUCCUUUCAUAUUUGUUAUUUCCCCUGUCAAUGUAGGCAUUCAAAACCACAGUCAAGUCCAUCUGAAAGCACAUACGGAACCAGUGAGGCUAUUGCUUCUACCACCACCAUUUCAACUCCUGUUCCAUGCACUGCACUAGCUCUUCCUGAUCCACCUGCACCAGUUAGGACUACAAAAGAGCAAGAUAUAAUUGACCUUUUGAGUAUCACCUUAUCAACACCAACAUCGGAUCAUCCCCACACACCUCAUACUCCAACAGCUGCUACACCGAGCAUGCCUCAAGUACCAGCCUCAAGCACUCAAGGGUAUCCUUAUAUUUCCCAGACAUAUCCUGGAAACCAAGGGCAAUCAACUUACAACAAUUAUAUCGUUCCAUGGGCCCAGCCUCAACCCCAACACCAUUUACAAAUUCCAUCUCAGCCCCAUUUACAGCCUCAAAUCCAGCAGCAAAUGCAACCUCAACCUCCACUGCAAUUUCAGUCUCAAUCUCAACCACAACCGCAUACUCAGCCUCAGCUGCAAUUUCAACCCCAAUCUCAAUCACAACCACAAUCACAUCCUCAACCUCAGCAGAAGUCUCAAUCAUCGUCUCAGUCACAGCAACCUUGGCCUCAUCAGCAAUUCCAACCUCAAUCUCAAUCUCAACUGCAGCCACAACCUCAACCUCAGCAGCAGUUUCAAUCUCCAUCUCAGUCACAACCUCAACCUCAGCAGCAGUUUCAAUCUCCAUCUCAGUCACAACAUCCUCCGCCUCAGCAGCAAUUCCAACCUCAACCACAAUCACUGCCUCAACCUCAACCUCAGCAGCAGUUCCAAUCUCCAUCUCCGUCAGAGCAUCCUUGGCCUCAGCAGCAAUUCCAACCCCAGUCUCAACCACUAUCACAGCCUCAACCUCAGCAGCAAUUUCAGAUUCAUUCUCAAUCACAACGUCCUCGGCCUCAGCAGCAAUUCCAAUCUCUGUCUCAACCACCACUUCAUACUCAGCAUCAGCAACAAUUUCGACCUCAAUCUCAACCACAACCAAAUGCGCAAUCUCAGCUACAAUACCGAC